UUUUUUUUUUUUUUUUUUUUUUUGUACUUCACAAGUCUUCACUCUAUAGUCUACACUGGAACUUGACGGCUAAUGUACAAUCUAACAUGGUUAUUAAUAACUUAAAUCCCUAAAAUACAUUCACCAAUAUAACUUAAAAGUUAAAUCUAAAUUUAAGUUGAGAUAAUAAUAAAUUUUUUAAAAGUUAUACAUGAAACCUGGAAUGAUAAAUAUAACUAAAAUAUCAUAAUUCACUCCAAGUUUUCAUAAAUUCAUUACAAACAUAAAUAGAUAUAGUCCAAAUGUUCAUCAAUUAUCACAAACAAAAACACAAAAAUAAAUAAAAUAAAUGUUAACAUUCUUUCACAAUUCUAAAAAAGUCCAUAAAAAAGUUCAACUCAUAUUCAAGGCAAACAAUUUGAAUAACAAACUUCCAUCAUUGGCAUGAUAAGGCAACAUCAUCCCCUUCACAAUUUCAUCAAUUUAACCUGAAAAAAUUAAAAAGUUUAUUACAAAAAAUAUAAAUCUAAUUGGUGAAGCAAAAAAAAAACCCAAAAAAUUUUGAAAAAUAAAGAUACAACCAAACACAAAAAGAAUCAAUUGCUACUAAACAUCACUAAUUAACAUGUUAUAUUGUCAAUCAUUAAGUACCCAAUCAAUUUCUGUGACCAUUCAUGAUUCAACUAAUUUUCUUGUGCUAAUGGCAAUAUCUCAAAAGAAAAUUUUGGGUCAGGAAGUGAAUAAAUAGUUCCUCAGUUCUGUCCCUUUUUUACUACUAAUGUAAAUAAUCUAACACUUCUUACUUUUAGAGUAUUAAUAAUCAACAGUAAUAAGCUAAAGCUGCCAAGCUUUGUACAAUAUAGCACCAAAUAAAUCUCCUAAAUUUUGAAUGAAAGAGAUAUAAUUUCUUAUGAUCCUAGUUGCUUUUAACAAAUAAAAAGCAAUUUAUUUUGUAUUUUUUGUAGCUCGGAUAGAUUUAAAGAAUAUAUGUGUGCGUGUGUUAUUGUCUAGGUAAUUUGAACAAACAAUAAAUAAAUGAAGCAAGAUUGUGAUAGGAAAGUCAAAGGAACAUAGAAUCCAAGACUGAGUCACCGUAUGAACUUUGAACAUUUGACAUUGCUUCCUGUAUAAAAGUUCUAGUCCAAUUUACAACACUUUCACUAUCGGUUAUCACAUACACAAACAACAUCAAUGGAACAAAAAAGGGCAUUCCAAAGAUUAAUUUCAGAAAAAUACAAAAAUAAAAAACCAAGCAUGUUUAAUUUUAUUAAUUUGAUACUUCAUCCAAAAAAUAAUUUCUCUAAACAUGACAGCAAAAUAAUUCAUGAUUAAUAGUUUCAUCCUUAACUAAUCAAACAAAAAUGAAACGUGAAUUAGGGAUAAGGAAACGGAUGAAAAUUGGGGGAAAAAAAAUAAGAAAAUACGAAAUAAUAUACAAAACAAAAAUCAAGAAAAGGCAAAAAUUAAACUCACCAAGAUGGAAAAGCUCUGGAGUCUCGUCUAAAGAUAAUAGCGUGAUGAUCUUGUCGUGGAUAUUAGGAUGUAGAAGAAUUAUGAAGAAAAAAUUUUAAAAAAAAUCAAGAGGAGAAUUGAAGUCUGGAGAAGCCGAGGAAUGGAGGAAGUGAAGCCGAGGAAACUGAAACGAUGUGUCGUCUGCACUUUGCUAGGUCUUUUAGGAUUUUUUUUAUUUAAUCUGAUUUUAGUUUUUUGGUUAAGUUAAGUAAAAUUCUACACAACAAAAGCUUGUCCUUCAAUUGUGGUUUAGUGGUAAGCAUACCUUAUUAUGGUCAUGGAGACUAGAGUUCAAAUCCCAACAGCCUCCAUUCUUGUUAUUGUUUUGAAUUUGAGGUUAUUGUUUCAAAAUCUGAGAAUCGCCGAUUCACGGUUCACACGAAUUUUCAGCGGUUCAACGGUUCACACGAUUUCCAGCGAUUUUUCACUAGCUUCCGAGUUUGAUACUAGACCGGACCGGUGCCAUGGCCGGUUCGCGGUCGGACCGACCGGUCCGGUCCGGUUCUGAAAACAUUGGCUUUAAUUGAAAAAUAUGCAGUAAAAUUACAGAAAACAUAUUUUAACACCACCAUCAACGUCAAGUUCUCCCUGAGACCUGAUUCCCAAAGCAACCCUAAGUUCAUGAGGUUGUACUGUUGUUUGAGAGCACUAAAAAAAGGUUUCAAAAAAGGAUGUAGGUUUCUUAUUGUUCUGGAUGGGUGCCAUAUUAAGGCACCAUAACCUGACUAACUAUUGAUUGCUAUUGGGGCUGAUCUCAAUAAUGGAUGGUGACCAAUAACAAAAGUCCAACUGUGCUAAAUCUAAUAUACAAAUAAGCCCCCUAUGGUUUCAAAAUAUACAACGCGAUACCUCGUGCUUUGAACUAAGUUGUAACACUGACGAAAAUCGGUAAAAUUAACGGGAACUGAUGAAAGGACCAAAAUGCCCUUGUAUAAUACCUAAAAGGCAAUUGAGCGGACUCAUUUCUUUCCUUCAAACCCUACGAAGAGAGAGAGAGCGAGAGAGAGGAAGUAAAGCCCAACCAAACGGAAUCAAGUAAGAAGAUCGAAAGAGACGAAGAUUUAUUCCAAAAAAUCGAAGGCAAAUGGGUAUGUAUGCUAUACUUCGUUCAUGUUAUAAUUAAUUAAAAUCAAUUCAUGUAUGUUAUAAUUAGUUUAAAAUUUAGGGUUACUUAUCUCAGAUUUUGAGGGCUGAUGAUGUUAUUUACACCCAAAUAUGCAAUAUUUGGGUGUUUACCUUAAAAAAUUCCUGAUUUUGUGAGUUUUGAGACUGGUACUUUGGAUUUAAAAUGAAGAUUUUUUCUGUUUUGGGACUACGACUUUGGUUUUGAAGCCGAAAUUUUUUUUUUAAAUUUUGGGUGUUGGAACUAGGAGUCAUGCAAAAAAUUUCUGAAAUGUCCAUUUCUGAUGGGAGAUUUUUGCUGAUUUGGGACUGCAAGUUUGGAUUUAAAGUCGAGAUUUUUGUUGAUAUUUAGGUGUUGACUAGGUGACGCAAAUAAUUUUUGAAAUUUUCAUUUGUGAUGGGAAAUUUUUGCUGAUUAGGGGUGUUGAGUAGGAUCUGUUUGUGUGUUUGAGUACGACUCAGUCACUUGUUAUUACAACAAAAUAUUUAACAAAGAAUUGUAAGUAAAAUUUCUAUAAUUGUUACUGUCUUCUCUGGUUUAGUGGUUCAGAAUGCUAUUAAAAUUGGUUUUCUGUUUGUGCUUUUAUGUUUAUUUGAUUUUCUGUAUAUCAAUGAUGUAGACAUAGUAGUUGGGAGACUAAAGCAUAUUUAUUAUAUUCCUUGAAACAUUCAACAGAAGAAGACAAGUCAGAGAAGACAGUAGAUAUACAUAUGUAUUUUGAUGGAAAAUUUAAAGAAUAUCCUGCCCUCCACUACACAGGAACCCGUAUGGCUAUCUUUAAAAAUAGACUUGAGAACCACAUCUGCAUAGUUAGCCUUUGCAGGAUGUUUAAAAAAGUGGAUGAGAAUGCAACUAGAGUGACUUUCUAGUUUUGUGCUCCAACAGUAGACUUAGAUAGUGGCCUACAUCCAAUUAGGGACCAUGAUGAUGUUAAAUUGAUGAAUAAAACAUAUUGGGGUUUGGCAACAAGGAUAAUAUAUGCCUGUAGUGGGGAUGAUCCUUUUGAAAAGUCACUAGAACAUGGUAGGGACAAUGUGUUGGAGCCAAAUUCGACAAUGGAUGCAUCAACAACAAAUAAAAAUGCAGAUGGGGUACAUAACACCAAAAUAGAUAGCGGAGAUGGUGAGGUACAAAAAAAAGAAGAUGGGGUUAAUAAUUGCAAUCCAAAUAAGCCAAAUAAUACUGAUGAUAAUGAGCCUGAAUGGUUGAAGGAGGGGUUGGAAAAAAUAGAGGAUGAGGAUAUUUUCGCAGGUAAAAAAGAUGUGGACAAAAGUAGUAAACCAGAAGGUGGGUCCAUACUACAUUCCACUCAUUUUAAGUCUUAUCACAUGUUCUCUUUCCCUGAGAAGGUGGCUAUCAAGAGUCUUACCAAAAGUGAAACUAGUAAGGAAAAAAAGUCCAGUAAAAAUAAGAAGCAAUCUGCCGGGCCAGAUAGCAUUGGAGAAAUUCCACCUCAUAUCUCAUUUCAGAUUUCAUCUCAAGCUGCAUCUCAAGCUGCUGACCAACACCCAUCUCAGAUCCCAUCACAAGCUGAAGCAGGGAACAGUAAAAAGGCUGAGGAAAAAUCAACAGAAGAAGGAGCACCACAUAUACCAGAAGAGGAUUGGCAAGAACCAGUAGUUUCUGAUGAAGAGUUGCUGGAUAAGUGCGGAUCUGAUGAUGAAGGCCAUGAAGAAUGUCAUGAUUUUAACCCUGAAGUGGAGUUUCUCAAGCCACAUUUUGAGUUGAAGGUUGGGCAGAAAUUUUCCAAUUUCAGAGUUUUUAGAUAUGUGUUGGUCGAAUGGUUGGUAAGAGAGGGAUAUGAUGUUGAUUGGGUAAAAAAUUACUCGAAAAAAAUUAUUGCGAAGUGUGCAAAGGGCUGUUCUUGGAGGAUUCGUGCAACACCAGUCCAAGGUGAAACUACUUUUCAAAUUAAAUCAUUGAAGGGCCAGCAUGUUUGUGCUAGAGAUUACAACAACAAGGAUGCAACAGCUAAGUAUUUGAGCGUGAAGUACCAAGACAAGAUAAGAGGAGACGCGAAGUGUGCCGUGAAUGGAUUUCAGAAUGAUAUUAGAAGAGAUCUAAUGAUUAACAUGUCCGUUGCCAAGAUACGCAGAGCACAGAGAAAGGCAAAAGAUGAGAUGCUUGGCACGGAUAUGGAGCAAUAUCACCACCUUUGGAGUUAUGCAGCUACAAUUAGAGAGACAAAUCCUGGUAGCACUGUCAAGAUUAAGCUUGAUACAGCAGAAGAAGGUUCACAAGGGACAUUUCAAAGACUGUAUUACUGUCUUUAUGCUUGCAAACAGGGGUUCCUCGAUGGCUGUCGACCAAUAAUUGGUCUUGAUGGGUGUUUUUUGAAAUCUGCAUUUGGUGGUCAGUUGUUGUCAGCAAUUGGUAGAGAUGGCAAUGACAAUAUGGUUCCAAUAGCUGUAGCAGUGGUAGAGGUAGAGAGGUAUGACUCAUGGAAGUGGUUUCUGGAACUACUAAUGGCUGAUCUGGGACUUGGUGUGGAAAACAUACCCUGGACAUUCAUCUCAGAUCGACAAAAAGGACUGGUCCAUGCAGUGAAUGAGUUAUUUCCAAAUUCUGAACACAGGUUUUGCUUGAGGCAUAUGUACCAAAAUUUCAAACAGAAGUUCAAAGGAAAAGAGUUGAAGGACUUGUUCUGGGCAGCAGCAAGUGUUGGGAAUGAAGUGGACUGGAAAUUAGCAAUGAAUUCCCUUGAAAAAGCUUCAAAGGAUGCAGCUGAAUGGCUGCAAAAAGUGCCAAGUGUUUUAUGGAGCAGGUCACAUUUUAGACAAAGUAGCAAAUGUGAUAUUCUUGUGAACAAUCUUUGUGAGUCAUUUAAUAACUAUAUCUUAGAAGCUAGAGAGCUACCUGUCAUAGGGAUGCUUGAGUGGAUUCGAAGAAGGCUCAUGCAAAGGAUUCAAGUGAAGAGGACUGGUAUGCAGAAAUUUCAAGGAAAAAUAUGUCCUAACAUUGCAGAGAAGAUUGAUAAGAAUCUGAAAUUCAGUAGGCUGUGUAUUCCCACAUGGGAUGGCAAGAACAAAUAUGAAAUUGACUAUGGGCCCAGAAAAUCUGUUGUGGUGGAUUUGAAGGAAAAGACUUGUACAUGUGGCUAUUUCCAGCUUACAGGUUAUCCUUGUGCUUAUGCAUGUGCUGCAAUAGGAGCAUGUAGAUUGCCUUUGCUUGAUUAUGUGCAUGCCUGCUACAGUAGAGAAAAUUACUUGAAAACAUAUGAGCACACUAUCACACCUGUCCCAAGUAAUAAGUACUGGGUGAGAUGUGAAGAACAACCCCCAAAACCUCAUGUAGUUCGAAGAAUGCCUGGCAGACCCAAAAAGAUCCGGCAAAGGGCAGCCGACGAGCCUAAAAAAGGUCAAGUCUCAACUAGGAAGGGUCUUGUGGUAACUUGCAAUAGAUGUUUUCAGCCAAGACACAAUUCAAGGACCUGUAAGAAUACCAUUCAUCCCAACUCCAAAUUCUACAAGGUAACACAGCUUACAGAUUUCAUAGGCUGAGACUAAUUGCUGUCCCAAAUCAUUUUAAUUGAACAUUAAUAUGACUUGUUUUUUAUAGGCACCUAACACUAAUGUAGUUGAAUCAAGUUCAGAACUUCAUUCAUCAGCUCCUUCACCAAUGGUGCCCCCGCAACCAGCCCCAAAUCAAGAACAAGCUGCACCUGUUCAAAAAAAAAAAGCUGCAGGCUCGGGAAGCAGUAUACGCAGCCAACAAUUGCGAGUGUGGCAAAAAAUGUGCCUGCUAGACAAUCAUGUUCUCAGGUUGGAUUUCAUGUAAUGCAAAAGUGAUUUAAUGAAGCAUUUUUCCUUCAAACAUUCAUAUUUGCUACUUCAAUUGCAGCCUGUGAGUGGAACAACUUCACCAGCAAAAGGACCCCUUCGUCCUACUGUUGCUGAUGUUCUAUACAACCUAAGGUCCAAGAAAGCAAGAAGAUGUUAGAGUUGAUUUUUGAAGUGGACUGUAUGUUUGUUGAUUGCCUUUUUGUGUAGUUUUAAGGAAUUAGUGGUUGCCGUUAGAGUUGUUGGCAAACAACUGGAAUGUAUGUUUCUGAUGUAUUUUGUCUACUCUGUUUGGAAUUGUUAUCAAUUAUUGCAAACUGGAAACUUUGAUGUAUUUUGAUUGGAUGCUUUUGUUUACUUCAUUUGGAGGAUUCUUGUCAGGUGUUGGACACUUUAAUGUACUUAUUGACCGUUUUAAUGGAGCAUUAUGAUUAUGGGCUGCAAUGGUAUUUCUCAAUUGCAUAAGAAGCUAUUUCUGGGCAGUUUUUAUGGGCUAGAAUCUUUCAUGUACUGUUUGUCUGGGCAGUUUUUGUUUGGUAGGAUGUAUUUUGUCUACUCUAUUUGAAAUUGUUAUCAAAACUGGAAUGUUUAGUGGGAUAUAUUUCUGGAAUGUUGGGUGGGAUGUUUGGUGGGAUAUAUUUCUAGAAUAGUUUAUGGACUGGAAACUUUAAUGUACUUUGGUGUACUUAUUACUCAAAACUGGAAUGCAGAAGACGUUAUUGUGUGUGCUUAUUGCUCAAAACUGUUUUUAAUGCACAAAUAUGAUUACAAGUGUAUAUAAUAGUUAGAUGUUUGUUUCAUUGUUUUAGGUAGGACAUCUUUCGGAAUAACAGAAGACUAAAGUGCACAUUUCCAUGAACAAAACAAACUACCUGAUUUUCUUCAUUUCCAUUCAUAAGCUUCUUCAUUGUCUUAUUUUACAGACAUUUUCAUCAACAGAAGCAAAAGUGAAAAAAUAGAUACCAUUAGACAAUAGCUAACUAGUACUUUCAAGUUCUUCACUUCAUCAUUCAAGUUCUUCACUUCAGAAUUCGAGUUCAAGCCCGACAAAUGUUCUUCAACCAUUGGCCUCUGUUCUUCAACCAUUGGCCUCUCAAAAAAGUUUCCUCUGCCGGUUUCAUCUCUAUAGAUGGGAUUACACCAUGAGAAAAAUCUGCAUUCAUCCCUUUCACAAACAAAGUACAGCAUCCCUUUGGAUGGCUUUUCGGACUCAACAAUCUUCACCUUUGCCUUUCUUCGACAGUCGCACAGCUUAUAUUGGUACCGUAGAUUCCUAGCUCCACUAUCCCCUCGAGAGCUUGAGGAAGACAUGAGCAAAUUUUUUAGCCAGUCAUUUCCCUUCAUCAGUAGAUAAAUCCCAAUUUAGUUACCAACAUUCUUACUUUAAACCCUAAUAACAACAAUUUGUUAGCCAAAACCCAAAAUCAAAUGCUUUUACCUUAUGGGCUGCAAUUUGUUAGCCAAGAUUGUGUAGAAGUUCCUCGCAGGUUGACUUCGUAUAUAGAGGAUGGCUUUACCUUUCAAACCUCCUGUGUGGUAAUUUGAUUUCUCCCAAAGGCUAGUUCAAUUUCUCUCCAUCAAGUAGAAAUCGAUUCUAUACACAAGCAUCGCUGGGAGGGAGUUUUAUUGGGGGCUAAGGGGUACAAUAGGAAUAUUUGCUAAAAAUUAAGUAUAAAGAAUUUGUUUUUAGCUUCCAGUACAUCAGUCCCGUUAAUUUUACCGAUUUCCGUCAGUGUUACAACUUAGUUCAAAGCACGGGGUGUCGCGUUGCAUAUUUUGAAACCAUAGGGGGCUUAGUUGUGUAUUAGGUUUAGCACAGGGGGCUUUUUUGUUUUUAACCCGAGAAACUAUCUAAGAGAUGGGGUCUAAUUUCAAAUGGUAAAGGAGGGUAUCAAAUCAGUGGAUUAAGGGGGAAACAGUUAGUUGUAUACUUAAGAGAGAAAAUAUGUACUUGUAACUUGUGGCAAAUUAGUGACCUUCCAUGUUGUCAUGCAAUUUCGACCAUUAUUAAAAUUGGUGGAACCCCUAUGAAUAUACACACGAUUGUUAUAGUAGAGAUGUCUUUUUAGCAAUCUAUGAUAAUGUAUUUUAUCCAAUAAAUGGCAAGUUCCUGUGAUUUGAGAGCAAUAUUCGUACCUUGAAUUCUCCCACACCAUGUGUUCAACCUGAUCGGUCAAAAAGAUCAAGAAGGAACUAAAGUAAGAAAUGUUCAUAUUGGAAAGGAAAAUGUGCAAAAAUUGAAGAAAUAUAUAAUCAUGCACUGCAAAAAAUGUGGGCAAGCAAGUCACAAUAGUGCUACCUGCAAAUAUGUUUCAGAUUCUGGUAUUGCUGGUCCAUCUCACUCUACUGGUAUGAAAUGUGUUGUUACAAAAUCUGCUACAGGCCUGCCACAUAAUCUGAUAGAAGUAAUUCUAGGAAUUACAAGUCCUGAAUCUGGUUUUACAUAAAGGUGCUUUUGGUGCAGAUACCCCUCAACAUGAAGCAUUUGUAGAGUCUGAAACAUUAGCAAGAAAAGAGGGGCAAUCAACAAUAACACUACUCCUGUUAUAUCUUCACAAGCUGAUAGUGUUGGAUAUGUGAAAACUUAUAAUGCUUAAAACGAACAAAGACUAGAUACUAUUGUUAGAACAACCAAGUCAAAACAGAAUAUUAGAAAGACUAAUGCACUAGUUAGUCCACAAUUUUGGUCCUACUGUUUUGACAUUUUUCUUAAUUGAAUUGUUUAAUUUACAAUGUGUUCAUACUGUCUAUAUUUAUUGCCCACAGAUGAGAAGAAUUAGGCCUACAAUUGCUAACCAAGACACCAGUGGCACUGCUGGACAUAUGAAUUCUGGAGCUCAUAAAAAGACAGAACCUGGCAAGAGAAAGUUGAGUGAUAUAAAUAAAAUUAUGAUCAAUACUAACUACGAAUACUUAGAUAAAGAAUCUCCUUUUAUGGUUAAUAGAUGGGCUGGAAGUUCAACAAACACCAGAGGUGAAGGCUCAACUUAAGGGAUCCAUCAAUUGUUUAUAUAUAUAUAUAUAUAUAUAUAUGUUGAUUUUACCUUCUCCAAUUAUGUCUAUUUGUAUUUGCCAUGUAUAAAACCAAAGGAACAGCUCACAUCUAAAUUCACAAUUAUAACAUUGUUUAAGAAAUAAAAUACAUUUUCAUCCCAAAAGGGUGAAUAACACCUGACAAAAUAAAGUGUAAACAUUAGUAUUACACAUAACAAUAUGUACAACAAACAAAAUUACCUACAAGAAACUACAAGAACAAUGGUGUCCUAAUACCCAUCAAAUUGCAACUUGCCAAAAUAAUGUCCAUUUGUAGGCUCCCAAAUCCAUAUCAAUACAGUCACAAUUACUCAGACCGCAACAACAAAAACAAUGAACAAAUUUUUCCUCGACUUACUCCCAAGUUUCUCUUUCACCUUUCUAUCUUGGACCUCCAUUUUUUCAGCUUUGUUUUGCCAUUUUUGAAUAUCUUCUCACAAUGCUUCAUUCUCCGAUUCUAGCCUAUUUGCUUUUCUCAGAAUACCAGGUAUUACUUGUUUCGAAUGAGCACACAUUUCAUUAUCAUAACACUCCUAAUAGCCAUAUCCAUCAAUCUAACCAAAAUUUUUUGUCCCAUCAAAUUGUAUAACACACCCUUUAAUUUCUCAACUUUAAUCUCCAAAAAAAAAAAAAAAAAACCUCACCUUAUCACGAGCACGUUCAAGGUAUUUUUUUAUUGGGUUUCUAUCAGUCCAUGAAGUCUUUAAAAUAGUUUUUCUUCUGUAUUGACAAAUCGGAGUUGCUUCCUUGCGGCUUGACAUCGUGGAGUUUUAACCUUUCCAACAAAGUAGAGAUUCCAAAAUAGUUGUUAAACUCACCUCAAAUCUAACCACCAAAUCUCAAGAAAAUGAUGGGUUCAAGAAAGUUGGGACAAGUUAUUGUGACUUGGUCGUUUAUAAAGAUAAAAAUUAGCCAAAAAGAUUAACCGACAAUUUUGACCCUCUAAAAUCAAGUCCGCAAGUGCAGAUAAAGAGAUUUAGUUUGAGUUUACGGUGAAAUUACAUAGAAUGCUACAAAACAUGCACUGUCGUUAGUUCAUUAACAUUUUUUAUUAACAAAUAAAUUUAGUGACUUGAACAAGUACCAGCGCAUAAUUUAGUGGCAUUUCUACCGAUCUGCUCGUCGCCAAAAUGUCCACUGACUUGAAAAUUAAAAGUUAAAUGCUGAAAACGUUUACCAUUAGUUGUGUUAUAUCAGUCAAAGUACAGUAUUUUGAUUUUUGUCCCUAUAGUUAAUGUAUUUUGCCAAUUAACCCCAGUUGUUACUAAUAUUUAUCGAAGAGCCUUGUAUCAAAGGAUCUUUUAAAAAAUGCUCGAGUCCAGUCAUAAUAUAAAGGUUGUAAAUCGUAUUUCCUAUGAAUAAGUAUAAAAUAACAAUUCAUGGCCGACGAGGAUAGUGGUUCUAGAAAUCCUAGAUAAAGCAACGAAAAUUUUUCAUACAAGAUAAUAUAUCGUACUAUUAUCUAGUUUUAAUACGUGAUUAUAAUGGAUCACAUACAUUAAAUAUUUAAAUCUAAUAUUCCUAGAUGAAAAAAAAAAUUGUAACAUGGUCGCGAAGGAUCUUGGACCAUUCAGAAUACGUUUGAGCAUACGCCAGUAAAUGUUCUGGCAAUAAUGAGAUGCCAACACAGGAAAAAGAAUUUUUGGGAAGUAAUGUAAUUCAACCUUGUAACAUCAAGGUUCAGUUCAGAUUUUAUCAAACAGAGAUCUACAACGCCCUACUCAUCAUCUCUCCUGCUCCGAGAAAGCAUCUUCCAAUUAACCCAGGAAUGACAGGGGAUACAACUUACAACGUGAUACAACAACAGUAGGUUAUUACAUUACAUCCGACUUCUCAGAAGAUGCUAACACCAAAGAAAACUAGUUGCCUAGCCAAGAUUUCAUCCAAAGUAACACCAAAUGACCAAUUAUUAAAAGACGACGUUCACGCGUGAAAGCCAAAAUUUGAUUUUGCUUAGGAAGUUACUAACAGAAAGAUAACAUGUUCUAUUACGAUCACCAUCUUCUAUAACCUUUUACUCUCCCAAUACAACCAUAGCACUGGCAACGAGCAUCAAAUCCCUCUCUUCAGCUGCUCUUUGAUUUGUCUGAUAUCCCUUGUCAGCAUUCUCGGUGCUAUGGCCAUUGACAUGAGCUCUUGGAACAGCAGUUUGCAGGCAUAUGGAAUGUGAACCUGAGAAUCAACCAAAAUCAAACACAAACAUCUCAGGCUCAGGCACCCAUUAAAGCAUACGCACAACAAUCUAUUGUUCGUGUGUGAUUGGGUCUAUGGUAAGGGGGCUUCAUAAGAAAAGUAUGGGGGCUACGGAUUAUUGAUGGAAUUUAACAAAGAAUGGCAUCAAACUGGUGGUAGUUAUUACCUGGACUAUGUCAGUUUUGUUCUUGCAGCUUCUGCACUCAAAAGAAUUCUUCUUCAAGUUUGCAAUCGCAAUCAACCCACAACGCUCACAAACAUGGACCCUGUAUGCAUCACUUUGGUCAAACAAUCUUUCCUUGAGAAAGUGAGCGGCACCAUGGGCGAUCAUGCAAUCUCUCUCCAUCUCUCCAAAUCGGAGACCACCAUCACGUGAUCGCCCUUCCGCUGGUUGCCUGGUGAGGAUCUGAACUGGGCCUCUCCCACGAGAAUGGAUUUUAUCAUCAACCAUGUGCUUCAGCCUUUGGUAAUAAGUAGGCCCAAGGAAAAUAGUGGCCGUUAAAGGUCUCCCAGUGUGACCAUUAUACAUUCUUUCAAAACCACGCAUCUGGUAUCCACAUUUGUGCAGGGCUUUACUGAUGUUAUCUACAGUGACAUCAGUAAAAGGCGUAGCAUCUCCCUCUUUUCCCAUGUGCGCAGCAACCUUACCCAUGAUACACUCAAUCAGCUGACCAAUUGUCAUUCGAGAAGGAAUAGCAUGGGGAUUUACAAUAAUGUCAGGGGUUAUUCCUUCAAUAGUGAAUGGCAUAUCUUCUUGAGUGUAGGUCAUGCCUACAGUUCCCUUCUGACCAUGCCUACUGCUAAACUUGUCUCCAAUUUGCGGAAUGCGAACAGAUCUCACCCUCACUUUAACAAACCUCAAACCAUCAGCAUUUGUUGUGAGUAGGACCUGAUCCACCAUACCAGUCUCACUAUGGCGCAAACUUGUGCUAUGAUCACGCUUGGUGUAUCGAGUAGCUAAUGCUGAUGGAACCUGAGCAUCAUCCUGAUGAAUAGGAGUGGUCUUCCCAAUGAUCACAUCCUCACCUGAAACUCUCGUUCCUGGUGGGGCGAGACCAUCAUCAUCCAAUUUAUCAUAAGAACCAUGUCGCAUGCCCAUGGUGUUAGACCUAUCUGGGCGCCCGAAGUCCUCUUUGACUAAAGUCCCCAUCUUCUUCUCCUCAUCUCUGUACGAUCGGAAAAACAGAGAUCGAAAGAAUCCACGAUCAACAGACGACUGAUUCAUAAUGACAGAAUCUUCUUGGUUGUAUCCAGAGUAGCAAGAAAUGGCAACAAUUGCAUUGAUGCCAGCAGGUAGUUGCCUGAAGUGCAAGUGCUCCAUGGCUCGAGUAGUAACAAGUGGUUUUUGAGGAUAAUAUAGCACAUAGGCCAAAGUGUCCUGAUGCAAAAAAGGAGUGAGUAACCAUAAAGUAUACAUCAACUGAUGUAACAGAAAACAUGGUGAAUAAAGAUCAAAAUUCUACCAUGCGAAAUUGGUAGUUUGUGACAUAUAUUCCCAUCGCUUGCUUACCCAUGGCAGACUGAUACGUGUUACGAGGAGACUGAUAACCAAAAAAAAAAAGGUUAGACAACUCAAAUAAAUAGCAAUAAUACCUUCAUUAACAUACUAUUAGGGGAUAAGAGUAGGCUCACCUGAUUGUGGUCAGGGAAUGGUAUAAUUGAAGCACAAACACCCAAAAUGAGUGAUGGGUGAAUCUCACAAUGCGUAUACGUAUCAGAAUAGGCCUCCUCAGGAUUCAGCCUCGCCGUUACAAGAUCCUUGAACAAUUAGCAUUGACAUUUCAACAUCUCAAAUUAUCUUAAGACAAUGAUUGAGAGAGAGAGGGAGAGAGAAAGGGAGGGAGGGACAGAGAGACUCAAGUUACUAACAUUAAUGGUCAUUGAAAUCAUAGUGGUUUCUUCUUCUUCAGUGUCGAUGUAUUCUAUGAAUCCCUUGGCCACAAGGUCAUGCCAGCCACCUUCUUCUGGGGACUCCUAUAAAAGAAUAAGCAGGUCAUGAUAUAAGCAGAAACAUCAGAAGCAUAAGCAAAGAAUAGAGGAAGAAUUCAGGAUCAAAAUGAAUGUACCCUUGCUUGCAAGGCUUGAAUAUCCUUCUUCUUAAUCAGAAGCCUUUGCUUUUCCACAAUAAAUAAUGGACGACUGCAGCGGCCAUAAUCAGUAUAGAUGCGCAGUUCCUUUAAACGAAUAUCACGAACUACACCAACCUCUGUGUUAACAUCAACCUGUUCAUCCAAAAGAAGUAAAAUAAUUAACACUCUGUGUGACAAACAGCACAAUUUGAAUAAUGCUUAUUCAAAUUAUGAAUGCUGGAAAUUAUGUUGCUGUAGUCUACACAUGGAUGGGAAAAACACGAUCCAGUAACUACUUAAAAGAAAAAUUUGCUAUGUUUAUACAAAAACAUGUUAACUAACCCAUAAAGAAGUGAACAGAUAUUCUGAAGCCAAUGCUAAUUAACUCCACUAGCACCUUAUAAAGGUUUUUCUUUUUUAAGUCAAUUUCAACACCAUUGUGAAAGAUGGCUUUUCUCAAAUUAAACUUCCUCAAUUGAUGAUUUGGCACCUUUCAUUCUACACUGUGAUGCAGACAUCUAAAAAAAUAUGAACAUCGAGUAGCUUAACCAAUGGUAUAAGUCCAUUCAAUAAGAUAGUAAAUCAUGAGGCUGCACACAGAUAAGCGCUACAAAAACUACAAAACAUGUCUCAGCAAUCAUGCCUAAACAAAGGACAGUUAAAAAAGAGACAGAAAAUCCAUCCUCACCCGUCUUCUCAGACGCCUCAGGGUCCUGACCAACAUAUCAGGGUCACGGUGGAUACCAACCCAACAACCAUUGACAAAGAUUUUUGUAGCUUGUGGAAUGACUGCAGGUGAAAUUUCCUACAACCCAAAGGGCAUGCCUUGAGAUCAGUGGUCAUAUAGAAAAUUCAGUCUUCCAAAGAUGUAGAGAUUUCUCACCUCAAAAUUCUCAGUUCCCCAUUCCUCCAAAAACUCCAGAAUGGGAUAUGCUGCUGAACCAACUGUUAUGUACACCAUCAAAGCUAGAUUCUUCACAAGUCCACACGCCUGAUAAGACAGCAAGGGAGAUCAAAUAUGUGGUUUAUCAAACAAUCAACAUUUGGCAAAAUGGGGAAAAAAGAAGCAAAUGAACUGCAACAUGUCAAAAAUUCUCUCAUCAGCAGUGUACUCACCUGUCCUUCAGGCGUUUCUGCUGGGCACAUCAUUCCCCACUGCGAGUUGUGCAAUUGCCUUGGUUUGGCCAGUUUCCCUAUAAUCAAGAACAAUCUCGAUCAAAGACAAUCAAAGAAAAUACUAAACUUUAACUGCAUGCCUAUCACCAAUCUUUCCUUUAGUAUUUUAAUUAGUAUUUUAACUUAGUCCCUACUGUCAUCAAUCUUGUGCAUUCAUGACUCAGUGAGAGAGGAGGAUAGAGAGGUCAUGCAAAUCCACACAUCUCAAUCUUUACUGCAUGACUAGAUGAAACGUACACCCAAAGGAGAACCAUUGGAAGAAGAGAGAGGGGGUGGGGGGCGGGGGAGGGAAGACAUUCACCUUCACGCCCUAUUGGAGAAUUUAGCCUCCGCAAGUGUGAUAAAGUUGAGGCAUAAGUCAAACGAUUUAACACCUGCAGUUUUCCAUUUCAUUCAAGUUAAUACCCACUGCAUCCCUAGAUUAAUGAAUGACAUGUAGAAAUCUAAAAAUAAACCUGUGAAACACCAGCCCUUGUACCCGCUGCAUUUGCUUGCCCCCAGUUACCAGUGGCAAGUGAGUAUUUAAGGCCACUGGUUAUAGUUUUUGCUUUGAUUGCAAAUUGCAGGUUAACGUCUUUUCCGUUGUCAACACACUGUAAACAAUGAAUAACAUAUUAAACAAGAGCCAAUGAAAAUAAGCAUCAGCAUAACUUAAGAGAAGAGUCUGCAUUAAGUACCUUCUGAACAUAAGCUCUGACAUCCCUGGUUAAUUUUCUGAACAGCUGCACCCAUGCAUAGACAUCUGAACUUAGUAACAGCCACUUUCAAAAGUCAAUUGAAUUAAAGAACAUCAUGAUCAAUUACAAACCAUUCUAAACAGGCCACCAAGCAAUGGACCAGCAAGAUCCAGUCUUUUGUUUCCAUAGUGGUCUCUGUCGUCUUCUGCCCUUCGGCCAAGUGCACACAGCAAAAGCCGAUGGAUGAUGUAGCUGUUAGGUGCAAAAAUUUGUUUAUCAUAAUAAAGGUAUCACCUCCAAAUACAGUUAUGUAACAAAUUCAAUGCAAGGCAUACCCAAAAUAGUAUGCUUUCUUUGUUUCACAGUAUUCUCCAACCCCAACAUGUGGAAGCAUUUCUUUCUGAAGAAUCUCUUUAGCAUACCUGUAAGUAGAUGAAAAAACAUUCUCACAUGCAAUUCAAGUGGAGAAGCUAGGCAUUACUUGAAUCAAUGACAAACAAUUCUCGAGCACAUACUUAAUCCUCUUUUCCCUUGUGACGCCAACAGUAGCUCCUCUUUUUCCAAUAUAAUCCAGGGCAACCUGCAGCAAAUAACAUAAUUUACCAGACUGAAACAGGAAAAAGUGCGGACUCGUAAUUUUCCAAAUUCUUAAGCCUAAUAAGAAAACAUGCAAAUGGCACACAAACAUGAACCAAGAGAAAAAAGAAAAUUAAUGCAGGGUACCAAAUUGGUUUAAAUUGCUAAACAGAAAUUCAUUAAAUAUAUCAAAGUCUUGGAAGAAACUGUUGCCAACUCAAACCCAGUCACAUGUGAGACACGUCCGAUUGGAAUUUUUUCAAACAAAGGGGGAAGAAACAAUUGUGAUAGAAGGAAUACUUGAAGAGCUAUUAUGAUCAGUGGAACUCGAAGUAUCAUACAUGCACUAAACAUACUAAAAGAGAAAAACCAGAAAACUUAGAGAAGGCAGGCAAAAUCUACAGAGCUUGAAGCCCUACAAGGAGCCUACCUGUUGAUUUUGUAUAACAAAUGCUUCUUCCAAGGAUGGACGAAGCAACUCCAUCAUUUGGGUAUCAGAGAAAUCAUAGCAAAUAUGUUCCAGUAUAUCUUUGUCAGCAACAAACCCCAAUGCUCGAAAAACAAUAAUGAUAGGAAUUUCUGUUCGGAUGUAUGGAAGGGUAGCACGUAUAUACUGGCCUGAAGCACCCUGCAAUUACCCCAACUAAUUAGCAACUCACUGCCACUUCUGCAGAGAAAAAGUCCAGCAAAUAAAUGAUAAACUUUGGUUCUGCAUAUACCCCUUUGGCACUAGACCGAGAAAGCAUUCGCACAAACAUUGUGCUGGGAGGUCUAUUCUGUGUCUCGGCCAUGGACCGGACUUCUGCCACGUAUGCAUACUUGUUGGGUUGCCUCUUUUUGAACACAUAGACGUGAUUAGUGCUCAUUUUCUCCUGAGCAAUCAGAACCUUUUCACUUCCGUUGAUGAUGAAGUACCCUCCUUGAUCAUAUGGGCACUCUCCAAGCUCAGUAAGAUCCUUUUCUGAGUUCUGGAACAAUGUACAGUAACUCGACCGGAGCAUUAUAGGGACCUGUUCAAACAAAUAAGACAAGUAUACAUUAAAAAGCAGAUGAUUGAUUUCCCAGAGAUCAUAUCAUUAUUCUCACCCCUCCCCAGGCACCAAAAGAAGAGUUUUGGGGAUUGGGGGAAGCUGUUGGAAAGGCAAAGUGAAAAACUGCACCUUCCCAAUGAAGACUUUCCCAAAAUCCUGAGUCUCAGUAACUUCCUCACCAUCAUGCCCUUUCUUAAUGACUCUCUUCAUCACGUCCACAUACAAGGGGGCCGAAUAUGUCAGAUUCCUAAGCCUUGCAGCCUUUGGAAACAAUGUUGCAGUUUCUCCAUCUGACUCCGUCAUCAUGGGCUUGCUCAGAUAUAUCUGGCCAAAACUGAUCUUAUACACAGUCUGCAAAAGCAUGAUGAACAAAGUUAUGACCAUUUACGUCCAAGUAACUCUCAGCUCAGUCCUUCAAUCAGCAACAUAGUUAUCAACUGGAGAACAAGAAAUCAAGAGAAAAAUUGUUUGAUAUCCUCUACUUUACCCAACCCCAUAAUUGCAGAAAAAAAUGGAAAGCACUAUAAAAGGAAAAUAUUCUAUACCCGAACUUAGAAAAUUAAAUCACCCUGUAAUUUUUAGCUCCUUUAAAGUUUAUAAAACAUUCCCAUAAAACGCUAAUAAGAGUUGAAGAUCCCUUUCAUUUCCCUUAAACCACAGAAGCUACUCUAAGUGCAAAGUUGUUACUAGCUCAUGUUUUCUUGUUUCCAUUCAAUUUAACUCACUUAACCAUUUCAAUUCCACAGAAUUCGUCUAGUACUAGGAUCCAACCGCUCUGAUUGAUGAGUUAUUAUUACUCAUACAAAAUGUCAGCUUCAUAUACAAUCCAAAACUUGACAAUUCCGACAGCAACCGAGCACUAAUUCAAACGCUCCCUAACAAAACCCUAGAAAAUCUUCCUCUGCAGCCACGCCCAGUGCAGAUUGCACAUCAAAGACUCCUUAUCCUUUACUUUUACUUCAUUCAAACCCUUGAAUUCACUAAACACAUGCCGUAAACCUCAAAUUUGAUACUCCAAUCCAUUACUCAAAAGACAUCCUUCAAGCCGCCAAAAAAAAACCCUAAGCAAAACUCAACUGAGGAAUCACCGCCAAUUUUUUUCAAAAUUACUUCUGAAAAACAGAGUCAGAACUGCAUUAUUACCCAAUUGUCAAGUCAUCUUUAUCAAAUUUAAAAGUUAGUCAUAUUCGAGCAAGUUCUCGACCUCAGCGAAAUCGGACUGGUGACCCGGAUUGUGCUGGGACUCAGGUCGGAUCUCAAUAUCCGCGGAUUCAUCGACGAUUUCUUGCAUUGUGUUCUGAAUAAAUUCAUCGAAGGAGUCCAGCUGCUGUCUCACUAAUCCCUUCUCCUCGAAGUAAGCACUGAUCACUGCCCAAGCAUCCUCUUGGGUAAUCUCCUCCUCCUCGUCGUUGUACUGAUUAUCCUCGUACUCGUCUUCCAUAUCCAUAUUAUUUGACUUGGUAGUUCUCUUCAAUUCAAAAUCAGUAAAACUUUUAGCGACAGUGGACGCCCGAUCCGGGUUGGUUUUUGGGUAGAGAGAGAAAGGUCCGAAGAGAGUCCAACGAGGAGGAGAGGAGGAGGAAAAUGAGUUGAAAAAUGGGGAGAAGGUGGCUUAUAUCGGGAGGGAAAGAACUGGAAACCGGGGCAAAUCAGGCAAGUCGGCGAGGAAAAUAUUUGGGGGAUUUAACCUUUUUUUUUAACUUCAACGAGUGAUUCGAACCCAAUUUUUCUUUUCCUUUUUUUUUGUGGAUUUGAGAUAAAGAUUUUUCUUCGUACUUAUAUAUUAAAUUGAUCCCUUUAUAUAUGCAUGUAUAUAUAUAUUUAUUGAGAAAGUGAAACUACAUGGAAUUCUUCUAUAUUCCUAUAUUUUUGGAAAAUUGUUAAAAAUGUAUUACAUAGAACAUAAUUAACAUAUAGACAAACUGAACAAUGGUUAUGCUUUUCACCCUUUUAUUUAUUAGUUCCCUCAUAACAUUAUACAAAGUAAUGCAAAAUUGAAGAAUGUGCACUAUUUUCUUGUAGAUAAAGUGGAUUUUACAUGAUGAAAAUUGUUUUUUAGAUUUUAGUUAAUAUAUUGCAGAAAGACAUAGAAUUGUGAAGUUUUGAAAAUUUAAAAUUGGGCUUUUCUUGUAUAAAAAUAUAGGUGGCCUUAUUUUUUUUGUUCAUUUUCGAAAAGUAUUCGUUUAGCGUCCACAUUUCUUGCCACCAAAGUUCCUAACUUCCUAUAUUAGAUUUGUCAAGCUUAACCACAAAAUGUCCUUAUUUGAAACAUUUUCAAAAGUUUGAGGGUUGAAAAGCUAUAAGCCCUGAAGUUGCUCUGUACUUGGAAUAUUGAAUACACUCAAACAAAAUUGAUUUAUCAAGCCUGUAAAAUUGUAGCUAUCAAAAUUUUGAGAAUGCACUUUUUUUAAAAGCUAAGAAGCAAACUUUUUUUUUUUUGAGGGUACAACAAAGUUUUCAUUCAUUCAAAUCAUAGAUUACAGAUUUAAUAAACGAAGGAGGGAAAUCAUCCCACCAAACAGUUGAGAAAAUUUUGCUAAAACAUGAGCUAACAAAUUUCUAAUUCUACAAACAUGGGAGAUUUUACAACAUCGAAAAAUUUUAUUAAGUAUCCGGGUCUUGUCCGAUAGAUUACUAAAAUUAGAAAAAUCACUUCAUGGCAAAGCUUGGCAAACCUAAAUUUGGAUAUAACUAUUUAUGUGAAAUAUCUGAAUUAUAAUAAUGAUCGGAAUCGAAUUCAUUCAAACUCUUAUAUACUAUAUACCGAAUAAAGAAAUAUCUGAAUUGUGAUUUAAAAAAAAGUUUUGAAUUGGGGCCCCAAGAUGUCCAGUCAUGCUACUGUUCAUGUUUCAACUAGAUCACUAAAAAGUACUUGGAAAAUAAUAACCAAAAAGCAUGGUGAAUUUGACGUCACACAUUCACAUUUUAGGCCUCUGAGAGUAAUUGGGCGCAGGUCUAUUUUGUAUGGAUAGAGUUUCUUAUCUACGUGUCAAAGCCCAAAACAAACAUCCGAGCCCGUCAUUGCAGAUGGAUAAGUAAAAGCGUCAAACUGGUCCAGAGGGCCAAGUGUCCGGAACUCAAACUUCUUGUGCUUCUGGUAUGAACACAGGAUCACCAAGUUGAAGUCCAACGUAUAAUCAUUUAUGACGAUUUUUUUUUUUAUUUUUUUUAGUGUAAGUGCGAGGAUUCAAACUUGAAACCUCUCAGCUUUUCCAUAUCAUCCAAUCUAUUCCUUCCCCGUUUGGGAUGAGUAUAUUUUGCGAACAAAGGCAAAAGAGAUAAAUAUUAUUAUACUUGGAUAGUUGCACACUUGCACUAAGGUAUUUCCUUCCUUUUUUUUUUUUCUUUUGUGUGGUUGUAGAAGCAAAAGAAAUUUGUAUGUCAGACCAAGAACUAAAUAAGAAUUUAAAUUCAUGAAUGAGCUAAAAAUAGUGAAAAUUUUGAAUUAAUGAUGCGUUUAAUAAAACUGAAUUCUGAAAUUUAAAAGCUGAAGUCUGAAUUCGUUAAAUUAUUGAAUUGUCAAGUACUAAAUCUGAUACAUUUAAGUAUAUAUAAUGUUAAAUAAUAAGUUAAUGACUUAUCACUUAUUUUGAGAGCAAGUUUUGUUUAGAAAAUUCACUGUCAUUUAAUUAAUUCAGAUAUUCUAUUUUUUGUUAUCAAACACGUCUGAACAUAUUAAGAUCUAAACCUAUUAAGUUUAAGUGCUGAAUUAGGGGUCCGUUUGUUUCGGGUGAAAAUAUUUUCCAGGAAAAUAUUUUCCUAAUUUUUCAUGUUUGGUUGCACAAAAGUUACUGAAAACAUUUUCCUAUGUAAAAUAUUUUCACUCAUCUUAUGGAAAACAACUUUCCUUCCAAACUUACUGAAGUUGUUUUCCGAAAUGCGUGCAUCCCGCCUGUAGUAUGUUCCAAACUUACUGAAAACAUCUUGUAGUAUGUUUUUUUUUUUUUUGAGUGUAAACAGGAGGACUCGAAUCCAAGACCUCUUCCUUACAUUCCCUCCCCCCUACCACCCAACCCAACCCAACCCUCCCCUAGUAUAUUCAAAAUAAAAAAAAAAAAACCUCAUCCUGCUUAUCCUAUGUUAGUAAUCAAUUAUGUAUAAUAGGGACAUUCUUUUCUAGAGAAACUUUCAGCAGUGAGAAUGCAAGAUAUAUGUCACAAUAAGCAUUGCAUGUGAUUGAUAUUUGACACUAAAUGGCCAGCAAUUUGUUUAUUGCUUAAGGAGAUAUUUUUUAUUCAUAUAUACAUUUCUCCAAGAUUUUUUAAAGUUAAACAAUGAGAUAAAUUUUCUUAUUUUGCAUGGGAAGAAGUAUGUAGUUAUAAUGUGUAGAAAGUAAAGAUAGAGAUAAAAGUGAAAAUAUUUCAAAAGUUAAACAAAUACCAGAAAAAUGAAGUAAGAAAAUAUUUUCAAUAAACUAACCAAACACCUGAAAAUGAUGAAAGGAAAAUGAUUUUCAUGGAAAAUUACUUCCACGGAAAAUAUUUUCCCAAGGAAAACAUUUUACUUCCAACCAAACAGACCCUAGGUUAUCAAAUAUGGCUAAGAGUCUAAGACUACUGCUUACAACCAGGGUUUCUGUUUUUAACCCAAAAAAAAAAAAUGUUUAAGUGGCCUAUUGAAUAUAGAUGGAAAAAGCUACAGGAGUACUUUUUAUUUUGGUGUAUAACCCCCUGCAGUGUCUGUAAUCACUUUGAAACUGUUAUUACAUUUUUUGUAACAGCACACGCUUGAAUCGUAAUUUCUGAGAGGUGUAUUAUAUUUGAAUUAUCGAUAAGUGUCAGUUGUCAAAACGAGUUUAUCAGGCACUGAUUUUUUCCAUCAUAGUAUUGAGUUGCAUGCUGAAUUCUAAGAAAUCCAUCAUAUUGAGUUGUAUUUAUUGUAUUUUGGAUAGUUUUUAACCUCGUCAACUUUCAACCAAAGUGAGCCAGUCUCUACCAUUGCCUUUCAUCGCGGACAGACUUAAGUGUAACAAAUCAAUGAUCGAUCAAAAUACUGGCUAUAUUCCGACUUUACGAAGUGUGUUAUAUACUUCUUAGUAAGAAAAUUGUGACUUUAUGUAUCUUUGUAUUUCUUGCAUGCAUCUUUGUUUGCCAAAGGAACACCAUGCAUGCAUGCAGAUGUCCGUAUAUAUACUGGCUAUGAAGGACAGGAGCUAUUCGAUUGAGCAAAAUGUCAACAUUUUUUUUCAAACGAGAUUAGUAAUCCUGAAGAAAUAAGAUUAAUAUAUAACUCGAUACAAUUUCUAGUACUCAGCAGUUGAUCCUAUAUAUCUAAACUGCUGUGGCUAAUCUUCAUUCAGAAUUUGCUGAGGAGAUUUGUUCUUUACUGAGGCAAGAAUAAAAACAGCCAGAACAACAUUUUACUCUACCCUUAAUUACUGGCAUUGGAAAUUUAAUAUUUUACCUCCCAAAGGGUGAUGAGUAAUGACCCUCCAGCAUUAUUAAUUAAUUUGUGAAACGUAUAUUAGACUUUCACGGAUAUGUGCACGUUAUUACCACUGAUUAGUCCCGGAAAUAAUCUGCUGGUGGGUCGUUGAGCUGUCCAUUACAAUGGCACAAAUAGUCAAAUAUUCAUUUCUCAAUCUAUUAAACUAAAAAAAGGUCAAAGAUCAUUCUUUAAAGUAAAUUGACCCGUCCAUAUGACGUAAGAGGCACAAGUCUUCCAUGCAACAACGUGGGAAAACUACAUUGGCACUUUAAGUAAAUUCAUUUUGCCCUUCUUCAAGUCGAGAGAGAUUGGUAAAUCAUUUGGUAAUAAUAAUGACUAUCAAAAGAUGUUUCUUUUGGUAAUUGUGUUUUAAUUAAGUUAAAAUGAUAAAAGCUUAUCAAAAUUUUUGAUGUACCUUAACACUGAUAACAAUUAAAAGAAUGAACAAUACUCCUAAUUAAAGUCUACUAUAUUAUAUGUUCUUGUCUAGAUUAUACAAAAUGAUCAAUAUUGAAAAAUUUCUGAUGUAUGGAGUCCGAUCUAGUACUCUUAGAAAAUGACCCUUGUUGAGUCGUCUGAUGAUUUAAUCAAAUUGUGGUGCAAAUGGUAGUCUAUACACCCAUUAGGUUACCAAGAACGCGACCCUAGAAGACAAGUCUACCACCCUCGUAUCUGCCUUUCCUAACUCCGGCGGUACACCUCUUGCUAUCCACCCGUCUUUUUCAGUAAAUUAUAUAUACUUGUCCUUGACAUCAUAUUUUAAACUUCAAUCUCCUUCAUUUGAACUAGAAAAUUGCAAAAAUUGUUUCCUUGCCUCAGUCGAUCGAUCCAAACUACAAUCCUUUCCAGAACACCAUCUCCCAACUGACUGAUUUUCCUCUCUGAAGCCAGGCCUGUCUUGAUGACUUUGGCUAAGAGAGUCCCCAUCUUUCUGCUCAGGCUCCUGGCCUUGGGAGCUUCGGUCACUGCAGCAGUUGUGAUGGUUUCAGCACGUGACUCUGCUCAAGUCUUGAACGUGACCUUUGAAGCAAACUAUACCAAUUCACCAACUUUCAAGUAAGGGACUCUUUUUCCUUCUUUUAUUUUUGUGUUUAAUUCUUUCUGUACAUGCAACUGAGGACUAAUGGAGAGAGGGAGAAAUGUUUUCAUAUCCCCUCCUUGUCAGCCUGGUAUACAUUAAAUGCUCUACCAGUGACAACUGAGCUAGCCCAUCGAAAGUAUAUUUAUGAAAUCAAAAUAUGUUUGGAUACAAGAUUAUUUGAAAAAAGUUUUUUUGAGAAGAAUAUGGCAGUAAUUAUUGUGAUCUGAUGCACGUAAAAUAAAGUACUAAUUGAUAAUUGUGUUUAUGAUGCAACAAAAAAAAUUUUACAAAAAAGUUAGCUAUCCGAAAACCCCAAAUUGUUAUGGCUUUGUAACAUGCUGUUAUCUUCUGGAACAGAUACUUUGUGAUCAUAAAUGCAGUGGCAGGUGGCUAUACCCUCAUAGUACUGUUCUGUCCGUCUAAGGUUUCACUGUUCCGAUUCUUGUUAGUCUCAGAUUUGGUACGUGAUUAUCUUCUUUCUCUUCUCUUCUCUUCUCUUCUCUCAUGAUCGAUUACUGGCCGUUAUGGUAAAAUAUUGCCUUCUGAUCUUUCUUGCAUUUAUAUAGAUUGUUACGCUGUUGUUGGAUUCAAGCGUUUCAGCUAAUAUAGCCAUCGGUCAAGUGGGAAAGCAUGGGAACUCGCACGCUGGCUGGUUACCUAUCUGUAAUCAAGUUCCAAAGUUUUGUAACCACGUUGCAGGAGCUCUUAUUGCUAACUUUGUGGCUUCUUUAGCGUAUUUAGUUAUUCUUCUUUACUCUCUUCACAUUGUCCUCAAUCUUCCCAAACCUUAAAGGUUUAUGUCCUCUAGCUCUUAUGGAGAUUUUGUCUUCUUCUUUUCUUUUCUUUUUUUUCUCUCCUUUUGCUUCAACAUUUGCCCUUCAAACUUCUAUACAGUAGAUGUCAUUAUCCAUCAAUGAAUACGACUAGAUAAAUGGCUGCUUGAAUUAGCACGCAAUAACGUAUUGUGUCAUGUAGAAAGGAAUUGAGAUCCUCGUAUUAUUGGACAUUUUUUGGUUUCAAGGGAUGAAAAGUCUGUCUUCAUUGUCAGUUUGUAACUCUCUCUUCCCGUAGGAAAUGAAUGGAUGAUGCUAAUGUGCAAUUUGAAUUUGUUCAACUUACUUGUGCGAUUUGGUUUAGUUUUUUUUUUUUGUUUCCUUAAAAUCCAAUAAUUAUUUUAGUUCUUCUUUUGUUUUCUUAAAAUUCAAUAACUAUUAACUGAGUAAUACACAAAAUUUAACAAAUUUAAAAAAUCAAAAUGCAUAAAAAAUGAGAUUUUUUUAAUGAAUUUUCUGCUAUAUUUUUUAAUUUUCUAUGACAUGUUACUUUUUAAAAUUAUUGUAUUUAUUUUUUACUAAGUUAAUAGUUAUUGAAUUUUUAAAAAAAUUAAAAAGAACUAAAAUACGAUGUCCUUGAAAAUGAAAUUACAAUAUAAUAAAAUGUGAGACAAACGGUAGCACAAGAAAUGAAACAGAAAAUCCGUUUCAUACGUUGCACUAAUCUCAACAUAAGACUAACGUUGCUAAAAGCCUAUCAUUUGCAUAUUUACGUCUGCCGUGUGUAUGAAGAUGUGAUCAUUCAAAUAGACAACUAGCAGAUCAACUGAAGCUCUUACUGCUAAACGUUCUCAAUCUCAAUUUGACCAUGUUUUAUUUCAAACAUCUUAGAAGACUUACUUUGAUUAUCCAAGGACUCGAUGUUUCAUAAGUUGCUCGUUGAAUCGAACCAUAACAACAAAACCUUACUUGUGCUCGAUAGUUCUGUCAAAAGUUUUUUUUUUUUUUUUUUUUUGUUUUUGGGAAUGUCCAGAGAAUUUAUGCUUUUUGUAAAAAUAUGUAAACAUCUCUUGUUGUACAUGAUUGAGUGUACAUGAACUUCAAAUACUUAUUAUAUAGAGAAUGACAAUAUAUAGACUAUCACGGUUGAAUAUAUGACAUAUAUAUAUAAUUUAUAUUUUAAAUUCAAAUUUAAAUUAGUUAUCGUACAUUCACUAAAAGAUUAAUUUCUAAAGAAUACUUGAAAAUAGAGUAACAGUGCAACCGUGUAAGUAACAGGCGAGGUGCCCGGAUCAUGACUUUUCUAGAUCCAGGACAGCAAAUUUUAACGGGGCCGAUCUUGGGCCGAAUUGGGUGCUUUCGUAUGGACCGAAUUCAGGCUCAGCAAAGCUCCUCUAACAAAACCCAGUAUCAGGCCUGUAUUAUUAUUAUUAUUUUCAUUUUUAACAGCAAGGGCAAUAAUAUUAGAAUUAACUUUUUUAUGCAUUGACAAUAUAGUAAUUUUCUUACAAUAACAAUCUUGGAUAUAUGUUAUAUGUAUAUGAUUUGAAUUUUAAUUUUGAAUUCAUAUUAUAUGCUUGUGCAAAAAAACUUUAUAUUGAUACUGACAGUGUACAAAAAAAUUAUCCACAAUACUAACUUGGGUUGCACCUAGAGCACACCCCAUCGAGUUUUGGAGAGUAAAAGGUAAAAAAUCUCUCCCGUUUGAAUUGCUAUUUUUUGAAUUUUUUUAUAAAAAAAUGUAUCGUAACGAUUUGAUAAAUUAAAAGAGUGACUAAAAAUAGAUUCACGAAAAACUUAAUUUUUUUUUUGAGAGAAAAAAACAAUCCAUAUCUUUUGUUUUUAUUACUGUUCCAAUCUAAACUGCAAACAUCUUAGACUAAUGUACUUUCUCGGCCGCAGAAUUCAUGCUAAAAGUGAAGAAUGAUGAUAAUUAACGAAGAUCUUGCUAGAGUGAAAAUUUGAGCUUCUUUUUUUUUAAUUUAAUUAACGAAGCCUAUAAAAACAUUACAAGAUGUUUUGAUAAAGGAAAAGGAAUUUGAGCUUCAAAUCAUCCAUUUUCUGAUAUUGAGUCCUGGCUCGAUUUCGCUUCUAACAAAACAAAAGGCAGUCAAUUUUCUAUCUUAGUGAGUCCGACCGAAAGGAAGGGCAGAAUCUACCACUUGCCCACCGCAUAUCCAAUUUGUCCAUGUCAAAUCCCAAAGAAUCGAGGCAGCGGUGACAAUUGUCAGGGGGUAAAGGUACCCCGCUAAAAUCAGCUUUCUGCAGUUACGCAGCGCAAGUGACCUUACCAAAAAUAAAGAGAGUCCAAAUGAAACUCCCACCACAAAAAAUUCAAUACAGCCAACUAUUAAAAUGGUUAAACGGACCAUGCCAGCCAUAAUAUCUAUCCAGUGUCCCUUCACUUCUUCUUUCUGGGAUGUGUUACCUAAGAGGGCAUUAACAGAAUUAACUAAAUAUUCUAGCACUUCCACCUGGAGAAAGAUCAGUAAGGAAAGAUGAGUUGUAGAACAGGAGCACUCAUAACCACCAGUCAUUUUGCUUGCACUUCAAUUUUUGAUGAUUUCAAGGUGUCCACCGAGUUUCGUCGUCCCAAGUCAUGUUCAAGUGUUCGGAUUCAGUGCUCUUCUUCGAGCCCAGACCUGCAUGUUACUACUGGUAAUCCCAACUCAUUCAACUUUUCUUGUUCUCUCUUCAAAUUUGCGGUGCCUUAGAUUCAAGAUUCUGAAUUCACUGCUGUUUUUCUGCAUUCGUCAACUGAGGCUUCUGAUGCCCCUGUGUUUGUUCCUCCUGUUCUUUUUCUCCUUUCCGGACCUUCCAGUUUGCAUGACCAUAAAAUUCGUCUUAAUCUGAUCUUUGAUUAACAGAGAAAUUUGGGAAUGAUGCUUCAUUGACUGGUGGAGCAUAUGACUUCGAAAAGGCAACAACAUCCCUUACUCAGAAAUUAUUAUUUACUCCCAAGAAGGUUACCCUUGUUCGCCAUGGUCUCAGCACUUGGAAUGAAGAAGGUAGAGUUCAGGUUUGUUGGCCUUGAUUUGAAAUUCCACUUUUCUUUUAACUUUAUCUCAUGCUUCCGUGGCUUCUCUACUUCUGCUUAAGCUCAUUUUGCUCUAUCUGCUAGACUACUGGAUCAGUUGUACUGAUUUGAUUUAUAUUAAAGUAAGUUUUGUUCUGUCUUAAUUAAGAAUUCUUGGUAGUUUUAAACCUGUAAAUUCAGAGAUUAUUUGGUGUAGCACCUAGGUUGCAGAAUUCAGAUUGUCUUAUGAUAGUCUAUCUAGCUGCAAGGCUGCAACUGUAAUUCUAAAUUUAGCAAAACAUGUCAAAACAAUAAUCACAAGAAACAAACAUUAUGAUAGAGGGAAAAAGAUUGGCAAAAAUAUAUGGUAGAUGGAGUUUACAGAACAACCAUGAAUACAGUGCAUGUAUAUCCUUUAAAACUCAGUAGCUAUAGAUCCCUGAUCUCAUGUGAAUGUGGUAUACUUUGUUGUAUUAGUAAAAUUCAAUUUGCGGGCCUAACGACAAAAAUCAUUUGCUUUACUGUUGUUCCAGCAUAAUUGCCUAUUCACUAUUUCUGAUCAGCUAUUGCCAUUGUGUUGCUUUAGGGAAGCUCAAAUCUCUCCACUUUAACUGAAACUGGAGUGGCUCAAGCAGAGAGGUGCAAGAAAGCAUUAGUUGAUACGCACUUCGAUCAAUGUUUCUCCAGUCCAAUAUCACGUGCCAAGGUCCAAAAAAUAAGAUUUAGUUUGUAUUUUGUGUGUGCUUCAGCGGAUGAUCCUAUCCCUUAAUUGCCACUCUGUAAUGCAGUCCACAGCUGAAAUUAUAUGGCAAGGUAGGGAGCAGCCUUUGGUUUUUCUUGAUUCGCUGAAGGAGGCCCAUCUAUUUUUCCUCGAAGGGAUGAAAAAUGGUCAGUCUUCUUUUGUUUUGGACGCGUUCAUUCCUUUCCUAUUUGUGAAUUAAUUGAGUUUGUCCAUAGAUAAGAUACGAGUCAUUUAUAACUUUGAUGUAAUGCUUCACUAUAUAUUCCUCUGCAAUAUUUUUCAUUUUCCUAAAUCACAUUUAGUAUCUGGAGGCAGUGGAUGCUUUGCGGAUGUAUCCAAAGGAGUAUUCAACAUGGAGAGAAGAUCCAUCAAAUUUUAUUGUGAAUGGUGUCUAUCCAGUUCGGAAACUUUGGGACACAGCAAGUGAUGCUUGGAAAGAAAUCUUACUUACGCCUGUAAGAUUCUUGUAGUUGCUGUGCAUUUCUAGUUAUUGCACUGAGAUCUGCAUUGAUUAUCUUUCUGAAAUUUUCUUGGCUGUGUGGUUUGUGAAACAGGGAGAGAAUUUUUUGGUUGUAACGCACAAAUCAAUGUUGAGAGCACUGAUCUGCAUUGCUCUUGGACUAGGCCCAGAGAGGUAUUCAUUACUUGACAAGAGUAACUUGAAUAGUCUGUUGCACCUUGUAUAAGUGACUAGUAGUAUCAAUCAUUCUUCCUCAAUAGAAUUUCUACAAGCCAAAGUCCUUGCAGGAUGGGGAUAAUGUCUCACAAUCUUGCGUGAAAUGUCUUCUUAUGUCAUGUCUAUCGUAUUUUGCAAGAUACUGCCUGCCCUUUUAAUAGCAUUUUUACCUUUCAACAGUUUUGAGUAACUUGACUCAUUCAGCAGUUCCGGGUUAACUGCUUUGCAUUCUUUCAGGUUCCGUGCGGUCGACAUAAAUAACGGUGGGCUAUCUGUGUUCAACUUCAACAAACAAGGGGAGGCAAUGCUUCAAUCAUUAAAUAUGACAGCUCAUAUGUACACUGAUCACAUCUACAGGUAUCAGAAAAAAGUGAAAUGAAUGAAGUAAUUGAACAGAAACAAGACCAUAAUCUACUAGCAAAGUUGUUGAUCAGAAAAAAGCCAAGUUAUCCGUGAACGUUGAUCAGAAACAAGCCAAGUUUGUCGUCCAAGAGUCUGGGAAGCAGGCAAAGAGUAAGAAAGAAGCUGAGAGAUUGGAAAGAGGCAGUUCCUGUAGACAGAUUUUUGAUGUCGAAUAUAAUACUAGAGCUUAGUGACCAUAUAACCUUUUCUCAUUGUACUUUCUUUUAGUCUAAUGCAAUUCAGAAGCAACAAGAUACGAGAUUUCCAAUUCACAUGCUUUCUUGCUUUACGUGAGAAGUUCUCUUUUGAUUUCACCUAGUACUUAGAAUAUUAAACUACAACAGAUUGCAUAAAUUAUGGCUUGGUGUAGUUGUAUGUGGCCGCUUUACUUCUUAUAAUGCUGUGUUCUUACAAUAUUUAGGAUAAGCACACACAAUAUACACUUUUAACAAAUAAAAAAUGAAAAUCUAUAAUGUAAAUAUACAUAAAAAUAUAGACAAAGAAGAAUAAAUUGCUAAAGUAACACCGAAUACCAUCCAGAAAUUAAUCCAACAGCACCAAGUUAAUUCAUAUUUUCAGCAUCGAGCUAGAUGUAGCUAAUUAUGUAUUCAUGAAUUACCGUAUCAAUCGCCUAUUCUACUGUUUAUCCCUGCUACAACACAUUUGGAGGAUAAAAUCAAAGCUACACGAUUAGGAAUUUGGAGACUCUGAGCCGGAUUUGAUGUGUUCUUGAAGAAGCAAAAAGAACAUAUUCAAGUUAAUGAGAGAGCCUAAAAUGGUACCAGUAUACAUUAAAAGAAUAUCUGCUGCAUCAGCCUUCCGGAAUUCAAUUGAAAGUCUUGGUGGGAGAAUGCAUGAAGAGAGACUUUCAUGUUAGUAACCUGUCCAUCUUCGCUUGAUGAAUGAAAAGCUUUCUCAGCAACCAGACACUUUUGUCUUCAAUGGAAACAGAACACUUGCACAGACUUCACCGUACCAAAUCCUUCUUAGAGCCGGCUCGCAUCUCAAACUCCUCAAACAAGUCCAUGCCCACAUCAUCACCACCGGCCGGAACCACCAUCUCCCGCUGCUCACUAAGCUUGCCACCUCAGCCAUCAGUUCUGGCGCCAUCCUGUACGCCCAGAAGCUCUUCCUCUGUGCUCCAACUGUUGACGGUUUUCUCCUCUCUUCCCUCAUCACCGCCGCCUCAAAAUCCCACUUCCCACUCCAAACCAUCCUCUUCUAUCGCCACAUGCUUGCGCGUAACAUCUCCCCUACUAACUACACAUAUACUUCUGUGAUUAAGGCUUGCGCUCAAUUACAGGACCCGAGAACUGGUAGAGUUGUUCAUUGCCAUGUUUUGACUAAUGGGUUCAGUUUGGAUCAAUUUGUUCAAGCUGCAUUAGUGAGUUUUUACUCUAAAAUUAGGGAAUUAAAAUUUGCGAGGAAGAUGUUCGAUGAAAUGCCCCAGAAGAGUAUUGUCUCGUGGAAUUCUAUGAUUUCAGGUUAUGAACAGAAUGGAUUUGCAGAUGAAGCAAUCAUGCUGUUUGCUAAAAUGAGAGAGUUAGGUGUUCAGUUUGAUUCUGCUACUCUUGUAAGUGUGUUAUCAGCUUGCGCGGACACGGGGGCACUUGAAUUGGGAAGUUGGGUUCAUGAUUAUGUGAAGAGCAGUCCGAUUAGUUUAGAUGUGGUUCUUGGUACUGCGCUGAUUAAUAUGUAUGCCAAGUGUGGGAAUGUGAGGAAAGCUCGGGGAGUUUUUGAUCUAAUGGAUGAGCCCAAUGUCAUGGCUUGGACUGCCAUGAUCUCAGGUUAUGGAAUGCAUGGUUUCGGUAAAGAAGCUAUUGAUUUAUUUCGACUGAUGAUAAAUCAGGGAAUCUAUCCAAAUGAAAUUACUUUUGUUGCUGUAUUGUCUGCAUGUGCUCACGCUGGGCUAGUCCAGGAGGGCCGUGAGGCAUUUGCUAUCAUGAAGAAUUAUGGUAUGAUGCCGGGCACAGAGCAUCAUGUUUGCAUGGUUGAUAUGUUUGGGAGGAUGGGUUUGCUCAGUGAAGCAUAUCACUAUAUCAAGGAUCUGUUUCCUUUCCAGCCAGCACCGGCAGUUUGGACUGCUAUGCUUGGGGCUUGCAAAUUGCACAAAAAUUAUGAUCUUGGUGUAGAAGUUGCUGAUAAUCUUUUUGCUGCGGAACCUGACAAUGCAGGACACUACGUUUUGCUUUCAAAUAUGUAUGCGUUGGCUGGACAGAUGGAACGUGUUGAAAUGGUUAGAAAUGCCAUGAUAAGUAAAGAGUUGAAGAAACCAGUUGGUUACAGCAUCAUAGAGAUUGAUCAGAAGGCACAUCUUUUUAGCACUGGUGGCAUGCCUCACCCUGAGAGCAUGGCGAUACUUCAAUUCUUGGACGAAUUGGUUCAGCAGAUCAAGGCAGCAUGUUAUGUACCAGUUUCUGAAGCUAUUAUGCACGAGUUAGAGGAAGAAGAGAAGGAAUGUGCCCUUAGAUACCACAGCGAGAAGUUUGCUGUAGCUUUCGGACUCUUGAAAACAAGGCAGGGGCUCGUAUUCGAAUUGUGAAAAACUUGCGAAUCUGCGAGGAUUGCCACAUGGCUAUCAAGUACAUUUCAUUAGUAUCCAAAAGAGAAAUUUGUGUUCGAGACAAGCUUCGCUUUCAUCAUUUUAAAGAUGGCUCCUGUUCUUGCAAGGAUUUCUGGUGAUGUACUGCUGGAUCAACUGUCAAGAAUUAGCAUGUUUCAGCAUAGAUUGACAUGAGAGUUACUUAUAAAACUUGUCCAAAUUUUGCCAGUUUGCUCUUACAACAAAUUUACCAACACAGAUAAUAAAAUUUGUAAUAUUAGUAGUAUUUUGGCACAACAGUUGUCAAAGGGAAUUAUUCGUAUAUGGUUGCUGGAGUGUCAAAUUUUGCCUUGACCAGUAGCUUGGUGCCUAAGAGCAGCCUUCCCACAGUGAUCUUUAACAGUAGUAGUAUAAUACAGUAUAGUAUACACCAACCACGGGAGUAUUAAUUAACAUUUGGCGGCGCCAUCUGGGAUUAUGUGGGCAAAUGCGAGUGAAGCGCGUGCGAGGACGCAGGGCGUCCCGAGUGUGGUUCAGGAGUUCCGUGGCCUCUGUAAAUUGUAAUGCGAUGUGUCAGUGGAAAGAAAAGCAGUUCGCCAGUUCACUCAGCCGAUGGACGUCUUGGCGCGACGUGUAAUGUGGAAUUUUUGGUUUAUCUGUUUCUGCUUUUCUUUGUUUUCUGGUUUAUCUGUUUCAUCGAUCAUUCGUGAUGAAAAAGAUAAAUUAGCCACUGUACAUUUACUGUUUUUGAUAGCCAGCUACUGGGAAAAAAGUUGUUUUUUUUCUUACAUCAUAAAUAUUUUUUCAUUAUCAUUUUAUUUUUCAAUCAUUAUCACUUUAAUAUCAUUUGUGUCACGUCAUAAAAAAUUUAGAAAGUUUUUUUCCGAAUAAUCUUUCAUCUACCUUUUAAGAACUGGAUUAACAAUCUUCAAUUAAGUAUUAGUGUGGUUACAUCUUGUUUUUAGCUAGAUAGAAAGCAGUUGGUACAGAACAAACUGGGAUGGUUAGGUAGAGUUGAAUUCUCACUGGUGAAGAAAAGUGUAGUUGUUUGGGGUUCUUGACUGCGUAAUUCUUUCAUCAACGGGUGUUAAUUCAUGGACCUUGAGAAAAGUAAAUUAUAAAAUUAUUUAUUAUUUAUAAUUUUAUUAAAAAAUUAGAAAAAAAAAGUUCGUAUGAAACAAAACGUAUUGUACUAUUACUAUAUUAAGAAGAAAAUUUCAACCGAAUCAUUAUUCUUUUGAGAAAAAACUUAGACGAUAAAGGACACAUAAUUGAUUAACAUGCAGAAUAAGAAAAAAUGUAAUCAAGCAAGUAAUAAGACAAUUAUGAGAUCCAAAGAUUCAAAUUAUUUGAAGUUUUACAAGAAAAAAGCCUAGUAAUUGUAAAUUAUUUGACUCUUCCUAUCUCAUUUAUUUAUACAUAACGUACCAAGGGAUCAUAUCUUACAUCUAGCACAACUAAGCAUGAGAUCCAAAGAUCAUGCUGGAAGAGCAAUGCCUACUCGGACUGUGAUUUUUUGUCGAACAAUUCUUAUAUUUUUUGUAAAUCUAUUUUCAAUCAUUUUUUCAAGUAUAUCAAAUUAUUAUAAUAUUUUUUUUUUACAAAAUUUUUUUAAAAAUAACAAUUUAAACGAGAAUUUCGCUUAACACGACGGUAUUAAUUUUGGUAUUGAAUUUUUUUAUACAAUCACCAGUCGCCAAGGGAGCAAAAAUGGCAGUAUAUUCUCCAGUCAUGUGAAGGGUCCAGUUUGGCAGCGUGCGGUCGAUUCCACACUAAAAAAACGAAUCAAACAACUUGCAAAGAUUCUCAGAGCGUCACGGAUCAUUCAUAUUGCGUGCACUUAAUUCCUUUUUAAAAUAAUUUUGUAAAUCCUCUUACCAGUGGAUGUGAUCUAGAAUUAAAAAGAAAUUUUUUUGCGUCAGCCCGUCUGAAGAUAGUCACAAGUACUUUCAUACAAGACGAUUAUAUGGUAUUUUAAUGAAAAUUCUUCUGUAAUAAUAGUGGAGUACUUUUUAAUUGAAUACACGCAUUUUGUGAGGUGAAAAAGUUAUUAUGUGCUGUUUUUACAAAAUCUUUAUCAUACAAUCAAAGACUUUUUUUAAAAAAAAAAAAACAAAAGUUACUUUUAACUAUUAUUAAUGUUAACCUUUGACUGAGAAAAGUUGCCGUUGGCUAAAUUUUAAUUUGAAGAAAUAAUUAGGCACUAGUUGUUAGGGUACAUGUGUCCGACGACUUUAUUUUGAUUUACCCAUAUCGACUAAAAGCUUUUUCUUUUGAUAGACUCGUGCUCCCGCUUAUGAUCUUUUUGUUUUUGUUUCUUUUUCCAAUUAAAAGUAUCCAGAUGUAGUAAUUUGGUGCACGUGUCUCUAUCUUCACCGGCUCUUGAUUCUUCUUGGGCUUGCGUUUGUCUUGCACUCGCAACCAUGCUUGACUCAGCAAUCAAUGCAGACACGACUCCCAAGACGGAAAGCUGCAGUGCGCAAGCAUGUAAAAGUCACGUGCUUUGUUACUGUAUUUGGUUUUUUUCCCCUCUUGAUUGAACUUUGGUUUGUUUGGACAAGAGAUUAUUCGAAAAAAUUACUUACUGUAUUUGACUGUAUUAUAAGCAUGUUUUUAAUUUAUUUUUUUAUAUUUUUAAGUAAUUUUGUCUCAAAUAUAUCAUAUCUAAAAAAUAUUAUAAUAAUUAUUUAAAAUAAUAUUUCAAAUAAAACUUUUGUUACUGAAUGUGAUAAACACGUGACUUCAAUAUCUAAGAUGGUGUAAUUUUAAGCGCAUUAUUUUUUUAAAGGUAAAAGGAUUAUUAGAGUUACAGUAAUUAUUUCAAAUAAUCUCCUAUCCAAAUACAAUGAAUAUUAUUUAUUGUGACUCUUUUUUGAUGUAAUGUAUACAAAAUAAAAAAUGAUAAAUAAGCAUAUUUUGCGAGUAAUAAAAAGAAUUUCAAACAAACCAAUCCAAUUGCUUUGCAAUAACUUAAAAAAUUAGUGAUAAAUUAUUGCGAUGUUCCUUUACCUUUAACUCAUAACGUCAUCCUAGCUUUUCCACGCCUCUAAUGUGCUACUCUAACGUUAGCACAUUCAAAUUAUCCUCGUCAGUAUAAAUUCAAACAUUAUUAACUUUUUUUGGAAUAAAAUAUUAGAAGUGCAAUCAAGUUGAAUCGAGUUUGACUAGUGCACUCUUUUAAGUUUUGAUUAGAUUUAAAAAAUUUAGACUCGAACCCGUUGAGCUCAAAAUCAAACUUGAUUUGGAUUUUGUUUUGCUUUACUUGAGCUGAAGCCUGAGUUCAUGCAAAUCAAAUUCAAUCGAGUUUAACUCAAACUCAAUUAAAUUUAAUCAAACUUAAUCAAAUUUUAGAAAUAUAAAAAUAUUUUAUAUAAUUUUAAAUAAAUGACAAAAUAGACAUUUUAUACUAAUAAAUAAAAAACAUAUAUGUGAAAUUCGAAUGAAUUCGACAAGUUUUUGACUUUCAUAUAUUAGGUUCGAGUUUGACUCAAAUUUUGACUGGAUAAACUCACGAACUAUUCGAUUAAACUCGACUCAUUUACAUAUCUGUAAAAUAUGUUAAUAAACUUAAGAAAAAGAUAUUAAUCGUAUAUUCAUUUAUUUGAUGAAAAAUGUUAAAAUACUACUGCUUAACGAGAAAAGUGCUUGUAAAUUGAUUCGCUACUAUUAUUUAAAACGAGACGCAAUGCAACUUGGGUGAAAGAAGAGGAGUGAAAAGUAAAAACACAUGAAAUCAUCCGUAGCCUAAUCUUACCCCACCGAAAUUAUCUAUUGAUUAAUUACUCUAAGAAUCACAUAUUUAUCUCUGAAGAUCAAUCCCAGCGUAAUAUAUAUCCCCCAUGAUUUGAGAUUUUCGCUAAAAUUUGUUUUAUUCUGCAAUAAAUAGAUGAUAGCUUUCCAAUCCACAGUAACUGAAGGGCACGUGUAAAAAUGUUAUUAAUGUUUCAAAUUCCCUCCUUUGAAGAUCAUUCCCAAUAUCUCUCCCAUUAUUUGAAUUGGCAUUCAUUACUGAUCGGUUUAUCCAGUCUCUACUGUAACUUACACUUCGGAAAGCCCGCUUUUCAGUAUCCCAGUAGCCACGUACUUCCCACUCGCAAUCCUAUAGCGCGUGGCCAACAUCCCACCAGCGAAUUAGACAUUCCCAUGAUACAUAGUUACUCAACUCAACCUCCACGGCCACCCCUACUGAUAAGCUCAUCUUCAGUCAGUCAAGAAAAGGCAAAAAGGUUACUACUACUUUUUCUUCCAUUGUCCUUUUUGUUUGUUCUUUCUUUUACUCCUCAAUCACUAUAUACUAAUAAAUGCGAGCGAUUCUUUAUCACUUUAUUUCUGACUGUUACUUCGGUCUUUUGAAGCUCAACAACAACUCCAGUGGCUAAAGCAACAAUUUCUGAAGAAUCCAUUUGCUUGAAUAUCCUGAAGAAGCUGAUGCUAUGAAUUUAAGGCAGCGUCCUCAAGCUACGCGCGGCCGCGGGACACUUGACGCGCCGCCUCGACCUCCCUUACAGCAGCAGGAGCCAUAUAACAUAAUUCCCAUUCAUAAUCUCUUGACUGACCAUCCUUCUCUCCGGUUCCCAGAGGUACGGGCCGCCGCAGCCGCCCUGCGCGCCACUGAGGACCUCAAGGUGCCGUCCUUUAUUCCGUGGAAUGAUUCCAUGGAUAUCAUGGACUGGCUGGGGUUCUUCUUCGGGUUCCAAGGGGACAACGUGAAGAACCAAAGAGAGCACUUGGUGCUUCACUUGGCAAACUCCCAAAUGCGCCUCCAACCUCCGCCAGCAAGCGUCGAUCGCCUUGAUUUUGGUGUACUCCGCCGCUUUAGUCAGAAGUUGCUCAAGAAUUACACCUCAUGGUGCUCUUAUUUGCGUAAAAGGUCUCAGGUUCGGCUUCCAAAACGCCAGAACUCUGCCCUUCUCCGCCGGGAACUCUUGUAUGUAAGCCUCUACUUGUUGAUUUGGGGUGAGGCGGCGAACCUCCGCUUUACGCCGGAAUGUUUGUGUUACAUUUAUCAUAACAUGGCUGGGGAGUUAAAUCACAUUCUUGAUGGGCAUAUUGAUGAAAAUACUGGACAGCCGUAUGUUCCCUCGACUUGUCGUCAGUAUGGUUUCUUGGAUUAUAUUGUUACACCUAUUUACACUGCAAUUAAGGGUGAAGUUGCGAGGAGCAGAAAUGGGGCUGCCCCACAUUCUGCUUGGAGGAAUUAUGAUGAUAUUAACGAGUACUUUUGGAGUAGAAAGUGCUUUAAGAGACUGAAAUGGCCUAUUGAUUUGUCGAGUAAUUUUCUUUUGGUUAGCGGUGGCGAGAGAGUAGGGAAGACAGGAUUUGUGGAGCAAAGAACUUUCUGGAAUGUUUUUAGGAGUUUUGAUAGGUUGUGGGUGAUGCUAAUUUUGUUCUUUCAGGCUGCUAUGCUUGUUGCCUGGGAGCGAAGCAAGUAUCCAUGGCAAGCCUUGGAGAGUAGGGAUCUGCAGGUGCAGCUGCUUACAAUAUUCAUUACUUGGGCAGCCUUGAGAUUUGUUCAAGCAAUUCUUGAUGCUGGGACACAGUACAGUUUAGUCUCAAGGGACACGAUAUGGAUUGGCGUGAGAAUGGUGUUAAAAGGGUUAGAUGCUCUCACGUGGACCGUUGUGUUUGGGGUGUUUUAUGGGAGGAUUUGGAGCCAAAAAAAUUCUGAUGGCAGGUGGUCAUAUGAAGCAAACCAGAGAAUAUUGACAUUUCUGAAGGUUGUUUUAGUCUACGUCAUUCCUGAGUUGUUGGCUCUGGUUCUUUUCAUUCUUCCAUGGAUUCGAAAUUUACUCGAGGAAGUGGAUUGGACUAUCUUUCGCUGGUUAAGAUGGUGGUUUUAUACCCCAAUAUUUGUCGGUCGGGGGCUCAGGGAAGGACUUGUUAGUAACAUAAAGUACACGAUAUUUUGGAUUCUUGUCCUGCUUUCAAAAUUCUUGUUCAGUUACUUCCUUCAGAUCAAGCCCCUGGUUGCUCCAACAAAGGCUCUUCUGAAGAUGCAUGGAACAUACAGGUGGCAUCAAUUUUUUGGUAGCACCAAUAGAGUGGCUGUAAUUAUGUUGUGGGUUCCUGUUAUUUUGAUAUAUUUAAUGGAUUUGUUAGUUUGGUAUUCAAUAUUCUCCUCUAUUGUCGGGGGAGUUAUUGGAUUGUUUUCUCAUAUAGGUGAGAUCCGAAACAUUCAACAGCUGAGGCUUCGAUUCCAGUUCUUUGCAAGCGCAUUGCAAUUUAAUCUAAUGCCUGAGGAUCACACCACAGGCUCGAAAGCAACACUGGUACACAAACUGCGGGAUGCACUGCAUAGACUGAAGCUGCGGUAUGGCCUUGGCCAGCCAUAUAAGAAGAUGGAAUCGAGCCAGGUGGAAGCAACUAGGUUUGCAUUGCUGUGGAAUGAAAUGAUAAUAACUUUGAGAGAGGAAGACCUGGUCAGUGACCAGGAAGUGGAGCUAAUGGAACUGCCUCCUAAUUGUUGGGACAUUAAGGUUAUUCGAUGGCCCUGUGCUCUUCUCUGCAAUGAGCUCUUGCUUGCUCUCAUUCAUGCAACAGAACUGGAGGAUGCGCCAGAUAGAUGGGUAUGGUAUAGGAUUUGCAAGAAUGAGUACAGACGCUGUGCUGUAAUUGAGGUGUAUGAUAGCAUCAAAUAUUUGCUUUGUAACGUUAUUAUUAAAGAUGGCACAGAAGAGCAUUCAAUAGUCACUAAUCUGUUCACUGGGAUUGAUGAAAGCAUUCAUUUUGAAAAGUUCGCAGAGACAUACAAGACAUCUGUUUUCCCCAAGAUUCAUGAACAGUUGAUAUCUCUCAUCCAUCUUUUGCUCAUGCCUCAGAAGAACAUGACAAAGAUAGUGAAUGUAAUGCAGUACUUGUAUGAGCUUUCUGUUCGAGAAUUUCCACGGAUGAAGAAAUCUGUUGCACUGUUGAAACAGGAAGGUUUAGCACCUCUAAAUCCUGCAUCAUCUGCGGAUGGACAACUUUUUGAAAAUGCUCUGGAAUUUCCUGAAGCUGGAGACAUUUUCUUCUAUAGGCAGCUAAGGCGUUUGCAGACAAUACUUACAUCUAAAGAUUCAAUGCACAAUGUCCCAAGAAAUCUUGAGUCGAGAAGACGCAUUGCUUUCUUUAGUAAUUCGUUAUUUAUGAACAUGCCACGAGCUCCGCAAGUUGAGAAGAUGAUGGCCUUCAGUGUCUUGACUCCUUACUAUGAUGAAGAUGUGUUGUAUGGUAAAGAAAUGCUUAGAAGUCCCAAUGAAGAUGGCAUCUCAACCUUAUUUUAUUUGCAGAAGAUUUAUGAAGAUGAGUGGACAAAUUUUCUGGAGAGGAUGCGCAGGGAAGGUAUGCAAAAUGAUGAUGAGAUUUGGACCACAAAGGUGAGGGAUCUCCGACUGUGGGCAUCACACAGAGGCCAGACAUUGUCUCGUACAGUGAGAGGGAUGAUGUACUACUAUAGGGCACUGAAAAUGCUUGCCUUCCUUGAUACUGCGUCUGAGUUGGAUAUAAGGCAGGGAUCGGACGGAAAUGCUUAUCUUGCUUCACUGCAGCAGAACAGCGGUUUGGAUGGACUAGAUUCUUACACGGCAUCAACUUCUCAAACUCUUGGCCGAGCAAGUAGCAGUGUGAGCCUUCUUUUCAAAGGUCACGAGUUUGGCAGUGCUAUGAUGAAAUUCACUUAUGUUGUUGCCUGCCAGAUGUAUGGGCAUCAUAAGGGAAAGGGUGAUCCUCGUGCUGAAGAUAUUUUCAACUUGAUGAAAAAUAAUGAGGCCCUUCGAGUAGCUUAUGUUGAUGAGGUUUACCUGGGAAGGGAAGAAGUGGAAUAUUACUCUGUCUUGGUGAAGUAUGAUCAACAACUAAAGAGCGAGGUUGAAAUUUACCGUAUCAAGUUGCCUGGUCCAUUGAAGCUGGGUGAAGGUAAACCAGAGAACCAGAACCACGCCAUCAUUUUUACUCGCGGUGAUGCAAUUCAGACCAUAGAUAUGAACCAAGAUAAUUAUUUUGAGGAGGCAUUGAAGAUGCGGAAUUUACUGGAGGAGUUUAAAUCCUAUCAUGGUAUCAGGAGGCCCACAAUUCUCGGAAUUCGUGAAAAUAUUUUUACUGGUUCUGUGUCAUCUCUUGCUUGGUUCAUGUCUGCUCAAGAAAUGAGUUUUGUAACUCUGGGGCAACGAGUUCUGGCAAAUCCUUUGAAGGUUCGGAUGCACUACGGUCAUCCUGAUGUCUUUGACAGAUUCUGGUUUUUGACUCGAGGUGGCAUAAGCAAAGCUUCUAAAGUGAUCAAUAUUAGUGAGGACAUAUAUGCGGGAUUCAAUUGCACGUUGCGAGGUGGCAAUGUGACCCACCAUGAGUACAUACAGGUGGGUAAGGGAAGGGAUGUUGGAUUAAAUCAGAUAUCCAUGUUUGAGGCAAAGGUUGCUAGCGGCAAUGGUGAGCAGGUCUUGAGUAGAGACGUAUACAGGUUGGGUCAUCGGCUAGAUUUCUUUCGUAUGCUUUCGUUCUUUUAUAGUACUGUCGGAUACUUCUUCAACACCAUGAUGGUGGUCCUCAUGGUCUACACUUUUCUUUGGGGACGCCUUUAUCUUGCUCUCAGUGGUGUUGAAAACAGUGCCAAGGAAGCGAGUGACAAUAAAGCGCUUGGUGCAAUCUUGAAUCAACAGUUCAUCAUCCAAAUUGGUAUUUUCACUGCCCUCCCAAUGAUUGUGGAAAAUUCUCUAGAACAUGGGUUCCUUCCUGCUAUUUGGGAUUUUGUAACAAUGCAACUGCAGCUUGCUUCACUGUUUUACACAUUCUCACUUGGAACACGUGCACAUUAUUUUGGUCGGACCAUUCUUCAUGGAGGUGCCAAGUACAGGGCUACUGGACGUGGUUUUGUUGUGCAACAUAAAAGCUUUGCAGAGAACUAUAGAUUAUAUGCUCGCAGCCAUUUUGUGAAAGCAAUUGAGCUUGGAGUGAUUCUCAUAGUGUACGCCUCACAUAGUCCUUUGGCUUCAAAUACCUUUGUUUACAUUGCAAUGACCAUCUCAAGUUGGUUCCUUGUUGUAUCGUGGAUGAUGUCACCCUUUAUCUUCAAUCCUUCUGGUUUUGAUUGGUUGAAAACUGUCUACGACUUCGAUGAUUUCAUGAAAUGGCUAUGGUAUAAUAGAGGAGUUUUCAUAAAAGCAGAUCUCAGCUGGGAAACAUGGUGGUACGAGGAGCAGGAGCACUUGAGGACAACUGGUCUUUGGGGAAAAUUACUGGAGAUUAUUUUAGAUCUUCGUUUCUUCUUUUUCCAGUACGGAAUUGUUUACCACUUGAACAUUACUGGUAAGAACAAAAGUAUUGCUGUGUAUUUGCUGUCUUGGAUCUACAUGGUUGUGGCAGUUGCAAUCUAUAUUGUCAUAGGAUAUGCUCAGGAAAAGUAUGCUGCAAAGAAGCAUAUCUACUAUCGACUGGUUCAGUUGGUUGUUAUUGUGCUUAUUGUACUUGUGAUCUUUCUGUUGCUCAAGUUCACUGGCUUUACAUUUCUUGAUCUUAUCUCGAGUCUCUUGGCAUUUAUACCCACGGGAUGGGGCAUAAUACAAAUUGCUCAAGUUCUCAGGCCUUUUCUGCAAUCCACAGUAGUUUGGGAGACUCUAGUCUCCUUGGCUCGUCUGUAUGAUAUGAUAUUUGGGUUAAUUGUUAUGGUUCCUCUGGCAAUUGUGUCAUGGAUGCCUGGACUAGAGUCGAUGCAGACAAGGAUGCUGUUCAAUGAAGCUUUCAGCAGGGGACUCCAGAUAUCUCAGAUCCUGACUGGCAAAAAGUCCAACUAGGACAUGUAAUAACAGGUAGUUUUCUAUUUCAAAUUUCUCAAAUACUCCUCCCAUGUGGAUAUACAAGGACCUGUGUUGUGCAGUUCCUUGUACCCAAUUGUUUGCUUCUGCUUAAUCUAAUUGUGUGCUUGUGCUUAAUCUACUUUUUCAUUGCAGUGAUUUUUGACUAAUUCUUCAUUUGUGAAUUAGGAAUAUUAGCUGCAACUUGUGACUACAUAGGAACGAGAUUGGAGGGAAGGGUUGGGUUGGGUGGUAAGGUAGGAGGGAUUGUAAGUUGGAGGUCUUGAAGUUGGAGGUCCUGGGUUCAAGACCUCCCACUUACACCAAAAAAAAAAAAAGCAUAGUAAUGAGAUUGUGUCAGAUCCUUCUGGUCUUUUCCAGAUAUUCAAAAGCUUGGUGGACCACUUCUGAUCAAUUAACAAUUGCCUUGGAUCAAUGAGAAUACUAGAUUGAAUCUCAAACCCUGAGUUAUUAUUUUACUUUUCUUUACUUGGCUUUAGUGUCUUCCUUUUUCUUUGCACUUGAUUCUGGAAAGUAUAAGAAUUGCAUUGACCUGGGUAAUAUCUGACUCCUUUGUCCUGUCUAAGCAGGAAAGUUCAGGUUGCCUUCCUUUUGGAUCUUAAAUUGAUACGAGUUCUCAAUCUUCGAAGGAGUUUUUCUUCUGUAGCCAGACUUGUAAAGCUGAAGUACAAUUUUGGGCCUAGAUAUGAAACCUGAAUUAUUGAUUGAUGUCUUUAUUACUGUUGGUCAUUUCUUGGAAUCGACAUAGAUUUCUAUGUUGCCAUGAUUGAAACAAAAUUUAGAUUGUGGUUUUCUCACAGCAUGAAGUUUUGCCUUAACAAGGCUGUGGAUGUUGAUAAGAUUAUAUUCAUGAAAAAAAUUUAUAAACUGUAUAUUUUGUCAAAUAAUGAAGCUAAUUUACCUGAUAUUCGGUCCUGACAGGCUGUUGGCACCAACCAGGAUCAACUUUACAUAUGGGCCUUGAAGAGCCAUGGCCCACUUAAUUCUAGAAAUCUGCCUUCUGUAAUUUCCAUCUAAGGUUAGAAAUCCUCACAUAUGACUUGUCAAUUGUAAAACUAGACUGUAUAAUAUUUCCUUCUAUUUCUAAACGAAGGUUCUAAAAGUUGUUUUUGGUCUUUGUACCCCAACAAGAUUUGGCUGUUAGCUGGAUACCAGAGUAGAUCGCUUGUAGUAGGUAUGAUUGCCUGAUAAUUAAGAAUUUAUGCUUGUUCAUUGAUUCUAUCCUCACAGGCAAAUCAACCACAGGGUUGAAAUCUGUUAAUCUAAUUGCCAGCCGUUAUCUGACUUUAGUUCUAUCCAACAAGAAGGUUAAAAUUUUCCUCUUUUAGAAGCUGAAAGCAUACGGGAUCUAGUAUGAGCCAUAAGUGGAGUAGCGACAUGGAAUGUAAUUGGCCCUAUGGCGAAUGCCAAGGACAUGAGUGAACUGGUCAUGGUUUUAUCUAUAAAGAGGUCAGGGAUGGCACCAAAUAAAUGAAACUGGUUCAAAUAUGGGUUGUAAGCUGCUGGUCAGCGAGCGUUUCAUGUAAUUUAAUUCAAACAAAAAAAAAACAAAGAAAAAAAAAAUAGUAGUCUCAGUAAUCAUCAUGAUAUUGCUAUAGUGAAUUCUCAAUUUGUUCUUUUAAUGAAGAGGGCUGUGAUUAUUGUUUUUGUUUCUCCUUCUUUACUGGCCCUAUGAUUUACAAGCGCAGUUUUUUUUUCUUUUUAAUUUUCUUUGUUUUUUUCACAUGGUUGAUACAACUAAAUGACUGAUUCCGAGUAGUCGCAUUUUCAUUUCAUGGUUUGCCAUUGUUUGGCUAUUUGCCGGAUUAAAAGACUGCUUGUCUUUCUAUUACUUAGACAUGAUUUUCUUCUUUCCAGGCCUAAAGGAGAAAUUUCUCUGGAGUAUCUCUUGGACUAAUGCACUGGCAGCAUGUAAUUCCGAUGAUGGACAGUCCUGUUAUAUUUUGAUUUUGAUGCUCAGUGGUUGGGCAAUAACCAGGAAGCAGUAUAUAAUUAACUGUUAGUGGGAUGAUUAGUUACACGCUUAUAGUUUUGUAAUUAAGCAAUUUGAAGAAAUAGACUUGGUUUUCCUUGUUCAUGUAAACAUCUCUGAUCUGAUGCUGUACAUAUUUUCACAUGUAAAUUAAAGUAGCUUGGUGCUGUUCCAGACUACAGUUUUGUGCAAAAUUUUUAGACAAUUUCGAUCUGCUUUUUGGAAAAGCUCCUCUUAAAUUGUGCUCCUCUUAUUGCCUUUUAUGGACCAGCUGUUCGAGUUGUAACAGAUUAGAGAGUAUCACCAUUUAUACAUUGAAAUUGAAGAAAGCAUUUCCUUCAGUUGGAAAAGAUGAUAGUAGCAUCAUUCUUCUUUAAUGGUAGAGGUAAGUGAGUAUUAUUUUGAAGCAGGUUAGACCACUCUAUAACGGCCUCAUAGUUGGGGAUCAUGUUCAUUUUCAUUAAAAAUAUGAUGCAAUUGAAGCUACUGGAACUUGCGUCUGCAAAACAGUGCGUGGACCAAGAUUGCGUACCCAGAAAAACUUGAAUUUUGGCAGAACAAAUGACAGAACAACCAGCGCAUUUCAAGCAAACGAGUCUUUGGCAGUUGUUUCUUUUGAGCAAAACAAACACCUUGCCGGGAGAUUAUCGAAACACAGGAAAAAGAAGUUCAAAAGCAUGCAUGACUGGCUGAAUGAAAAUUUUUUAGCUAUAAGCAAUUGAAACAAAGUCGUCGUCUCAAGCAUGAAUUAUUCUGUAUCAGUGUUAACUACAGGCACUCUCUCGUACACUAAAUUUUGUCUAAAUCUCUUAGGAAGAAGGAAGCGCCCACCAAAUGUCUGCUGCAAGAAAAUGAGGAAUGCUAACAAGAGACCAACACCACAGAUUAUGAUAUCCCAGGCAGUGGAGUAGUAAUCCAGUCUCGGAUUCGCAUAUAUCUUGUUAAGCGAAAAUAAUACAGAACUGUGAGCCCUGUAAAGAUCAUAGACAUGAGGUAACAAGCGCACCAAAGUGGUCCCAACAUAAAAGGAAGGAGCAAGAGCCCUCUCUCUGGUGUCACAAAACAAAUUGAAGAGAACCUGAGGGAACAGAAAACCAUCCCGUAUCAAACCGGCAAAAGACUUCAGGUCUCCCCAAAAAGACUGCCUUUGAGGGUGAGGUUUGUAGUCUGGCAAGAAUGAUAAAGCCUUUCCAUGAGACGUUGAUGACGGAUGAGCAAACCAAGCAAUUAAACCACCACCCAAGUACAGGGGCAGGCACAAGAAGAAAGCCUUCUUCUCUGAGAUGCAGAGGGUUUUCCGGCUUUCAUCUUUGGCUUUUGCAGACCAAGUCAGCUGAAGAAGACGAAACUCCAACAAGAAAGCCACCAUUGUAAUGACUCUUACUAAUACCUCAUUUACCUCCAGCCAACCAUCACUACCAAGAUAUACAUUCUGCCUAUUGCGGUUUGACAAGAAAAGAGCUUCAAAAUUCAAGAGCAGUGGAAUCAUGUGAGCCAGGGUCACCACUGUCAACAUCAAAACAGAAAUCAACGGGAGCAUUUUUGGAUGCUUUUGCACAUAAACUAGCUGCAAUCCUACAAAGAUGCAUGCCAAUGUAUUGGAAACCAGAACCAUGGUCAUCUCCAGGUCCAUUGUCCAUAAAGAUUCUUUGGCUUGACUUUUAUACAGGGAGCGUGAAACAAUCUCAAGUGGCUCAAAAUAAAGAGGGUCAGACUUCAUUCUCUUGCUUUGUAUGGUUCCAUUGACAACUUUUCCAACUUUUGCAUUCAGCUCAUGAUACUGUAUGUCAACGAGGAUUUCACAGUCCAGAGAAGAAUUUCUCCCAAAUUUCACAUAAGGUAAUGGAACAUACAAACAGCCGACCAUGCAAAGGUGCCCAAGAUUUGAAUCAUAUAUUCCCUCAGCAGAUAUUCGCAGUGAACUGAAUGAAGGAAGUUCACGACUAAUAUUUAAACCAUGUAGAGGGCGAAAUACUAAUUCAUAGCUGAUGUUAACCAAGUUACCUUGGCUGUAGCUCACCUGGCCUGUAGACUCACCCUCUCCAAAUGCUCCAUCUCGGCUAAAAUGUUUAUCGCCCACGAACAGGGGAGAAGUGUACCCAGAAACACUUUCUCCUUUUUGGUUUCUCACAGACAUGACAAAACCCAUAUCACGUGACAGUGCAUUGGGAAAUUUCCCACCUUUGCCUCCAUCAUGUUUCGUCUUCCCAGCACAAGAUGUCUUUGCAUUCUCAAUCUUGGUAUAUUCAUACCUCACCCCAACAGGUCUCAUAACUCUUCGCAUCCUACUCCCAAAUUCAACUCUACCAAAAUAACCCGAUUCAUUCGGGCUUCUACUACUCCAUAUCUCCCCAACCAGAGAAUUUCUUUGCCUUACUGAUAACACCAUUGGGAAUCUCAAACUCAAUCGAAUCGAACAAUCCCCAACAGUGCCUUGACCAUCCACAGUUCGACAAGCAACCAUGUCAAGCCUCUUCUUCGCACCAUCCCACUUCCCCUCAGCAACUAAAGUCUCAUUAGGUUCGGAAGAUAACUUCAUCUGAGCAGUUCCAAAUUGCAACAAGUACCUCACAUAACCAUUCUCCAGACACUCUAUCUUAUCAAAAGUCAUACUGCUCGGCAAUGCAUUAUCCCCUUUUCCCCCAUGGACAACAUUACAGUUCACACUUUCACAAUUACUUUUAUAGUCCAAAUCCAAAAACCUAGCUCUCCCAAUCAACUGACAAACUUGAUCUGUCCCCCUUAAUCCCAGCGACCCAUUCGACAAAUCAUCAAAUCGCUUGAACACAUUUUUCUCAAUUUCUUUGUUAAUCAAUUUAUACACAUAACCCCUCGAAUUCAGACCUAAAACAUUCAAAGAUCCGACAAGUUUACUAUCCACAGUCAAAAGUUCCAAUGUACCAUUGACAUAGCUAUUGAAAAUACUGGACGCAUUGGGAUAGUUAACCUUAAAAACUGCAAAAAGAGAGCGAUACCUCCUCUCCUCACCUGACCCCACCAUACAGAGCUUCCCAGAGGUGGAAUUCCAAAACCCACUCAGGUAAAAGUCGUGAACUUCAUCGUCGACGUAAAAAGGAUCCACCGGCGUUCUGUGUGGCCGGUAAACAACGAUUCUGAGGCCACGGCGGUUGUGAUUGCUGAUAUGCCCCUGAAGCCGAAAACCCCGCAAAUCCACGCCUCCGUCCACUUUGAAAACCCCGUCGUUCUGGGUCCUCUGAGCACUUCUCGUGGUGAAACGCAGCUUCUUGGGGAAGUUGUACAUUGACGGGUGCGGUUCGUCAUGUUUUCCUGAAGAGAAUGUGAAGCGGGCGUUAGAAAUCGUGAGCUUUAUGGGGUCUUCCGUGAGAGGCUGGGUGGAGGAUGGGGAGGACUCCCGGACGACGUCGUUGCAGUACUCGGAGUAGAUAAUUUGAGGGUUUGCAGAGGUGAUUGAGGGGAUGGACAAGAAGAGAAGGAAGAGGAGGGGGAGGAGAAAGGGAUUGAUUAGGCAUUUUGGGAACAAGAAAAGUAGAGGUCCACUACUCUCCAUUGCUGGGGGGUGCGUGGAGAGUGAGAUAAGGUGCUUGCAUAUAUUUAACACACGAUUAAGCCUAAGAAUAAAUGUAGUGAUAAUGCCGAGACUAGACAGCUUGCAAGCAAUUGACCCACCUAUCAUGAUCAUGCAUGAUUCUUGCUCCAAAAGAUUUAAAAAGGGAACUUCAAUUUGUGGUUUAGUAAUUAUAACAAAUAGAUUAACUUAAUCUAAUCACCGUUCACCACAUAGGAAAUUUUCCUGUGGCUAUAUAGAUUUCUGUGAAUAAACUCGUACAUCAUAUACUAAACACUAUAUAAAUUUGAAAAUAUUAUGCUACAUAUAUACUUCGUGAUAACUUGAUAAUAUUAUAGGGUGUUUCGAGCAUUAUACCGUCAAAUUAAAAUUUAUCAUUGCAUAAUAAAAUAAGAGUUUGUUUGAAUUGUAAUUUUUUAGAAUUUGUAUGGAAAAAAAUGUUAUAUUGAUGUGAUGUAUAUGGGGUAGAAUGCGUGACGAGGAAAUGCAUAAAAAAAAAUAUUUCCUAAAAUUUACAAUCCAAACAGAAUUUUAGAUGUAAUAAUUUCAAUCAUUUAAAAUAAACCGCGUGAUUGUUACUAAAUCAUGUGGCAAUCAAAAAAUUAGGCUUUAAAUUUAGGAAAUGGUCCCCCUAAAAGGAGUGUAGGAAUUUCCCACAGUUUAAUAGCUUUGUCUAUGAGAACAUAGUAUGUGAAAUAAGUCAUAAAGUUUCACGGAUGUCUCUUUGUUAUUUCUAAAAUUGGUAUAUUGCGCAUUCAUUAGGACCCAAAAAAAGAAAUUCAUCUAUAUGUCACAGGACUUGAGAAAAGCAAAAACUGUCUGGAGUUGAAUUUAGCAAACCAUAUGGGAGGGACACAGAGAAUCACUUUCUCCUGUUUAUUGUAUCUCUGUUGCAGGCCAUUUCUUGUUUCAUUUGUCUAUUUAGUCCAAUUGACGUUUUAACUUAUAAUAUAAAUCAUUGCAUUUCCAGUAGAGGAAAAUGAAAUCAAUAUCCUUGUAAAAUGCUUCAACACUUUUGUGGAAAAUUUGCCAAAAUGGUCUCUCAUAUUUUCGAGAAAAACUUUUUUAGCCCUCCACAUUUAAAAUCGAACAAAAUAGUCUCUCAUAUAUAUAUAUAUAUAUAUAUAUAUAUAUAUAUAUAUAUAUAUAUAUAUAUAUAUAUAAAGAAAUACACCCCGUUGGUCUUAGAGCUCAUUUUCAAUUGGUUUUUUGAUAAAAACGUGUACACUUUGCUAACAUGCCCACAAUUUUAAGGGCAAAAUGUGAAUACAAUUAGUUUUUCUCCAAAUUUAAAGCAUAUGAUGAUCACAUGACUGCCUUCCGAACGAACAGAGAACUCUAAUUUUUAUUCGCCAAAGCCAUAAUCGAACAAGAAAGAGUAAGGUCAAUUGCACUUUCUGCACUAUUUUCACUUAUAUAACAUCUGCCUCAUUGUAGACAGCUUUUGAUUAUGUAGUUUUAGUGGAUAAGAAUUAGGAUUUCUAUUAGGAAGAUGAUCAUGCAAUUGUCAUGUAUUUUUUCUUUUCCUAGAGAGAAACGAAUUGUGAUCCCAUUUUGCCCUCGAAAAUUGUUGGCAUUGAGAGAGACAUGUACUUUUUCAACUAAAAAUUGAUAUCGAAGAUAAACUCUGGGACUAAAUAGGCAAAAUUUUAAUAUUUUAAGGACUAUUUUGGCUAAUUUUGAUUGUGAAGGACUAAAAUAAUUGUUGUUGAUAACGUGAGGGACCAUUUUGGCAAAAUUUUCCGUACUUUCAUCAUCAUGUACAACUUUCCUCGACAAAAUCUCAAUAAGAUAUGCAAGUAAAUUUUGUUUACACUCCAAAAAAAAAAAAAAGGAGGUACAUGGAUUUGAUAGUCUUAGUGUUAGUCAAGAGGGUUGAUUACGCCAAAAUUGACGUUGAAGCUACAAAUCAGGGGAAUCCUUAAAGGGUUUAUUGCCUUUAACCCUUUAUCAAAAUCCAUAUGCCACUUUGUGUAUUACUUAGUAAAAGAAAUGUCAAGGACAAUGGUGAUUAUCGACACGUCCUACAUUACUAUUUAUUCCUGUCACAUCUUGUCUCAAGGCUUUCUCCAUCACGAAUUCGCGGACAUGGCCCUUUUCAUUUGGCUAGCUUGAAGAUUGCUUUUUUUUUUUUUUCACUUCAAUCAUACAUUGCUGAUAUAUAUCAUCAUAGACUAUAUAUAUAUAUACAUGAUGUCCUUCCGCUGACAAGGAGGGAAUGAUUACAUUACUAGAAUCCAAUCACCCGGAAUCUGGGAAAUUUGCACCACCUUUGGUUGGAUAUGACAUGAGCACUAUCACUCUAUCAGUAUAGUUGCUUUACAAGUCACAGCAGCAGCAACUAGCAGUAUAGUGCUGAUCCUGACACCCUUCAACCUCUCUCUCAUUAACUGAGGCAGCAAGAGAUACAAGAACUGAAAUCCAAUCUAGUUGCUCAAAUAUUCCCCUUGACUGAGAUCAACAUUGCAGAAAAAGAAAUAAGAUAUACACAGAUAACUAAUACUCAACAAACCCUCCAGUCAACUAGCUGUUACUGCAUUUUUCUCCAGCAACUGCAAGCUUACAGUUUAGGAGCAGAUCUGCAGCAACAGAGCAUUUUUUUGGUCGACUGAAAUUUAUUUCAAGCCUAUAUACAGAAUUACAGAUACAUAGCAGAACAUGCGGAGUUUUCUCAUGCCUUUGUCCUCACAUACAUUCACAAACAACAUAAGCACCAGAGUAAACUGGUUUGGGUGCCAGGAACUGUACUUACACACUCAUAAGACAAUACAACUGCAGAAUAAGGUAAAUUUAAUAACAUAGACAAGCCACAAAUUUCUUUAUAAUGGUCAAUGACUACUAUCCUCAUUUAAUACGUCGCUGCAGUCCAUACCCUUACUGGAGAAUGCUUCAACAAGUCUAGGGAAGAGCUUGGUAAGCAUGAUCUUGAACCCCAUAGAGCUUUCAAUUCUUAUUCCUUGUGCAAUUUUCUCAUUUCCAUAAGCUGAACCUACCGGAGCUCCAUUCAUAUAUGCCUUACAAGCCAAUAGAAUAUGUUUGCAAUGUUGACUAAAGUGCUCCUCAACCAGUGCCUCAAAAUGCUGCACCAAAUUGAACAAGACACAUCAAGACUUGAGCAAUCUUUGUUUUCUUUCAGUUGAUAAAAAAGGUUUCUUAGCAUUGUCUCAUAGAGUAGACGUCUUAGUCAAUCUAAACUAGUACAUUCACUUUGGUAAAGGAGUUAUUUUUAUCAGAGACAUCUUUAAAGAGUAGCUCAAUCAUGAAUAUCUCCCAAGACAAAUACUGUUCGACCUUGUAUAUAUUCCAAGCUACAAUAAUUCCAUUAGAAGGGAAUCACUGUCUAGACUUUACAAUUAAGUUUAACUAGGAGGAGUUAAAACUCGUUUUAGCAGAACGGGAAUCAUGUCAUCAGGUUGCUCUAAUUAAAAGGACUAGCUAUUACUGUAGUCCCCGUAAUGAUAGGGCCAAACAGAUAAGCUUACCUUGGGUGGCUUGCGUAGUAGGUAUAACAUGGACUUGCAGUUAACAAGGAAUGCAUUUUCGUUGUAGCUCACUGAGUUCUUCUCACCCUCAGAUUUUCCAAUCUGCGAAUCAUAUCCAGCCUCAUUGAAAUAAGGCUUUUCAUUAAGGACAAGAGCUUGGAGGGACAGGAGAACUUGAAGAAUUGUAGAAUUUUCAGGAUUCCAAACUUCACUUCCAGACCCUGUCCAUGUAUUGAGGAGACUAAGGCAAAUUUUGCCUGACUCGUAUAAAUUAGGAUUGACACGAAGUCCACCAGAAUUGUAGUACACCAUCUGAAAUUUUCAUGUGCCGAAAUUUCAUCAGCAUCAGUUCAAAAUACACCGUCAAUGCCCUAUAUGUGAUUAUUAUUAUUGCAUUUACAAUGGCAAAGGUAUUGCAAUUCAAUUAAGUACUAAGUUCAUUGCCCCAAAGUUCUAAAUUGUUCAGUGACAUCACAUAAAAUCUAAUUAGAGUUUAUCAAGAAAAAUAGCCAUUUCAGUGGAAAAGAGAUUUUGCUAUCCAAUUGAAUGAUUCCAAGUAUAAUCAUAGUAAGCAGCAAAAAGUAGUACUUACAGGUGGUUGAUAAGGAUACUCCAGGGGAAGAAAAAUGUCAAAGAAAAAUAAUCCAUCGUGAUAUGGUGUUCCAGGAGCCCCUACAAGAACAGCUCGUAGAAGAUCCAUUCUUUCCUCAUAUGUACGAACAAAGACCGUUUCUGUACAGAAAGUAUUUCCAAGUUAAAAUGGUAAUAAACUAUAGCUGCCACACUCCAUGGUACUAAUAUACAACCAAUUCCCAAAUGUAUAUAUCAAAGAUUCCCAAAUUCACAUUUAAACAAAUUGUUCUAUGCCAUAAAGUAAAAUCAGGUUAUAUUACAAUAGAAGCAUACUGCACUAAAAAAUCUUAUUCAACAUAUAAAAGGUCCCACAAAUUUUUUUCAACUUAUCAUUAUAUGCCAAAAGGAGAAAAGAGGUCACAUAAGUAGAACUACUAAAUUAGAUACAAGAAUUUAUCUCUUUCCCUCUAUAGAAGUCACUAGUGUGCUUUGGCAGUGCUGUUAUCUAUUCUCAAAUCUAUUCAAUACUUAGAACUCCUAUCUAUACGACCAAAUUAUUUCCCCCUUAACAAAAACAAUAGGAAAUAUAAUAUUGCAACUACUGGCGGAUGGGGGAAUGUGCAAGAGGAUUGUGGUACAUGUUCAGUCAACAUUUCUUAGAAGUGAUUGAAUACAAUGAGAAAUGCUAAUGCUGAGCCUGAGAGAAAGUUAAAGUUUCUCACCUGGAAGAUUUUUUUCUAAAAUGCUCCAUUCUUUCUGGACUCUUUUCAGCCAAGCUCGAUUCAUCUACAAAGAAACAAAAACCUUAUCAAAUCAAGAAACAAAAAAAAAAACAAAAAAGAGAAAGAAAAGGAAGAAAACUGAGCACGCUCUUGAAGACGAUCUAAAUCUUUCAUAUGUCAAACCUGGGAAGAUUGCCGGCCCUUUCCAGCACCAUCAACAAAAUGGUGGUCAGAGCAAUCAUUAACCAUAUCAAAUCGCCUGAAGAAUUCAGGAUGCUUAUUGUAACAUGGAAGCACACAAUCCUUUUCUUCUUCAACCUCUUUGGUGUGCUGCACUGAAUUUGUUUCCUUAGUUGUCUCUAUUUCACCUAUAUCCACUGGUGUACUAACCGGAUGUAUGUCACAAAGUUCAAGUUCCUCCUCACUAGAGAUAACAGCCUUUUCCUCGUCUUUUGAUAACCAUCUGUAUGCUCCAAAUAGUGAACUACCCAGGGAGCCAAAGAGGGUUGAGGUGAUUGUAGUGAAAAGUCCAAUGGCUGCUUGAGGGAAAGAAGAGGAACUAGAGCUGAUUAACUUAUUUUCAAUCUCUUCUCUGUCAGCCUUGAAACCUGAUUGGUCCUGACAUAGGCAUAUAAUUAUUUCAGUUCAUAUUUCCCACAAACAUUGAAACAAAUGCUCGUUAUUUAGAAUAUCAUGGCAAACACCUGCACACAAGUUAAUAUUUCCUUCACAAAAGAAACCAGAGGAAUAUUUUGAAGGCUUUAUUAACAUUUGGCCACCGGUCUGGCAUUGAUGACAAAAUUUUUUAGCUUCAGGCUUCCGAUCAAAUUUAACUCCAUUUAUUCUCAUAUUCUGUUUUCAAGUAUUUUAAGUUCUUAAAAGUCAAUGAUUAAGCUUAACAUUGCCAACCACAUCUUAGUUUUUCAAUCAUGGAAAAGAGGGGAAAGGAGUUGAGAGAGAGAGAGAGAGAGAGGAUCACCUUCUCCAUAUAUUCCAAAGAUUGGUCGCCAAGCACAAUCAUCUCCUCAUUUGAUGGCUCAGUGUGUCCAUUGUAAGGUGCAACUGUGGCAGAUAAACCUUCAAAUUUGUCAACUUGAUAGAUCUCAUAUGGUGCAACCUAUAGUGACAUUCCAAGAUUCAAGAAGGCCAUCAAAUACAAAUUCAACGAAGAGACACACUUCAUAUUUCACAACAUCACACUAGUUAACUUUUUAGAUUUGCAGGCAAAAAAUGACUUCUCAAUAGGCUGUAAAUACUAUUACAGACACAUUAUGGCAUAAAUACACAUUUGCAAAACGUACGACCAAACCACCAUUAACUUUCAUUGGGACAUAUGAAUAUGAUAUGUUUCCAUCUGUAGUGAUGCAUUACAUUAUGCAUAAGAAUUCACAAUACACCCGGACACACUUAACACACUCUAGUUGGGGAAGCAAGUACCAUAGUUGUAGCACCAUUAGCCCAUUUCACUUGAACAUCCCCACCUUUGAAGCCAACUACAAUGCCAAAGCAGCACGAGAAAUCAUGGCAGGAAUUUCCAUUCAGGCAUUCACAUGUAUCAGUAUAUGUAUGAUAUGUCUCAGUGCCUGUAACUGCACCCCAUUUUGAUAUCAAGUGGUUUCCAGAAACUUUUCCAGAAGAUUGAUAAACAAAAUGAUACUUCUGCAACCUAAUAACUACAGCACCAACAGCAUAUGAGUAGUCUGGGUGUUCAACCAAUUCAUAUGCACUAACAAUUUCCUCCAUCUGCUCUAGCUUAACGCUGGUUGCUUGAUCUAUGGAAACAGUUCUCCACUCCACCUUCACAGUUCUUUCUUUAGCAUCUACACAUUUCACAAUGCCCCAUCUUUGGACACUGGGAACAGGCAAAUCAUCGCAGAUUCCCUUUUCUAGCACGAAUUGCUCAGGCCAGAAAUCAUGCGCAUCAACUACACUCACAGGAAGCAGAGAGUUUGAAUCUAGUCCAACUGAAAGGCUACCAUCCUGCCAUAGCACAUUGACUUUUGUCUUUGUCUUUGUGAUAACUGCAAUUCCCUGGAAGUGAUGAACCAAGUUGCCUCUUUGAGAUAUACCUUCUGAUUUUUCUUUUCCAUCAAUAAGUCCUUUAGCUGGUGGACUUAAAAAACUAUUUUCAUUCAGAGCCUUGCAGUCAAUUACUGGUAUACACCAAUCACCUAGCUGCCAGUUUGCUUGAGUGAAACAUGGCAACAAGGUCAAGUUUUUUAAAUCUUGCAAAGAUGAGGGAGUAGAUAUCUUUUGUCCUACCACUUCACAACCAAGCCAAUUUACAUACACAAGUCCAGCAUCCAGUGAACAGACAGUGCCUCGAUUUCUAUUAUCCUUUUUCAUACCACAUAGCCACCUGGUUGGUUUCGAGACAGGUAAAGAUUCCACCUGUACUCUCUGUCCUGGAUAGAAAGGAUAAAGGGAAUCUUCAAGUAAGUCUGGAGAAAUAGGUACAAGCUUCUCUGGACCCAUUGUAGAGAAUUCAGACUUUGUUCCAUCAUCAAAAAGAACAGUUACGCAAUCAACUAUGUUUUGCACUUUUCCCAGCCAGGCACCGUACACCACAUAGUCGCCUACUGAUACAGAUCGAAUUUUUUUCAAAAUUUUGCAAUUGACAUCUCGAAUUUUGCUUCCAUGAACAUUCUCCAAGUCCACAGUGAGAUCCACAUCUACCACUUUUCCCAUCUGCCCAGAUGGAUCUUUUGCAGAACAGACAAUAUCCCCAUGCAUGAAUCCUCUUUCAAAUGAGAGGAAAUCAUCAAUUUUGCCAAUGGAUUCCUCAAGACUUGAAAGAAUAGAAGAUGCAUGUCCACCAUAAAGAAAUUCAACAUCAUCCUGAUCCUCACUGCUACUGCUUUCACUGAAACUGUCAAAGUCUGUGAGGCGCAAAUCCAUGAAGCAGAUUCCUGCAAGAAUUACUAAAAUUUGGUAAGCCAAAUAUUGCGUAAAAAAAGAAAUGGAAUUUGGAAUUUGAAUAUGAGGUCAGAAUGCAACUUAUUACCUGUUUCUAUUCAGAAUUAUAGAUGUAGAUCCUUGAUCCCCUUGUUUUUUUUGGCCUCAGUGAUGUUGAUCACAAGUUAACAAGUUAAAGAAAACUUCAACAGAAAGGCUCAGGUUGAGAGAUCGAAGCUUCUACCUGAACAUUGGUCAUGUGACAUGUAUUAGUGCUAAAGACCUGGUCUUGACUAAGGGAAGAUGGUAAGAUAUUUGGGGAGUUGACAAAUUGCCCUAUUCUUCAACAAGAUUUAAAUGUUGAAGGAGAAAGCAUAUGGCACUUAAGAAGACAAAAUGAAGUAAGCUUAGUCUACUACUUGAUUUUUGCAAGUGAUACUAGUUGAACAGAAUACAAGAACAUGAUACUUAAAAUCGUUAAAAGAGGCACUACCAGGUAUUCAUAAUUAUCCUCACCUCCCGCUUUACAAUGUAUAUCUCUGCCAGAUUGAGCGGAAUCCUUCUAUGGAUGUACUGCAAGUCAGAUGAAAUGUCUUCCUCAAAAAGAAAGUAGAGAAGCAAGAGAUGAUACAAUGUGUCUUCUCAAUCAAUUGAUCAUGUAUCACAGAUCACAAUAUUUCUCCAAGAUAUUGGAGAUGAAUUGCCAAAGGAGAUUUGCCCCAGAAGAGCGAAAGAAGUCUAAUGUAGACUCCUAAAUGCCAAAGGAGAUUUGCCCAAUGAAUGGACGAAUUUUCCCACUAGUAGAAGCUACCAGAAGAAAUUAUUUAAACAACCGAGAUGCAGAUUCCAUUACAAAGCCCUUGUUCCUAACAGCUUGGUGCUAAAGUCCCAAUGACACCUGGACAUAGCUUGUAAGUUAAUUGUUUUCAAACACGUAAGGAACCCUUCUCUCGUAUUGUAGAGAAAUCUCAGCACAAUAGAGGAACUUAAAAAUUUGCCAAAGGAGAUUUGCCCGAAAGAGCUAAUAUUUCAAAUCUAGAGAUAUAUAUAUUGCUGUCAAUACUUCAAAUCUAGAGAGAUAUAUAUAUUGCUGCCUAAAAGGAACUAUCUUGUCUUCCACAACCAGAUUUAUAUUGCCAAAGGAGAUUUGCCCCUGAGAAAAACCAAAAUGUCUGUGAAAUCCACCCGCUGCCAGAGGUUAAUGAUUUGCCUUCAGGAAAAAUGUUGAUUUAACCACAAAAUGACAGAAUCUGGUGCACAGAGUUACCAAUCAGCCAUGGUGAAAUCGAUCUGACAUGCACAACGUGCAAUCAAGAAAAGAACAUUUUAAACUCUGGUCUACCAGAAUGACUACUCUUGCUCUUCAGAUACCAGUAAUGCUUCUUUUGCCUUUAUAAUGUCCAGAGAACCUGCAAACAUGCCACCUUUUAGAGUCAGUGCCACACACACACACACAUACAAAAAAACACACACACAGAGUCUCCAGGCAUAGAAAUCAUCUCAUGUGUUCAUUUUUUUUCUCAAUUGAAGAAACAAUUACAGAACAUAAUCAUGUAGUGACAAUCUUCUCUGCUUUUUGUCAUUGAGGAAAUAAUAAUGCAAUUCCACAGAUCUGAUCCUCUCCAAAUUGGAGAAAGUGAAAUGAAACAAGAAAUUAACACUAUCUAAUUGUAAACCUCUAUCAUUGUGACAUUUUCUUGUGAAUUGCAUGCAGUAGUGAAAAUUGUAUUGAAGCUGAAAUCAGAUUAUAACACUUUGAAUUGGGAUCUCUCUUUCUUGUAUCCGAUAUCAAUCAUAUUGCACUCAUAAAUGGAACUUUAAAGAGUAAAGGAAAUCUUAGAACCCCAUCAAAGCCACGGUAUGGCAAGAGAACUUCCUAGAUCUUCUACUUCAUUUUGCUUCAAGAAAAGAAAAGUACAAUGGAUUUUCUACUAAUAUUUUUUCGAGUUUUGACAUGCAUCAUCCAUAAUACGAAAUAAAAACCUCUUAGACUGUGUGUUCAAGAAAAGAAGAGCACAUCUUGUGUCUUUUUUUUUUUUUGGGUUCACAUUGUUUUUGCUUUGCCGCAUAAAUAAAUUUGUUUCUUCUUAUCUUUCUUUAUGUCUCACUCUUGGCAGAUCAUUCAAUCAACCGGAUAGAACUCUCCCACAAAGUACAUGAAUAUGAAGUAAAUAGAUUCAAGAACCCAUUGUCAAUAUCUCAUCCUUUAGAUUCCCCUUUCCCGUCCUGGUUCUUGGUUUGCACCCUCUUAAACACCAAAACAAAGGAGGGGGGAAAAGAAAAACUAAAAUGAUCAUAGAAAGUUUACUCUUUUUUCCACCUCAAUAAUCAAGGAAUCCACCACAGAGUUGAAAUUGAACUUUGACGCCAAAUAUGUAAAAUGCUGAGCCAGCUAGCAUACAUGCAUAAAAUCCAAAAUAAAUGCAUACCUUCAAGAAAUCUCUAACAAAUUCAACUUCAUAAGAACAUUUCUAGCCUAGAAAUAUCCACUACGAGCUCAUAGAAAAAUAGAGGUAAAGCAACAAAUUUAAGUGAUGACCCUAUACUAUAAAUUACUUUAUUCAAUACAGUUAAAAGACAAAUAAUCAAGACAAUCAUUAAAACUCUGAAGAAAACAACAAGUUGUAACAAAAACGAACUGAAACUUCAUGGCAAAGCUUCCACGCAAGACUUCCGAACCAUAAUUUGGUUGACAUAGACAAAAAGUGACUCAAUAUUCAAAAAUAAGAUGAAGCAUGAACUGCAAAAUAACACGAAAGUUACCAUUUUGCAGCUCAUCAAGAUUAUUUCCACCGGAAGGCUCAAUCAACCCCACAGCACAUCCAGAAAAAAAAACACUCCAAUCAUAAAUUAACCAACCCAGAACUUGAAUUCUUGAAUUUUCUUUCACUUUCUGUAUCUGCUCCCUUGACUUUCUUGAACCCUCUUGCACUUAUCCAGACUUGCUUGGUUGCAGCAGACUACAGAGUGAAUGAUCAACCAUACAAAAAUAAAGGUUAUGGGAAUUCAGAGAGGCGAAUAAGGCCCUCCCCAAAUCCCACUACCCAUUAGGCCAUUCUCCAAGUCUGCAAACAUGACAUGCAAGACACUCUGUGAAUCUUCAAUUCAUCUUUUCUCUGGUUCUCCAACUCUGUGGGUGCUGCUAGACUUUCUGUUUUUUGGGGGGCUGUGAGAUAGGGAAAGAAUAAAAAGAUCGUCAGUUUUCGGUGGUUUGCUCGUGGGGGGCAGUUGUUGGUUACAACCAGCACUAGGCAUUAUGUUGAACUAGUUAAGCGUGCGGGGAUUUUGACACUGUUCUAAGAGGAAUAUACCACAGUCUCUCUUGGGUCUACAUCGCCCCCUCCUCGUGCGCAUAUUGCCUUUUUGGCUGUCCAACUGUACAAGGUUAACUAACUGUCAGUACUAUUCCGUUUCCAAACUCAAAUGGAUAAACCUUGGCAUCUAUACGAAUUCCUCGUGCGCAUGCUAUGAUACUCUAUUCUAUUAGAGUAUCAUAGCAUUUGUCAUUUUGAUAUUAAAAAAAAAAGUUUAGGAUGAGAAGAAAAUUAAAUAGGAUAGGAGGCCUCACAAGCGGAGUAAUGAUCAAUUUGUUAAAUUGAUUCAUAUAAUUCUUAUUACAUAUUUGAUGUAAAUUCGUACGGUUUUACUUAUAAUAGUAACUUUUAUACUAAUUUAAUUGUAUGAAUUGAUAAAUUUAAAUUUAUAUCCAGGUUGUAUGAGUUUAAAUUGAAUUUUUUAAAGCAAGUUUACACUAGAAUUUAUAAGAAUUACAUCAACUGAUACUCAACUUUUGAGACUCUAUUUCCGCAUUAAGUGGCAUGCAGUGAUUGUCAUUCUUGUAAAUCACUUACUAAUUAGCAUAGUUGAUGUUGUAACUUCAACCCCUUAUUAUUAUUAUUUUUUAACGUUACUUGACAUUUUAGGCUUUCCUCACGAGUCAAGAAAUGGGAAGGAUAAAGGAGAAAUUUGCCAAAGUAAUCACAAUUGUCUCACAUUAAAAGAAAACAAUUUGAUCUCUAGCAUGUGUGAAUUGAACUACUUUACCCAAAUUACAUUUUUGGUCGUUUACUAUUGUUGGGUCAUUUUUGGCAAAAAUAGUCAUACCAUUGUCAAGUCCACAUAUUUUGAGAAAUAAAAAAAAGUUAAGUUUGAUGCCUACAUGAGCAUGCACUCUCAAAUUUGCACCUAAUUUCUUGUGAAUAUAUUUUUCAAUCACUUUUUAAUCUUAUAUAUAUCAAAUCGUUAUACUAUAUUUUUUUUUCUAUAAAAACUCCAGAAACUAACAACCCAAACGGGUACCGUAAAAUCUCUUUUAGGGCAGAAAUGGCUUGAAUUCCAUAACAAUAAACAAAGCUUGAGAAUUGAAUAGUGUACCAGUGGACAAAUAGCGUCAACUAGACUAUCUACCGCCAAUCAAUCCUGUUAGUUAGUCAGAAGCUACCAAGCAACUCCCACAGUGCUCCUGCAAUCCAUCCGUCCACCGACUGCGAAUGUGAAAAAUGGAACAUUUUGGAGCUCUUUCGGCCCUAGCUUGUCAAUUGCUGCAAUCAUGAGUCAAUGCCGGAGGUCGACGCCUAGUAAUGGCUUCACGCGUUAGUUGUAUAGUUCAUUCAAAACACUCGCAGAUAAUUAUCAGUUGAAUCAUUGAUUUUCAUAUCAAGGAAAAGGGCAAAAGCAAGAGCACUAAGGAGUAAAAAAAUGAUAAUUAUUUGGAGUCUUAAUUGACAUGCAACUUUUCUGUUUUGGAACGUAACUCCCAACAUGACCUAUUAAUUUCAGCACCAGGUCGCAACUCUUUAUCUUGUGGAGUCGGACUAUCAAGUCUCAAAAGAGUAAUUUAGUAGGGCUGAUAAUCUUCAGAUACUGCUCCUGUCUUUUUUUUUUUCAAAGAAAUUAUUUUGGAGGAUUACAAAAAUGAAAAAAGAAGAAGAAAGAAUUGGGCAUUUCUAUAUCCUAUAAUAAUUUCUAAACAAAUGAGGCAUAUCCUUGCAUAUGAUAAAUUUUCUAAUUUAACUUCUCUUUUGGGCUCCGUAGAAUGCCAUUACGUACUUAACCUUGCAAGCAACAGGAUUAAUUUCAUAAUCCACUCCCAUGAUUCAUAGUUGCAGUGUCGUCUCUUUUGAAUAUCCACUUUGGAUAUUCGCAUCCAUGAAACUACAUCAUCCCACCUUAGUACAUACUGAAUUAAAGAAGUACAACUAAUUUAAGUAUGUGGAAGACCCAAAAAAGUGUAUGGUCACAAACACACAUGCAGAACCAUGAGAGUUGCUUUCAAGAACUGUGAAUGGAAUAAAGGCAGCAAUCUAUGGCAUCAUUCAUAUGUGCUACUUGCCGAGUUUAAUUUGUUAAUUAAGGCAAACAAGUUGGCUCACGAACACAUGCACAAGAGUGAGAGUUGCUUUCACCAAAUCUUGGUGGAGAUCCAAAAGAAAUUCAGCAAUCAAAUCUGUUCUUGAUCAGUACUAGCCAAGCCAGGAUUUCCGAGACACCUUGACUUGCCAAACCAAUAACCAUGCUGUCUCUGAUUAACUGUGAUAUAAGUAUGUAACUCAAACUCAAAGUCCAUAAUGACUUUGCUCUUUUCGUAGAUGCAACAUAAAAAGCAGGUUUUUAGUUAACAGCACUGAUCAUUUUCUUAGUUGGAAAGACACGAACAGGAGCAAAAGUUUUUCUCGUGAAAAUGACAUAUUCCUAACAAUGAUCACUUUCCACUCGAGACUAACUAUUGCACCCUUUUAACUCAGCUUUUAUGGUGGAUUAUAAAGGUCAGCAAUUUUACUUUUGCAAUGUAUUUGUCUUUGAUUAUAUGGCUCUGCUUGGAUUGUGGAGUUUUCCACAAAGUUAUUUUUGUUUUUGGAGUGUACAAUAACACAUUUCAAAUGCACUAAAAAAAAAAACUAUUAUCUCUUUCUUCUUACACCCGCCACCGUCAUCCCCGAUCUUCCUUUCUCCUCAACGCUGCCACCCCCUCCCCCUCCUCCUGCUUCAUUCUCUCCUUUCCUCUCCCUUCCCCUCUUUCCUCCCUCCUCAAAAUACAUUUCAAAAACACUUAUUCCAAAUGGACCAGUAGUCUUUCUACAUUCAAGGCUGUGACCCCAAGUGAUCACAAGGGGCCAUAAAAGACAAACGAAGGAGGAACCAAAAUCUAGUUCCUCAGUAGAAAUGUCCAAAUGUAAUUCCACUUAAUCAAGUUAACAGGCAUAUUCAUUUCCAUUUAAUUGCCUGAGUGGACAGAACUCUUGGUACAAAGUUUAGACAGUCAUUAUCCCAUUUUCCCCACUCUGGACAUUGGUAUCUUGAAUUACCAAGACACUGCCUAGCUUGGUAGCUACGCUAGCUGGCUGCCUGAGUAUGCUAGUGUACCAGAAAGUCUUAGGCCACUCGUACGCUAAAAAGUUCCCUAAGGAAACAUGGGGGAUUCCUCGUAGUUCAUACCAAUCCAUCAAAUUGUUCAACAUUUGGUGCAAAAGUUUUAUAGAUGGAGUUAACCAUUUGGAUAAUAUAUCUAAAUCUACACCUUCUUGAUUGAAAGGAAUUCCUACAACAAAGUAAAUAGACCUCUAACAUAACUUUGUUUAUGUUCAAGUGAUGUAAGGAUUGAUAUACUUUAACCAACUAACCUUGUAAAAGGAUGAUGUCAACAUUCAUUACAAAGCAAUUAAUUAAUCAAUAAGACUUAUGAAGUCGUUACAUGUAAUUACAGAAGUAUUGCAUGUUGAUGUGGCUAAAUUGGCAAGUAACUUGUACUCGUAAAGACAAGGAAAAAGAAGGAUACAAUGUAGUCCAAGCACCAGAGAUAAUAAUGAAGGUCGAAUAUUUUACACCAAUUGUUUUCACAAGUUGAAGGUGGCGCAAUUAUUCUUUUGCUAUUGGAUGAUUGAAGUCUUCCACUAUCUUCACAGAACAGACUGAGUUGAAGUGAAUUUUCCUAUAUUUCACAUAUAUGCAUCUGUCUUUUCCCUAGACUUUCUUUAACUUUCCUUUUGUGCGCUCAAAGUUGUAAUGCUUUUGUUCCACUAAACAAUGCCGCAUGAGAUAUUGAGGUUGAAGGAAUGAUGAUUUGAAAGUCUACCUUGCAUAUGGCCUAGCCUUGGGGCUGCUAGAUAGAACAAUUACAGCAAGUCAACUUGUUAAUCACAUCGUAUAACAAUUGAUGCCAUUUUCGUAAGACGAAAUUGGGGUUUUUUUUUUUUUUUUUUUCAAUUGCAUGCCCUUUACAUGUUUGCUUGUUAUCUCCAAAAUCAUAGGUGCAACGUACUUGCAAUCAGGCUUCUUUCUUGUUUUCUAUUUUUUUCUGGGGAAUGGGAAUUUUGGUGUUUUAUGAUUUUAGCUACUCAUGGAUGGUUCCUAUAGAUUAUGGAAGAACUGAAGAGCAAAACAAUGUGUUGCGUUGCAAUUAUUAUAAAAGACGAAGAAAAGAAGCAAAAUAGUAGACCGAAGAAAGAAAGAACUGUAAAAAUUUUUCUAGUUAAAAAAAGUACGUGUACUACCCCACCAAGACAUAAUGGAUGAUUUUGAUGCUGCAGGGAGGUUACUUAAUUCUUCUCAGUAAUUGAUUUGAUUAAUCCUGUGAUGUUCGAGAAGAUAUCUAAAGCUAUACUCUGGAUUUUUGCACCUGCAUGCAAGAUUUUAAUAAAAUUUCUUUGAGGAGAAAAGUUCAAUGACAAAAAAAUCUUACAACCCUAUCAACAGUCCCAACGCCAGAGUUUUCUAAUCAGCAUAGACCUCAAGUUACCAAAAAGGUAAAUUUUCUUCUCAAACAUGCAUGGCUAUCUAAAGUAUCCCAUCACAGCAUAUUCUUAUUUUUGCAUGUAAUAUUCCGCUCUCUCACGUACUACUAAUUAUAUUUUUUAAAACUUGAUUUUUAAAUAGAGUCUGCAUCUGACAACCAAAAAUUGAUAUGUUGAAGGCCACCUUAAUUGUGUGAGAAAGAACUUUAAAUGGCAUGUAAUUUAGUCGGUCAUCCCCACGCCUAGCUCCCUCCCCAUUUGACCAAAAGACGCAGUUUUAGAUUGGAGCUCUAAUUACAUUAUUGCUUUUUAACGCACUACAUAUUUUUAUCUGUGAUGAUUAAAUCUUAAUCAAUCACCGAUAAGUUCGAACUUUUCGUAUAGAGAUUUAAUUAAUGUGAAAAUCAUUAAGGGUUGUACAUAAAUCAUCCUUUAUUAAACUUCUUUUUUUACAUUUUUCGUGAACACAUUUUUUAAUUAUCUUUUUACUUUAUAUAUGCAUCAAUUCGUUACGGCAUAUUUUCCUAUAAAAACUCUGAAAAGUAGGUAUCCAAACCGGAUUUUAAUUAGGUUAGUCAUAAUGGAGAUCUCUUUGGGCAAAUGUGAGACGCUGUAAGUGGAGCAACUAUUAUGUUGUGACAAUGAAUUCCAUUAACUAGACUAAAUCUAAUCAUAAACAGUAAUAUAUUGGAGCACUCGAGCGUUAAUGCAUUGUUAGGAAGACAGAUGGCAAAAGAAGUGAGGUCCACUAAGUCACUUAGUCCCACUCAAUAAUUCCACAAGGUCCGACAUUGUUCUUCCCACCUAGCUAUUCGAUAAUAGAGUUUGAAACCACUUUUUUGUUUUCCUUUUCCUCUAAUUCGUUGGUAUUUGUAUAAUAUUCUGUAGGUACAAGGAAAUUACGCACCCCAUGAAAUGAUCCACUAUAGAGGAGAAUAUGCAAGAGGGUAGAUUCCAACAAUGAAAACAAAAUGAAAAGAAUUUCAGGAUUGAUGUGAAUCAACGUCCCAAGGGGCAAGGAUGCCUCAAAACCAGAAAGUGAAGGAGCCGACGUCCCCUCAAAACAUUGCAUGGAAUUUGUCCAAAACUAGUAAAUUGAGUUAGUUGUUGUUACAUCUAUAUGUACCAACAACAUUACAAAAAUUUGACGUCAUAUUUCUCUCCCGAAAAAAGUAAAGAACAUCUUAGUCAUUUUGGGGUAACAUCCAAAUCUGGUUGGAGAAAGAUCGAAGUGCUUCAAUUAAGAACGAGUCACUCCCAGUUAGUGCCAUCUAAUGUUCGAGCACAAGGAAAAGUUUAUCUGACAGACUUAUUUCGACCAUAAACUUAUCCCCUGAUCAGUUACUUCAACUAGCAAGCACAGAGAAACCAAUCUUGUUUUUUUUAUUCUUGUAAGGUAAUUUUGGUGGAAGAUGGGGACUGGUAAAUCAGUUGGCUUUGUUUUAGUGGGAUAAGAUCGGGUAAAUUCACUAUAAGCAUGAUAAAAAUCUAAGUGCGUUCAAUAUGUUUUACUUUCGGCUUAAUUUUAAAAACUCUUGAGGUUUGUCAUAACAUUAUUUAGGAUUUCUUAAGUUUCAAAAAUUUCACUUUAUCUCCGCUACCAGUAUAAUGUGUGUCGCGCCCCACUUUUCGAAUGAAUUGGAGUUGUGUGUGUGAUGUGUGAAGUGUGGUGUGAGCGUGUGCAAAAUGAAAAGUAAAAAGGCCAUGGGACUUUGGAAAGCGACGAUUUGGCCAAAUGAAAUUUUAAAAAGGGUUUUUAAAUAUGAAAAACGGAGUCGCCACUUGGUAUAGAUUUGGGGUGUACCAAGUCACCCAAAAAGUGUUUUUUAAAGACAAAGUAGUAAAACCCUUUUUAAAACGACUCCUAGUCCACGUAAGCCAAAGAAAAAGGUUCGGGGGUCACGUUUGACAAAGGGGAAGGCAAGGAUAAAAAUCCAAGGCACCCCUUCGACCUAGCCAAGGCUAGUUGCGCGACUUAACCAAUUUUCCUAAUUUUUCUACCCAUAUAUGUUCGCAUAUUGGAUAUGUCUAUAUGAAUGCAAAACCCUAGACCUAGGGGGAUUGGGGGAAAUUUCUCUUCAAAGGUUGAGUGGUGCCAAUCACAUUAAUUGUGAAGCCCAAUAAUGAUCCUUUUGGAGAGGUCACACCUAAACCUAAAUGACGUGAAAAAUGAGUGGAAUGCAUGCCAUGUGAAAGUGUGAGUUUAUGUGAAGUGAAAAAAUAAUAAAAGUAAUAAGAUAAGAGUGAAGGUGUGCAAAUGUAGAUGAAAGUACUCGUGUGCGAGUGAAGAUAAAAUGCUCGUGUGCAAGCGGAGACAAAAAAAAUGUUCGUGUGCAAGUGGAGACAAAAAAGUGUUCGUGUGCAAGUGAAAGUGAUAAAAAGGUGCAUGUGUGCAAAUGAGACAAAAGUGAAAGUGUAAUGAUAGAGUGGAUUGAGAAUGCAUGAGCCUAGGGAAUUCAUGCAUAUUGGGUACGGGGAGACCUAAAUCGUGACUUGAUUUUCCCUUUGAUUAGAAGGCGAAACUAGCGUGCUAAGGCUAUCGAGUAGCCACACUCGCUCGUUUCCCUUAUCGGAAGGGGACACUCAAGCAAAAUGAACCCUAUAGCUAGUAUGGGAUGCAAAACCUAAAGUGAGGGGAAAAGGGGGUCGAGGAUCAUGCCAAAUGAUAAAACUAAGGAAAAUGCGUGAUAUGUAGUGAACAAACAAAUAAUGCAUUAAUGAAAAACAAAGGAAAAAUCCUAUUGGGUCUAGCGUUGGACUAGCCCUUUCUAUGAAUUCCUAAUGAAAAUAAUGAGCCACAACUAGCGUUGGACUAGUGUGGUGACGUACAUUCAUCCAUUCCAUUCAUUCAUGGUUAUGAAAGCAAGUAGUCAUGCCAAAACGCUCGUAAACACAUAGCAAGUAGCACUUAGCAUGCUCGACUAGAUGCAAGAGCCUACUAAAGCAAUUUAACAUGUAACAAUAAAAGCAAGCAACCAGGGGGGAAGGGGAAGUGGACCAGAUGCUCUCCGAGCCCUAUCUAUUACAAGCCAAGAGGUGUACACAUACCCCAUGAAAGCAUAAAGGGAAAGGGGAAAUGGACCAGAUGCUCUCCGAGCCCUAUCUAUUACAAGCCAAGAGGUGUACACAUACCCCAUAAAAGCAUAAAGGGGAAAGGGAAAUGGACCAGAUGCUCUUCGAGCCCUAUCUAUUACAAGCCAAGAGGUGUACACAUACCCCAUAAAACUUAAAUAAAAGUAAAAAGCAAGUAAAUACAUGCAAGGAGGUAAGGAAAGCGAAGUAGACAUGCAUAUUCACAUAACACGUAGGGGCACGUAAGGUCAAAUGUAGUGCAAAUGAGGGAUAGAGUGUACCUCCCUCGAAUUGACGCCCCAAUGAGGUGGGAUUAUUCAAUUACCCUCCAAAAUAAUAAAAAGGUCAAGGCACCACUUUAUUUAAGAAAAAUUAAAAGAAAUGGGCAAAACAAAGCUCACUUAGCCAUAAAGUCCCUAAAGUCAUGAAUUGAAUGCAAUUGAAUCAAAGCAUAAUAAUUAAUUAAAACAAACGAGCAAUGAAGUUGUAGAAUUAAAAUUGUCAAGGACCAAAUUGAGGAAAUUAUUCAAUUGGUUGGGUCAUAGUGAAACAAAAGGGACUUGGGGGGUCAAAGUGUGAUUUUCAGAAAGUUAUUUCAUGCAGCUCAUGCAAUCCACGAAUGAAUACAACUUCUGCAAUACAUUUGGACAAGCUGAUAAAGCUCCUGAGCAACGAAGCAAGCUGCGGCCUCCAUUUCUUUUGCGGAUUUCAGCCUUUUAAAGAAAUUUUGAGCACAUGCUUUUCAAGUAAACAUCAAAAAGCUCCAAUCUAAAGAAUGAAUCCACUGGAACUUGACAUCUAACUUUCAAAAAGAAACUUAGGAUAGGACCAUGAAGCUGCUGGAACUUUAUCCUUUUCUGGUUUCAUAUCAUUACAAUGUGCGGCAUUCACCAACCCAAAUAUCAUUAACAAAUAUCAAAUUCUACAGGGUAUCACUUCCAAUCAUUCAAACCAUACAAAUAUCACGCCUUCAUCACAAGACUAAAACAGAAAAUCCGGAUUGAUGACUACUGGAAACACAAGAAAUAUCAGCCAAAGAAAGGAGUGAAGCGCUGCAAUCUCCAGCCGCAGCUCUCUAUUCAUGUGAACCAGAUUUCUGAUUCAAAUGCACAACCUUGAUCAAAUGUUUUUAGCCCAGCAUCACGAUUCUAAACCCAGCAACAAACUACCUAGUGACCGCAAUUCAAAUGACCAGAAAACUUGGGAAGACAUCAUACAAGAUUUCUGGAAAAUGCAUGCAAAAACGAUUCGACAACCUGAUCAUUUAUUUUUCCAGCAAGCAUUCAAUCGUAACUCAAAUAUUUCUAGACCCAAACACACAAACCCAAACCCAAAUCAUUCCAUUUCUUCCCUUUAACAUCAGAUUAACAUGCAAUUUAAGUGUAAAGAUUCACUUGAACAGCCAUGGAAAAGAAAACAGCAAGGAAAAAAAUGCAGCGGCUUUUUACUUUUUUACUUGCUUCGAAUUUUGCAGCUCCAACUAGUGUAGGUUACGUGCUGGGACCAUUGCAUUGAUCUGUCCAUUUAUUUACUAAACUCACAAACAUCUUUGAACAUGAAUUUAUUGCCUGACCAUCCCAACCGAAACAACAAAGAAAAUGCAGCAAACGAAGCUCAGUCGUGAAUCAUGCAUUGCCCAGAAUUCUCCAACCAGAUUGCGCACCAAGACAAACAAAAGAACAGUCAUGAACUCUAAUGAAACAUGUAAAUCCGUCAAUUAACUUCUCAUGGACUUUAUUUCCACAAUCCCAAAGCCAAACUUAAACACAGAAAGGGCCAUAGUCAAAAAAAACAUCUAGAAAUGAGCAUGAAGAAAACCCAUUAGCAAAAACUCAAGAUUCAUGUCUAACAAAUCGGAAUCUUCAUGAAAUGCAUAUAAAAAUAACAAAACGGGAAGCAAGGGUUACCUCCGUAUGUUUACGGGGCCAAAGCAACGCGAGCAAUCUGAAGACAUGCGUUCGAACGAAAGGUUUGAAGCUGCAAAUGGCUGAGAUCUGCCUUUUCUGCGAAAAUUCUGCACUUUUCUUUCAGCCUUCCUCUUUUGCUUCUCGCACUGCCCGAAAUUCCUUCUCCAAGUUCCAGAUUUCAGCCGCAGCUCCCUUCUUGGUUUUCCUCAACUUUUUCCAGUUCUCUUCCUGGAUGUCGCUGUCAUGGUCGUGGUCCUCAUCAGGUUUGGUGAGGGCAGGAGCUGUGGUGUUGAGGACAUCGUCUUCAGCUUUAGCUUCGGCGUCUGUUUAACCGCUGCAGUAACUGACUUGGAGCGAGAGACAGCAGCUUUGGUGGUUGCGCCAGUUGAUAGCUUCUUCUUAGCAGUCGAUGCAGCUGUUGCGGCGAAGGAGGAGGUUGACAACGAUGGCGAGGGGCGAGAUUCAAGUUCGGAAGGCUCUUGCUUCUGAUUUCUCUACUGCCGAAACCUCCCUUUCUUUUGCAGAUUUCCCGUCACUUUUCUAGUUUCUCUCUAUCCCUUAUGCAGCCGCCGCCUACUCUCUUGCUCUCUAGAAACCCCCGUAGCCUUCUGUGUUUUUGUUUUCCCUUCUAGCAGCCGUCAAUCCUUACCUCUCUUCCCGUCACCCUUCUUGCUCACUCUUAGCUCUCGGUGCGGCUGUUCUUUUUUCCCUGCAGUUUUUCUUUUGUUCAAAUUCUUCUCUCCCCCGAUGAAGCUCCCUGGUUUUUUGUUUUCUUUCGUUCUUCCUCCAGAUUUUGCAGCCGUCGAUCCUUUUCUCCUUGGCGGCUGCUCCCUCCUUUUCUAUUUAUAUGAAGCCCCCCUCCUCUAACCUACAGUCCUUUCUUACCUAUUUGCAGCCCAGGCUCCCCAGUCCUUCCUUGCAAAUCCUUCCCUGCAAGCUGCGUUUUGACGCAGCUUGCAUGCCGCUACUAUAUAUAUAUAUAUAUAUAUAUAUUUUUUUUAACUUAACAACUAACCGAUUUAAUCAAACAAAAUUGAUAACAAUAAUACUAAUAAUAAUAAAAACAAAAAUAACUUAAUUAACAUUGGAUUGAAUAAACAAAAAUAAAACUAGAAAUAACAAAAUGCCACUUUCAAUCUUCCAUUUUUCAUUUUUUUUCCUUUUCCAUUUUCCAUUUUUCAUUGUUUUCCUUCUUUUCCUUUUUUUUUCAAAAUAACUUAACAAAAAUAAGUAAGAUGCUAAAAGAUUGAUUUUAAAAGACAUAAAACACAUUUUUUGGAACACUUUUCUUUUCCCUUUGAGAACUUCUAGCUAAGAUGGUUAAAAUAACUAAAACUAAAUGUAAAUAAAACUAAAUAUGACAAAUAAAAAUAGAACAAAUAAAAUGAAUAGUAAAUAAAUAAAUAAAUAAUAAAACACCAAAAAUUUGGUGUCUACAGUUUGCCCCUCUUUGUCUGAGUUUUGAAAAAACUUGAGACAAAGAAGUAGACACCAAAUACUUACCUGUGUUAUUCGGCUGCAAAAGAUUUCAACAAACAAGAAUUCUAAAAACGGGACUGACCCGAACAUGAAUGUAAAAAUGGGAUAGACCCGAACAGAAAUUUAAAUUUGGGAUGGACCCACGGGAUAGACCCGGACAGAAAUGUAAAAUUGGGAUAGACCCACGGGAUAGACCCGGACAGAAAUGUAAAAAUAGAUGAAUUGAAGUGAGAUGGAGUGUUGGUGGGAUGAAAACACGCACAUUAGUGAGAUAGGCUCGAUGCUAACAGCGGUAGGAUGAAAACACGCACGUUAGUGAGAUAGACUCGAUGCUAACGGUGGUUGAAUUAAAACCAAUCCCAGCAUGACUUUUGUGAAGUUGGCGGCACAAAAUCCAGGCCCAACGUGAUAAAGUGAGGUUGGCGGCACUAAAUCCAGGCCCAACGGGAUCUUGUGAGGUUGGUGGCACGGAAACCAAGCCCAACGUGAUAAAGUGAGGUUGGCGGCACGAAAUCCAGGCCCAACGGGAUCUUGUGAGGUUGGUGGCACGGAAACCAAGCCCAACGUGAUAAAGUGAGGUUGGCGGCACUAAAUCCAGGCCCAACGUAAUCUUGUGAAGUUGGUGGCACGGAAACCAAGCCCAACGUGAUAAAGUGAGGUUGGCGGCACGAAACUCAGGUCCAACGUAAUCUUGUGAAGUUGGUGGCACGGAAACCAAGCCCAACGUGAUAAAGUGAGGUUGGCGGCACGAAACUCAGGCCCAACGUAAUAUUUGGAACGUUGCCGGCAUAAAGUCCAGGCCCAACGUGAUUUUUGGAAUGUUGGCGGCACGAAAUCCAGGCCCAACUUGAUGUUUGAAAUGUUGGCGGCACAAAAUCCAGGCCCAACUUGGUGAUGUGAUGUUGGCGGCACGAAACUCAGGCCCAACGUAAUAUUUGGAACGUUGGCGGCAUAAAGUCCAGGCCCAACGUGAUUUUUGGAAUGUUGGCGGCACGAAAUCCAGGCCCAACGUGAUAAAGUGAUGUUGGCGGCACUAAAUCCAGGCCCAACGUAAUAAAGUGAAUGGUCAGCGGGAUAAGACCCAGUCCUACCAUCCAAUUGGUCAAGAACUUGAAUUUGAUUCGUCAAAAUACAAGAAAUUAAAUUUGAUUUUCCAAGAAACAAAAAUUUGAACUUGUUUUUUUGAUUUUUUUGAAUUUUUCUGAUUUUUCGAGAGAAUCUUUUUCCCAAAAAUAAUUUGCCCCAGUGUAGGGCCCUUUUCCCUUCUUUCUUCUCUUUCUUCGGCAUCGGCCUUCCACAUCGCCAGAUGCUUUUCGUCGACUUCAACUGUGAAUACCUGCACAGGGCUUACCUGCACUCAAAUGAGCGUGACUGAUUUGAAAAAUGCAUUAUUUUGAUUCUUGGACGAAAUCCUCAAUUGGACUACAAAAAUAUUUGCCCCUGUGUGGGCUUAUUUUGCGAAAUUUUGCAAAUAAAAAUUUUGCCCCAGUUUGGGCCCAUUUGAUUGCAAAAAUUGGUUUAGAUGAUUUCCCAUUUACUUGAACAAAGAAAAACCGCACUUUCUAAAAUUUAGAAAAGAGUGCGCAUAUACAACAAUGUGAAGAAACUUUAAUCGUCAAGUUUGAACUCAUGCAGAAAUUUCAUGAUGAAUUCCUCGAAAUAACACCAAAUUUAAGAAGAUUUCUUCCUUACUUUUAGCAUUGGUGCUUAGGGUAACGGGUCACCACUUCUGGUUGACUCAUCUUUUCAGGACCAAUCAAGUGACUUUAUUUUUGAAAUGGCUAAGGAAAUGGGAGAUAAGAAUCUGUCUCAUUUUUGUGCCCCGGUUGUAUGUAAUCCAUUCAAUGUCACAUCUUAGUGAAAGCAAAGAGUUUGUUACCCUUAUUUUCAAGAAAACUUAGUCAACCUACAAGCUUUCUAGGCUUGUAACGUAUGGACAGAAGUGAUAGCUAAACAUGUGGAAACGGGUUAUGCCUUUAUGAUCACAAAUGAUUUGAUGAAUUUCUUAUGAGCAUGAUCCUCAUUUUGGAUUGUCAUGAAAGAAUAAGUCAACGAUGGACUUUAUUAGCUUGUAAUUUGGCUUGAAAACGAUAGUUUAAGACUUUCAAGGAUAUUGCACCAUAGAUCGCAUUUUUCCAAAAUUGCCCCUAUUUUGAAAUCAAAAGAUCUCAGACUUUGUUUGCAUUUUUCUCAUCACUCACCGGAGACUUCAGCGUCGAAUUUUCUGCAUUUUCUUGCACUUACUUUUCUUGCUUUGCUUUUUGCCUCUUUUCCAAAAAGACCCUCGCGGGAUUUCACAUGAAGAGCAGCGUCAACCUCACACCCAAUCAAUUCAGAAAUACAGCUAAAACUUCCGGCAUCAGAAAUUUGCUUGACAGGGCCAUUGCAAAGAACAGAAGUCAGGACUUUCGGCUUUGUAAUGGGGUCAGGUGGGGUGCUUAGAAAAGUUAAGGUUUGAAAACGGAUUUUGAAACUGGUUUGAAGAAUCUGAGAUCGCAUCGUUGUGCCAACCCUACUUUAGGGUUAAAUCAGAAUUUGCCCCAGUUUUUGCUCAAUUGAGGCUUUUUCUCUUUCAUUUUCUUUCUUUUUUUUCUGAUUUUUCAGCUUUUGGCCAUUUUUGAACUUUCACAAAAUUGUGCCCCAGUUUAUUUUUGAACUGAGGUUCUCUUUUCUUCCUUUGUCUUUUGAUUUUGUGGCUUUUCAUUUUUUCCACCUCUUGAAAUUUUCCUUUUCCAACCCAACUUGCCCCAGUGUGGGGUUUGCGAUUCUCAGGGUUCGCCAAACGAAGUAUUUUAUUCUGAAGGCUCAAAAGGGAUAACUAGAGAUAGAAUGCUUGAUUGGAAAAGAAGAGGGCCUGACUUUUAUUCCGUUCCUUACAAUAACUCUGAAAGGAAACUUUCGUUAAUGCGAAACUUCUGACAUGUAUCCGAAUUAACUGAGGGAGACCCUUGAUCAUCCAUAUUUGUGAAACGUAGGCGAUCCACGCGGACAAAUCUCUUUCUUUUCUUUUUUUUCAAAAUUGGAACCCAAGUAGAAUCAAAUUUCCCCAAUUGCAGUUCCCACUUUUCUUUUAAUUUUUGCUUUUCUCUUUUUUUUUUUUGAAAAAUUCCCCAAUCUCCCUCCCCAAUGUGGGGUACGAUUCACAAAUGCAUUUGAAAGGAACCACCUAUUUGGCUCAAAUGAGGAUGCAAGGGAUAAAUAGUGUUUGGAUUGUAGAAGCGAUAGCCAAAGUAUCAUUCUUACACUUUAUGACAACCAGAGUAACGAAAUGCUCAUUGACAACCCAUUCUUCUUUUUGAUAUUUUGAAAAUUCUCCCAUGAAGGGUAGUGAUCAUCAAGGUGUUUAUUUGGAACGAAAAUUUUCUUUUAAAGGCUCAAACGGGAGAGCAAAUGAUAAAAUCUGUAUAGGUAGAGAAAAGAAUGCUCGAAGUAUCAUUCCAAAUUUUCAAAACAAACAAGAAUAAUGCACAUUUUUGCUUUCACUUAGAUGUGAAUUGAAUCCGGUUAAACCAAUGGGGAUUUUUCCAAGCAAAGAAUGUCCCAAUUUGCAAUUUAUCAAUCAAUGUGACUGAUUUUAUUUUGAGGUUAAAUGAAGGAAAAAAGGAAUCUCAUAGGGCCUUUUGAGUGACAUCUUUUAAUUCUGAACACUCUUAUUAUGAAUUUUCAGGCCAGAGGUUGAAAAAAAUCCCAAUUUAGUCUUAUUUCUUAAAAUUCAUCAUGAAAUCUCCAAUGAAUAAGAAUAAAGAAUGAAAUGUACAUAAAUAUACACAAAACAAUGAUUGUCCAAAAAUUUUAUUGCUGAAAAAGUUUGAAACAAAAUUUCUCAUUCAAUUUACGAUACAAAUGAGAAGAGAGAAACUUGUAAAGAGCUCCAUAUAUACACUUUUUGUCUCCUUUUCUUUUUGGAACAAAAUGUAUUAACAAAUCAAAUAUACAAAAUUUUCCUUUGGAAAACAAUUACAACAUCUCUCAGAGGCUUUAGCGUAGAGCUUCCAGAUAGAUCAUUUAUGUUUUCAUUAUAGGACCUGCCCAAGAAUCAAAUAAUACUUUCUGAACUUUAUCGGAUCAAAAAUUGUUAUCCAAUAUAGGGAAAUAUUUUCACCUUAUUGAAACAUUUUUAUGAAUGCAGGGGAGGGGGAAAAAAUAAAAAGAAAAAUACCCAGAGUCAGUAAGUAAGAAUAAAAAAUCGGUAUGCAUGUCCUAUGGGGGACCCUUUUUAUGCCAAGGGUAGGCCUAGCAUGAAAAUGCAAUCCGCUAGAAUAGGCACUAUACAAUACCUGAUGGAUCCGAUCAACUCAUGGAGUGAAAAAUAAUUUGAAAAUUUUGGCCCAUUGGAAUAAGAAGAGACGUUUGUCAAAAUGAGGACCUCGUCCGAAGGGAUUGAUUACCUUUGAUUUGCAAAACGCAUGGGUUUGACCUUGACGAACUUCCUAUUCAAAGAGAUUGGAAUUCGUUGAUAAAAUUUCUCAGUGAAUUACGGGUCAAAACCCCAAUUGAUCAAGUGAUUGCAACAGACGGUUUUCUUCAAAAUUGACUAGAUUUCCCAAUUUGGAAUUUGACAAUGAAACCCCAAUAGGGCAAAUGGAUUGAAUGAAGUUGACAAUUUAUUUAAAAUCGACCAAAUUACCCUAAAAAGGGAAACAGGUCAAAUGAAUUGAAUGAAAUUUAUCCAAAAUUAAUCAGAUCUCCCUAAAAAGGGUAAAUUGAUCAAACAGAUUGAACGAAACUUGAUUUAUUCAAAAUCGGCUCGGUUGCCCUAAAAAUGGGUAAAUUGGGCAAAAGACCCUAAAAAGGGUAAUUUGGUCAAUUGAAUUGACAAUUUAUUCAAAAGCGACCGAAUGACCCUAAAAAGGGUAAAUUGGUCAAAAGAUUUGAUGAUUUAUUCAAAAUCGACCGAAUGACCCUAAAAAGGGUAAAUUGGUCAAAUGAAUUGAUGAUUUAUUCAAAAAUCGACCGGAUGACCCUAAAAAGGGUAAAUUGGUCAAAGGAAUGGUUUAUUUAAAAUCGAUCAUGAAUUGACAAAAUGGAUUGAUCGAAUCGGCCGGCCAUUGGUGGUUUCAGAAAAUCAGUCUAUGAGCCUUCUAAAAAUCAAAUUUUGGCCUCAAUUUAUUUAUCAUCUCAAUAGGAGGAAUCAUUUGUGAAUUUCUUCGAAUUAAUGUCCUUUUACGCAAGGGAAUUUUACCAAGUUUGAUAAAUUGGCCAAAAAGUGAUUAUUAGAUGCUCAUAUUCCAAAGAUCACUCUAUGAAAAUGAUCGGAUCCUACCUUACCUUGUGCACUACCCCCUCUGGAUGGUACAAAAUGUAAACGUGCAAGUCUCACUGGAUUAAGUAUCCGAGACACAAGGUGGCUUAUUCCUGACACGGGAUCCCCUAAAUGGCAUUCCCUUUCUAGGGUUUAUGCAUGAUGUCAUUUAUUAAAGCGAUGUAAAUAUGUGACAAAUAUGACCUAAGGGACAUAAAUAAUGCAUCGGGGGAAAAAAGGUCUAAAAUGAAAUGUAUUUAUUAAGUAUAAUGACUGAAAUUUAAACAUGUGAGUUAUCUAGUGGAUAGGUCACUAAAAGAGUGCCAAAAGGGCCUCUUAUUGCUAGGGCAUAUGAAUGCAAACCAAGGAAACAAUGAAAUGGUUAGUGCAGUUGAUAGUACACAUAACACAUUGGGAGCAAUUAAGAAAAGAAAUAGGAUAAAAGCCAAUAAAAAGGGGUGGAACCCCUUCCCUCGUGCCUAAUUGUGCUUAAAAAGGGUGAGGCUGACUCUACCCUAGGCAAAUGCUAACAUGGAUGCAUGAGGUUUGGUUCAUUAAUGCCUAGACUCGAUAAAGCUUCGGCUCCCAAGCCUUCAGACCUAAAGGCGAAGGGUCAUCACUCCCAGGGCCUUUGAUCGGUGGCUCGAGUGAUCCCUUAGGUAGCGCUAUGGGCGCAGAGCACACCAGCCGCCUACCCAAGGCAAUCGAUCCUAAUCCUACAAGGCGGUGUGGGAAACGCCCACGAAAAACAAAAUAAAAUGGGAUAAAAGCAAGUAAACGUGCACGUAUGAAGUGCUCCCCUAUUUUGAGGGAAGGGGUUGAGAACCAACAUGAGGCUCUAAAGGUGACACACCCCCCCAAAUGCAAUGCAAGCGCGAGAUAAACAAGUAAACAUACAUCCAAUCAACCAAUCACACGUACGUGAGUGAGGGAAUAGUUGGAUACGCGCGCGAGGCAAAAGGCCUUAAAAUAGAAAAUGCAACCCUAAUAUCCAAAUGCAAUGCAUAAAAAGGGUAGAAAAAGGAAACGAAUGGCUAAGUCAAAUGCUUGGACCCACUUAGGAAGUCCCCAGUGGAGUCGCCAACUGUCGCGCCCCACUUUUCGAUUGAGUAAUGUAAAUGUGUGGUGUGAACGUGUGCAAAAUAAAAAGUAAAAGGCCAUGGGACUUUGGAAAGCGACGAUUUGGCCAAAUGAAAUUUUAAAAAGGGUUUUUUUAAAUAUGAAAACGGAGUCGCCACUUGGUAUAGAUUUGGGGUGUACCAAGUCACCCAAAAAGUGUUUUUUAAAGACAAAGUAGUAAAACCCUUUUUAAAACGACUCCUAGUCCACGUAAACCAAAGAAAAAGGUUCGGGGGUCACGUUUGACAAAGGGGAAGGCAAGGAUAGAAUCCAAGGCACCCCUUUGACCUAGCCAAGGCUAGUUGCGCGACUUAACCCUACCUUUCCUAAUUUUCUACCCAAUAUAUGUUCGCACGUUGGACAUGACUAUAUGAAUGCAAAAACCUAGACCUAGGGGGAUCGGGGGAAAUUUCUCUCCAAAGGUUGAGUGGUGCCAAUCACAUUAAUUGUGAAGCCCAAUAAUGAUCCUUUUGGAGAGGUCACACCUAAACCUAAAUGACGUGAAAAAUGAGUGGAAUGCAUGCCAUGUGAAAGUGUGAGUUUGUGUGAAGUGAGAAAAAUGAUAAAAGUAAUAAGAUAAGAGUGAAGGUGUGCAAAUGUAGAUGAAAGUACUCGUGUGCGAGUGAAGAUAAAAUGCUCGUGUGCAAGUGAAGAUAAAAGGGUUCGUGUGCAAGUGGAGACAAAAAGUGUUCGUGUGCAAGUGAAGGUGAUAAAAAGGUGCAUGUGUGCAAAUGAGACGAAAGUGAAAGUGUAAUGAUAGAGUGGAUUGAGAAUGCAUGAGUCUAGGGAAUUCAUGCAAAUUGGGUACGGGGAGACCUAAAUCGUGACUUGAUUUUCCCUUUGAUUAGAAGGCGAAACUAGCGUGCUAAGGCUAUCGAGUAGCCACACUCGCUCGUUUCCCUUAUCGGAAGGGGACACUCAAGCAAAAUGAACCCUAUAGCUAGUAUGGGAUGCAAAACCUAAAGUGAGGGGAAAAGGGGGUCGAGGAUCAUGCCAAAUGAUAAAACUAAGGAAAAUGCGUGAUAUGUAGUGAACAAACAAAUAAUGCAUUAAUGAAAAACAAAGGAAAAAUCCUAUUGGGUCUAGCGUUGGACUAGCCCUUUCUAUGAAUUCCUAAUGAAAAUAAUGAGCCACAACUAGCGUUGGACUAGUGUGGUGACGUACAUUCAUCCAUUCCAUUCAUUCAUGGUUAUGAAAGCAAGUAGUCAUGCCAAAACGCUCGUAAACACAUAGCAAGUAGCACUUAGCAUGCUCGACUAGAUGCAAGAGCCUACUAAAGCAAUUUAACAUGUAACAAUAAAAGCAAGCAACCAGGGGGGAAGGGGAAGUGGACCAGAUGCUCUCCGAGCCCUAUCUAUUACAAGCCAAGAGGUGUACACAUACCCCAUGAAAGCAUAAAGGGAAAGGGGAAAUGGACCAGAUGCUCUCCGAGCCCUAUCUAUUACAAGCCAAGAGGUGUACACAUACCCCAUAAAAGCAUAAAGGGGAAAGGGAAAUGGACCAGAUGCUCUUCGAGCCCUAUCUAUUACAAGCCAAGAGGUGUACACAUACCCCAUAAAACUUAAAUAAAAGUAAAAAGCAAGUAAAUACAUGCAAGGAGGUAAGGAAAGCGAAGUAGACAUGCAUAUUCACAUAACACGUAGGGGCACGUAAGGUCAAAUGUAGUGCAAAUGAGGGAUAGAGUGUACCUCCCUCGAAUUGACGCCCCAAUGAGGUGGGAUUAUUCAAUUACCCUCCAAAAUAAUAAAAAGGUCAAGGCACCACUUUAUUUAAGAAAAAUUAAAAGAAAUGGGCAAAACAAAGCUCACUUAGCCAUAAAGUCCCUAAAGUCAUGAAUUGAAUGCAAUUGAAUCAAAGCAUAAUAAUUAAUUAAAACAAACGAGCAAUGAAGUUGUAGAAUUAAAAUUGUCAAGGACCAAAUUGAGGAAAUUAUUCAAUUGGUUGGGUCAUAGUGAAACAAAAGGGACUUGGGGGGUCAAAGUGUGAUUUUCAGAAAGUUAUUUCAUGCAGCUCAUGCAAUCCACGAAUGAAUACAACUUCUGCAAUACAUUUGGACAAGCUGAUAAAGCUCCUGAGCAACGAAGCAAGCUGCGGCCUCCAUUUCUUUUGCGGAUUUCAGCCUUUUAAAGAAAUUUUGAGCACAUGCUUUUCAAGUAAACAUCAAAAAGCUCCAAUCUAAAGAAUGAAUCCACUGGAACUUGACAUCUAACUUUCAAAAAGAAACUUAGGAUAGGACCAUGAAGCUGCUGGAACUUUAUCCUUUUCUGGUUUCAUAUCAUUACAAUGUGCGGCAUUCACCAACCCAAAUAUCAUUAACAAAUAUCAAAUUCUACAGGGUAUCACUUCCAAUCAUUCAAACCAUACAAAUAUCACGCCUUCAUCACAAGACUAAAACAGAAAAUCCGGAUUGAUGACUACUGGAAACACAAGAAAUAUCAGCCAAAGAAAGGAGUGAAGCGCUGCAAUUUCCAGCCGCAGCUCUCUAUUCAUGUGAACCAGAUUUCUGAUUCAAAUGCACAACCUUGAUCAAAUGUUUUUAGCCCAGCAUCACGAUUCUAAACCCAGCAACAAACUACCUAGUGACCGCAAUUCAAAUGACCAGAAAACUUGGGAAGACAUCAUACAAGAUUUCUGGAAAAUGCAUGCAAAAACGAUUCGACAACCUGAUCAUUUAUUUUUCCAGCAAGCAUUCAAUCGUAACUCAAAUAUUUCUAGACCCAAACACACAAACCCAAACCCAAAUCAUUCCAUUUCUUCCCUUUAACAUCAGAUUAACAUGCAAUUUAAGUGUAAAGAUUCACUUGAACAGCCAUGGAAAAGAAAACAGCAAGGAAAAAAAUGCAGCGGCUUUUUACUUUUUUACUUGCUUCGAAUUUUGCAGCUCCAACUAGUGUAGGUUACGUGCUGGGACCAUUGCAUUGAUCUGUCCAUUUAUUUACUAAACUCACAAACAUCUUUGAACAUGAAUUUAUUGCCUGACCAUCCCAACCGAAACAACAAAGAAAAUGCAGCAAACGAAGCUCAGUCGUGAAUCAUGCAUUGCCCAGAAUUCUCCAACCAGAUUGCGCACCAAGACAAACAAAAGAACAGUCAUGAACUCUAAUGAAACAUGUAAAUCCGUCAAUUAACUUCUCAUGGACUUUAUUUCCACAAUCCCAAAGCCAAACUUAAACACAGAAAGGGCCAUAGUCAAAAAAAACAUCUAGAAAUGAGCAUGAAGAAAACCCAUUAGCAAAAACUCAAGAUUCAUGUCUAACAAAUCGGAAUCUUCAUGAAAUGCAUAUAAAAAUAACAAAACGGGAAGCAAGGGUUACCUCCGUAUGUUUACGGGGCCAAAGCAACGCGAGCAAUCUGAAGACAUGCGUUCGAACGAAAGGUUUGAAGCUGCAAAUGGCUGAGAUCUGCCUUUUCUGCGAAAAUUCUGCACUUUUCUUUCAGCCUUCCUCUUUUGCUUCUCGCACUGCCCGAAAUUCCUUCUCCAAGUUCCAGAUUUCAGCCGCAGCUCCCUUCUUGGUUUUCCUCAACUUUUUCCAGUUCUCUUCCUGGAUGUCGCUGUCAUGGUCGUGGUCCUCAUCAGGUUUGGUGAGGGCAGGAGCUGUGGUGUUGAGGACAUCGUCUUCAGCUUUAGCUUCGGCGUCUGUUUAACCGCUGCAGUAACUGACUUGGAGCGAGAGACAGCAGCUUUGGUGGUUGCGCCAGUUGAUAGCUUCUUCUUAGCAGUCGAUGCAACUGUUGCGGCGAAGGAGGAGGUUGACAACGAUGGCGAGGGGCGAGAUUCAAGUUCGGAAGGCUCUUGCUUCUGAUUUCUCUACUGCCGAAACCUCCCUUUCUUUUGCAGAUUUCCCGUCACUUUUCUAGUUUCUCUCUAUCCCUUAUGCAGCCGCCGCCUACUCUCUUGCUCUCUAGAAACCCCCGUAGCCUUCUGUGUUUUUGUUUUCCCUUCUAGCAGCCGUCAAUCCUUACCUCUCUUCCCGUCACCCUUCUUGCUCACUCUUAGCUCUCUGUGCGGCUGUUCUUUUUUCCCUGCAGUUUUUCUUUUGUUCAAAUUCUUCUCUCCCCCGAUGAAGCUCCCUGGUUUUUUGUUUUCUUUCGUUCUUCCUCCAGAUUUUGCAGCCGUCGAUCCUUUUCUCCUUGGCGGCUGCUCCCUCCUUUUCUAUUUAUAUGAAGCCCCCCUCCUCUAACCUACAGUCCUUUCUUACCUAUUUGCAGCCCAGGCUCCCCAGUCCUUCCUUGCAAAUCCUUCCCUGCAAGCUGCGUUUUGACGCAGCUUGCAUGCCGCUACUAUAUAUAUAUAUAUAUAUAUAUAUUUUUUUUAACUUAACAACUAACCGAUUUAAUCAAACAAAAUUGAUAACAAUAAUACUAAUAAUAAUAAAAACAAAAAUAACUUAAUUAACAUUGGAUUGAAUAAACAAAAAUAAAACUAGAAAUAACAAAAUGCCACUUUCAAUCUUCCAUUUUUCAUUUUUUUUCCUUUUCCAUUUUCCAUUUUUCAUUGUUUUCCUUCUUUUCCUUUUUUUUUCAAAAUAACUUAACAAAAAUAAGUAAGAUGCUAAAAGAUUGAUUUUAAAAGACAUAAAACACAUUUUUUGGAACACUUUUCUUUUCCCUUUGAGAACUUCUAGCUAAGAUGGUUAAAAUAACUAAAACUAAAUGUAAAUAAAACUAAAUAUGACAAAUAAAAAUAGAACAAAUAAAACGAAUAGUAAAUAAAUAAAUAAAUAAUAAAACACCAAAAAUUUGGUGUCUACAAUGUGACUAGAUAUCCUGAUUAGAGGCAUUGAAAUGACGAUGUUACCUUCAAAGUCUUAAUACUUCUUAAGAAGGAAAAAGUUCGGAGAAGAAAAAAAUUUAAGUCCCAUUGCAAAGCAUAGUGAUUGUCAAAUUUGGUUGCUCCCACAUUCUAUUUUACAUGUAGGAAAAUUUUUCAAGUUGGUCCCUAAUAUUUAUAUAAAAAAAUUUUUUAGUCCCUAACAUUUAAAAUCAACAAAAAUAGUCCUUAACAUAUAAAUUAUGAUCCAUUUUGGUUCUAAUGCUCUUAUUUACUCAUUUCUCUAACUGAAAAUAGCACGCCUCUCUCUCGUGAGCAUAUUUUCAAGGGUAAAACUGGAAAACACACUUGUCAUCCGUGUAAAUGUGGAAUUGAAGCUUCUGUUGUUGUUGUUGUUGCUGCUCAUUCUUUCGGACACCUCCGAAUACAAGGAUGCAAACUAUGGCAACACCAAAAUAACAAAUAGCACCUAUUCCGGUUAAGCUCCACUUCAGUAUAUUCAACCCACCAUGAUCCUCUUCCCACUUAACCUCUUUUUGAUUGUCAGCGUCAUCCAUGUUGUUGCUAUUUUUCUUGAUCAUUUUUCCUUCUGGAUCAAUUUUCUGUCUUGGUGAGGAAAUCUUGGAUGUUUCCAGAGCCUCACCAGCAGCUUUAUAGGCCUCUGCUUUCUCCUCAAAUUGAAAAGCACCUGCGUCAUUUUGAGGCUUUAUCCCCUUAGCGGCGUGUCUGCUGCUGCUGCUGCUGCUGCUGUUGGACAUGGGCGAGUCCAAUUUCAUGUCGGCAAAUAAUUCAGUUUCCUUCAUUUUCUUGAAGAAAACUUGCGAGACCAGAUCUUGAUCAGCUUUCCCUGUUAGUAUCUUGGGACUUCUGAUGGAUGUGUCAAAUGGGCCCUUAAUCACUUGUUUCAAACCUUGAUCGUCAACUUCGGGGAUCUGAUUCUUAGGUGCUGGCUCCAGCUGAAUUGGGAUAGGCACGAGUUGAUUAGACACUUUGGCUGCCGUCUCUGUAGUAGUUUCGACAAAUUUUGAUGAUUUUUGAGAUGGGUAUAUUUUCUUGUGGCUGUAAUUUGAGGGGGAAAGGUGAAAAGAGGCGAUGGUCAGGUGUACUUUUGCUUAAGAAGGGAAAUCAAGCGUCUUUUCGAUUUUGCCCUUGAAAAUAUAUUCACUUGAGAAAGGCUUGCUAUUUUUAGUCGGAGAAAUGAGUAAAUACGAGUAUUAUGACCAAAAUGGAUCAUAAUUUAUUUAUUAGGGACUAUUUCGAUUGAUUUUAAAUAUUAGAGAUUAAAAAAAAAUUGUGUAAAUAUUAAGGAUCUAUUUGGCAAAUUUUCCUUACAUGUAUCUGUCCCUUUACGUUCUCGUUUAUCAUCUUUAUUGCCUUCGUAACGUUGAAAGAAUUUGCAUUUGGUACUAGCAAGUAUUAGAGCUUAUUUGGAUUCCUGUUAGUCUCAAAAAUUAUAAUUGUCGCAUUGCAAUUGCAUCCACAAUAUCGACAUAAUCUGAAUCAUGUUGGUGAAUUAUAAGAUCCUUCCAACACUUAAACUUGCCAUAUUGUGUUACCAAUUUCUUCAUAUGUGCUCUUACUUUGCCUUUUUGCUACAAAAUUUUUGGCCAUUUUUUUUCCUAUUUUUUAUGUUACUGAAGGAGCUGCAGAAGUCAUCAUUGAAAUAACGGUCUUCUGGCUGAUUUGUUAUUACUUAAUUGCACUUACGCCUACUCAAAUACUUAAUUUAAUAUUUCAUCCUUAUUUAUCCUUUUAUUCCUGCUAUAAAAUUCAUGAAUCAGGUUACAUAAGGGUAGAUGUCAACAGAUAAUAAUAAUGUUAUCUCUCCCUUUCAAUGCAUUUUUUAAUAUUACUUUACUCAUAUGGGCUUACAAUGUCGUGCAAUACGUCAUUUCAGGAGAGAUAGGUGAGUUUUCCAAAACUUGAGGGGCUCUAAGUGAUUUCAAUUCUUGAAAUUAACCCCUCACUUAUUAAAGGAAUUGAGUCAAUGAGUCCAAAAAUAAAAAGGAGACCGAGAAGAUUCAGUGGUAUAUCCUUAGCCUCUUAUACUUUUAAGACCUUCUAAAACAGACCAGUGUUAUUGCCUAAUUUGAAGCAGUGGACCGAAAGAUUUAUGGACCUACAUGCUUCAGACGUUUAUGCUUUUUCAAACAAAACAUUUUCCUAACUCGAGAAGAUAAGGAACAGAGUGGAUGUAAAUGCUUUCACUGUUCUUGACAAACUACUAGUUGAGAUAUGUGCCUUUGUUCAUGCGCCAUGUAAAUUGAUCCUUAUCUUCACCAACAGUAAGAUGUCAAAAAGCACGUGCUAGAGCUUUGCAAGAAGGAUGGAAGAAAGAAGGUACAUUUUUUUUUUUUCAAAAAAUUUUUUCUAAUAAAAGAAGAGUGGAGUUUGGAAAGCACAGAAGAGAUGGGAAGAUUAUAAUCCACGCCCUCUAAUUUCUAAAAAGAAAGUACCCUAGAAAUGCUAGUGAUGAUAUGUUAUUGUAAUUUUACUUGCUUAGGGAUAAAAAGGAUUAGUUACAUUAAUUUUCAUGAAUGAAGUGAAAAAACAUACACGACUUGGGGUCCGUUUGUUUCGGGUGAAAAUGUUUUCCAGGAAAAUAUUUUCCUAAUUUUCCGUGUUUGGUUGCACAAAAGUUACUGAAAACAUUUUCCUAUGUAAAAUAUUUUCACUCAUCUUAUGGAAAAUAACUUUCCUUCCAAACUUACUGAAGUUGUUUUCCAAAAUGCAUGCAUCCCGCCUGUAGUAUGUUCCAAACUUACUGAAAACAUCUUGUAGUAUUUUUUUUUUUUUUAGUGUAAACAGGAGGACUCGAAUCCAAGACCUCUUCCUUACACUCCCUCCCCCGUACCACCCAACCCAACCCCCCCUAGUAUAUUCAAAAUAAAAAAAAAUCUCAUCAUGCUCAUCCUAUGCUAGUAAUUAAUUAUGUAUAAUAGGGGCAUUCUUUUCUAGAGAAACUUUCAGCAGUGAGAGUGCAAGAUAUAUGUCACAAUAAGCAUUGCAUGUGAUUGAUAUUUGACACUAAAUGGCCAACAAUUUGUUUAUUGGUUAAGGAGAUAUUUUUUAUUCAUAUAUACAUUUCUCCAAGAUUUUUUAAAGUUAAACAAUGAGAUAAAUUUUCUUAUUUUGCAUGGGAAGAAGUAUGUAGUUAUAAUGUGUAGAAAGUAAAGAUAGAGAUAAAAGUGAAAAUAUUUCAAAAGUUAAACAAACACCAGAAAAAUGAAAUGAGAAAAUAUUUUCAAUAAGCUAACCAAACACCUGAAAAUGAUGAAAGGGAAAUGAUUUUCAUGGAAAAUUAAUUCCACGGAAAAUAUUUUCCCAAGAAAAGCAUUUUACUUCCAACCAAACAGACCCUUGAUGGUAGAUGACACUUAUGAUGGUAUUUUUUGGCAUUAUACUUUUUGACAAAUACAAGAUCUUUUACUUGCGCUCCUCCUCUCGUUGUCAUCAAACCCAAUCCAAUCCUCUCGGCAAAUACAAGCACUCAACCCAGGAUAGAACACAUUAGCUGUAACUGUUCUAUAGUAUAAAUAAUGGAUAAGAACCAAUUGCGAUGUGGAAGAAGAGUACUUCUCCACAAGUUGAUGUUCUCCAUCUUUUGUUUAUAGAAAACGACUCCCAAUUGUCGAACAAGAUUAACUUGAGACCACUUUGUUAACUUAAUCCCGGAGAGGACACUUCACUAUUUUGGAAAAUCAGGGUUUUAUGGCUGAGCACAAAAAAGACAAAUUCCACAAUGCAUCUAUAAAGAAAAGGAAACAAAAAUUAAUGGCCAAUGAACUGUUACAUGAUUUACAAAUAUUACUGGCCAACAUAUAUAAGCGUACAACAAUAUGCUUUUGCAUCCUAUAUUCAAGAUGUACUCUGGUGAUAAAGGAUAGGAGCUAAAAGAUAAUCAGAUUAAGGAUUUUGAGAAUUUUACAGAUAACUUGGUUUAAAAAAAGGAAUAAAGGGAAGAAACCAAAUAAAUCAGAACCCAAAAAAAAAAAAGAAAACCCAGAUAUAACAAAUGACCAUAUGCAGGCCAGGAAGUUUAUUAUUACUAUUAUGAUUAUUAUUAUUAUUAGUUACGAACAAAAUGUUUAUUAGAAAAUUUUCUAUGUAGAAUUCCUGGGAAAGCCCUGGAAAGGUGUUAAAAAAAAAAAGAUAAAGAUGAAAGGAAAGAAGAUAUUCAUGUAAAUUGGGCUACUUAUGAACUUCGCAGGGAAAGCCUGUUUUCCGAUAUCAUUGGGAGGCACCGAUUUUUCGUGUUGUUUGAGGUCUAACUUCUCAAGGCCGUAUUUUUCAUUUAUAGAGGACUUGUAUGGUUGCGUACAAGAGGACAUGAUAGCCUAUUUGUAAAAAAAGAAAAAAAGAAAUGCAGCCAUUAGGAAGACGUACCAAUUGCUGGUCCAGUAUUCACCCGUAUCGACGGGCCUGCUAUGCUUGUACCAUCAAUCUUCGGCAGUCACCUCGAUCCAACUUUUCUAGAAGUGAUCCUAACAACGUGUGGGGAUGCUCCAACGGCCUUAACUCAAUAUUGAAAGUCAGAGAUUCUGAUUUUUUUGAUAACUUAGGGUCUGUUUGAUAACAUAAAAAAGUGCUGAAUCUGAAUUUUUUCAAACAUUCGGAUGUUUUGAGUGUUUGAUAAAUGAAAAUCUAUUUGCUGAACUUGUUAAGCAGUGCUGAACCUGUGUGUAUUUUUUUCAGCACAGGAAUCCUAACUGAAUGCUUAAUUCUGAUAAGAAUCAAUAGAAUUACUUCAACUACCUUAUCUUAUCUACCAAAUCUACCCUUGUUUGUUAAUUAUGUUCAAAAUUCUUAUCUAAUUAAACAACAUAAUAUUCUCUAUCUAACGAUUUUUAGUUUCUCUUUUCUCCCUUUUUAAUGACUUUCACAUCUUCUCCAUACUCCUCAUAUAAUAUAUUUCAUCUUUUAUAUUAAUUUGAUUUAAAAAUAAAUAUUGUCAUUUUCAUACCUAACAAUUUUAAACUAAUUAAAUCAUAGAUUCUAUUUCUUUUUUGAAUGAAAGGAUAUAAGGGCAAAAUUGUCAAAUUAAACUUAUUAAGCAUUCAGCUAUAAAUAUUUAUCAAACAGCAUAAAUAGGUUUAGCAUUAAAAUUCAGACAUUCAUAUAUUUUUUUCAGUGCUUAAAAUUCAGUAAAUUAAUUGUUUCAGUAUUCAGAUUUCAGAAUUCAGACUUCAGAAUUCAGAUUCAGUUUUAUCAAACGGAACCUUAGUCCAAUACUUAAAACUAAUAAAUUUAAAUCUUAAAAUAUUUAUAAGUAUUUGACAAUGAAAAAAGAAUAUCUUAAUUAAUUAAUAGACUUGAAGUAUAUAGACAAAACUUACUUCAAAAAAAUAAAUGAUAAAUUAUUCACUUAUUAUUUAAUAAAGAGACCACCAAGGUGGGAGUUUAAAUUACACCUGCAGCAAAAAAAAUCCAAGGGUUGUGCCAAAGCACUCCCUUGGUCUAAUAAGGUCUGUGUACCUACUAACCCCUAACACAAAACCUCUUUAGCCUCUCCCUCCCUUAUAGUCUAGGAUAGAUAGGUUAUACAAUAAUUGUCGUUUCCGGAAAAAAAAAUUAACAUAGAAUGCAUUCAAAUAUUAGAAUACAAUAUUUAUAAUUUAAUAAUUUAAUGGAUUCAAAUUUCAGAUUUCAAUUUUAUCAAAUGCACUCUAUAUUCUAUUAUUGGUUGGAUGAGUACAUUUUUUAUUCAAUACUUUUUGAUUCAAUAAACACUAAUGUUCGUUCCUUGAUUUUACUUAAUUUGAACAAGAGAGACAAGCUGCAUAUUGACUGAAGAAAGCAGCAACACUCAAAUGCAUCGGCAAAAUUUUUGAAGUCCUAAUAAUAAUUUUUACUCAUACUAUAAAAUGUUGUACAUGGAGGCAAGAGCAUAUUUGCUUAUCAGAAUGCUUCCAGUCACCAAUUAGCCGACAAAUUUUGUUAGAACAAAGAAAUGAUACAACUUCAAUCUGCCACAAACUCCUUCAAUUUGUAGAGGGGAGAAGUAAUCAAUAAUAUUUAGCUUACCCGGAGACAUAUAAACAUAUUACUAACAAUUAACAAACAUGUUUAUUGUAUAUGUGAUGCAACAUAAGUGGAUUAAGAGGCAGAGUUGGGGCAGUGUUCAUUGCCAUCCUAAAUACUAAAAUGGGCCUGACGAAUAUUCUGAACGGUAUAAGGCUCAUUUGAAAAGCUAUGAUUGGAAAAAAAAAUACUUGUAAUUUUGAGAAGAGCAAAGUAUUUCACAUAUUAUACAAAUAAAUAGAUAAAUAAAGUAUAUAUAUUUAUGACACUAUUUGAUAGGUUUUAUUUUAGGAUUGAUUUUUUAUAUACUAGCACUGUAAUAAUUUUUUUUUACAUUAACAGCUAUAGAUAUAUGUCAUAUGUGCAUGAUUUUAAUUUCAAAUUUGAAUUCAUGUUACGUGAUAUGUAAUCUAAACCUGUCAGUAUAAAAAAAAAAUUAUACACCGAUAGUAUAUAAAAAAAUACUCUUUAUUUUAUAUAUUUAGUUCUCAAAACCCAAUUUAAUUGGUAAGAAUAUUAAUCAAGUGACCAAAUCCUCACCCUUCCCCUUUCCAUUGCACCUAAGAAAUAUGCUUACAAGCAUUAAACCCUUUCUUAAAAAAGAAUACUAAUAAGUUUUUAGCCCAUCCCGGCAGAACUAGUAAAAUCUCCCUUCCAACGGAUGUACAAUGAGCUGAUAGUAUGAUUGGUAUACCAACCUUUUAGUUGGCUGCACGUGAGCUCUUACUUUCCUCACCUAAUCUUGUUCAUUUGCCAUGCUACUUAAUUAAUCUCCACUUGACAGGACUCUUGAAAAUGGAAUCUAGCCAAUGACUAGUACUACAUGUGACAUGGUAUAUAUAUAUGUGUGUGUGUUAGAGUGUAGAAGUCUUAUUUGAAGGGUUAAUUACAAUUAUCUUCCUUGAGAUUUGACUAAAUCACAAAAUGAACCAUCUAAUUCGAUCAAAUUACAUUUAUGUGAAGCGUCCAACUUCAAUCUCAAAAAACCCAACUGAGGAGGCCAUGAAAUGACAAAAAUGCCGGGUAUUUAACAUACAUUUAUCUUCAUUUAGGUUUAUUUGAAUUAUUGAAAGGACUGUAUAUAUAGAUAGGACUUAGGAUAUUAUUUGAAAUGAUACCAUAACAUUUUUUUUGUGAUAUAACAUAUGUGAAAUAAAAAAGUGGUUGAAAAUUAUGUUUAUGAUGCAAGUUGACUAAUAUUUGGAAAUAUUUUUUGUAAAUUAUGCUAACCAAACAGAUAUGUCCAUUCAAAGAAUUAAGAAAUAAGGCAAAAUUAGCUAUAUUAUAUGUAAUUAGUAAAAUAUGGUAUUAUGAGUCAAAUUUUCCUUUUGCAAUAAUCUUAAGUUGAAUUCUUGUUCUUUUUUUUUUUUAGAAAUUUCAUUAAAAAUGUUGUUGACAUUACAUCAAUUGACUAAUGUAGAAGUUGUUUUUUUUUUAUUGUUUGCAUACUAGACGCAUUCGACUAUAAGUUAAAACAAAUAGGAUCCAUUUUGUAAUUUGAACAAAUCGAGAAAGAAGGUAAAUGCAAUUAACUCAAACUUCAAAAGGGCAAUUUGAGGCUUUCGGACCUAUUUUUCUGUUGAUGCAAGCAACAUACCUAACAGCCAUUAACAUGAAGGGGUAUUUGUUAAACGUUUAGAUAUUCAAGAGGGUCAAUUGUAAUUUGCCAAACCGUAGGGGAGAUAGAUGUAACUAACCCUAUAUUAAUCAGUAAGUAGCAACUCACUUGCAAAAACAAGAUCGAUUUGCAUCAGUCAACGGCAAAUAAAUUAGUGUAACAUGUAGAUUUACAGAAGGUUCCCUAUGUUGUCAUUGAGUAUUGAUUAAUCAUAAUCCAUUGGUAAUUAUUGUUGAUCCUGAACUAAAAAAUAGUAUAAGUAGUAGUAGACAACACUAAUUGGACCAUCCAUAAUCCCAAAAUGCAUAUCAUCUUCAACUCAUCAAUCUCCACAGACUAAAUUAUAUAUAUAACAUCUAGCAGUACUUCUUCUUGUGGCCUCAACGGACACAGGCACCUGGAAACAUGGCCGCCUGUAAUAUACUUCUGGCCUCGUCUACUAGAUUUUUGCUGAAUGUCAAACCGUUUCAGCGAAGGAAAAAACUCUUUACUUUCAAUUCAAUACUACCCAAUUACACUAGGAAACCCCUGGAGUACUCCAGCAAGGCUAUCCUUGGGCAUGCAGAAACUUGUUCUGUUGAAGAAAAGUUGGCGAAAACUGAGAAAGACGAACCAUCAAGGACGAUUAGCCUGUCAGCUAUUGUGACUGUGAAAUGUGCUAAUCCAACGGAUCUAAAGGACGUGAUUUUCCAAUUGAUGAAUGCUUCCUCCGCGACUAAUGGCCGCGGUGUUGUGCUACAGCUUGUUAGCUCUGAGCUCGAUCCUCGUAAGCCCCGGAUCAUCAUGAACUUUGUUCUCCUUUUUUAAUCACUUGUUGUUCCUUAAAUAUUGAAUUUUUUCAAUCAGAAUUGCAAUUGUAUCAAAUCAAAAAAUUAAGCUGCAUGGAACUUCUAUUGCACGUUUUUCCAGUUCAGAUUCGAGUAUUCUAAGUUUGAUAGUUAAAAGACCAAAUAAACUCUCAAUCUUUUUCGCAUUUGGACCAAUGUAACGGUACAUUUUAUAGUAAUAUAUUUUGUUUUCCAACCCCCCCCCCCCCCCCCAAAAAUAUCUUGGAUCUGAAAAAAUUUUGAACUGUUCUACGGAAGAUACAAGGGAGCCAAAGCUCAGCAGAGAAGCUGUAUUAAACAUGUCAUACUCAAAUGGCCCAAGCAGUGGUUCUUCGGACCCUCAAACUUUCAGAGUUCAAUUUACAGUUGACCACAACUUCGGCGUGCCGGGGGCCAUUAUGGUUUACAACAAGUACGAGAAAGAAUUCUUCUUGGUGAGCAUCUCCGUUGAAGGGUUUGUCAAUUUCGACUGCAAGUCUUGGAUUCAACCACAGAAGGUGAAUUCCAGGCCCAGGGUGUUCUUCUCUAACAAGGUGACUGCUUAAGCUUAACUCCCAUCAGUAGUCCUAUUCCAAGUCUCUGAAAAUCAGAUUCUUUGCCUGGGAUGAACCUGGUGGGUUGGGAUGGGUUACCAGAGAUAUAUAUCUAAUUGAACAUCAGUUUUGCAUUUUGACUUGAGGGUGAUAAUAUAUGAUAUCUGGUUGAAACAGGCGUAUCUGCCGUUCCAGACGCCAGCGGGGUUGAAGAAACUACGGGAGAGGGAACUUCAGGAACUGAGAGGUGAUGGGACGGGGACUAGAUUGGCGUCUGAUAGGAUAUACGACUACGAUGUGUACAAUGAUCUUGGAGAUCCAGAUAAAGGGAUCGAACAUGCAAGACCUGCCCUAGGAGGGCAACAAAAUCCUCAUCCUAGACGCUGCCGGACUGGCCGUCCUCCGACCAUUGCUGGUGAGCCAAACAUAAUAACAAUAGAUUAUUUGGAGAGCUUUUUUGGUGAUAUAUUAUGCGUGAAAUAAAAGUUAGUGAAUGAAAAAGUGAUUGAAUAACGUGUUUAUAAUGCAAGUAAAAUGAUAUUUAAAAAAAUUAGGAACAUUGAUGAUAAUAAUAACAAUAUUAGAGGUUUAGGUUGAUCAAUUGCUUGUUCUUAGUACAACUGUUUAAAACAAAAAAUUUUAUCCUAGUAUGUGUUAUUAGUUUAAAGGGAUAAUUUCACAAACAUUCCCUGUGAUUUUUGACAAUUUCACUCGGCUUCGUUCAGGUUCAAGAAAUUACAUUAACCUUCCUUGGUGUGAGAAUAUGACUAUAAUGUCCUUCAUUUAAUAGAUAGUUCACAAUAUGAUGCAAGGGUUAAAUAAAACCAAGAAAAAGAAAAAGAAACCCUACCUCUUUUAUUCUCCACCAACAACCAUUCCUUCUUUCUCCAUUUCUCUCUCUUGUAAGUAUUGAUUCUUUCUUUUUUUCUCUUAUUGUCUCUUUGCCUUUCCUUUUCUCUUACUUUUUUACUAUAUUCACAUCUUUAUUUAUUUUAAUGAUGACCUACCAUACCAUAACCAUUUCUAUUUACGUGAUGAAUAUGGCACUAUUUUACUUGCAGGAGCAAAUUUCAUUGUCAACUAAAGAGAAAUGAAUAUGCUUGUAGUGAUGAUAAAGAAAUAAAUAAUGCAAUUGAUAACUACAAAGCAUGGAAGAGGAGGGAUUAGUGGGAAAUUGUUAGGUUGAUUAUUAUCCUGAAAACUUGUGUAGGAUGUUAACAAAUGCAUUUGAUUUUCUUUACGAUGUUAAUAUAUAUUUUUGUGGAGGUUGGAGUAUUGUUCUAUUGAUGGUGAUAGUUUAGAUUAUUAUUUGUUUUAUGACAGUACUAGGUAUUGAAUUGAAGUUUAGAGCGUGAGUUUGGUUGUUGGUUGUCAAGAGAGAAUUGAUUUUUGAAAAACAUUUAGGCUGGGAUGAUAUUACAAGACAGAUGUUGGGAUUUUUCGAGUUGUUGAAAUUCUUGAACUGUUCAAACUAUUUGCUUAGUAGGUUUGUCGCAUGUUUAGAAAUAAUUAGAUUUAGCAUUGGAGUUUAAAGUGUUUGCUUGGUGGUAAUGUUGUUGCAAAUUUGGAAGAAAGUGUUGAGAAAAAUAGUUUUAUUUUGUUUUUUAUAGAACAAGGGUAAUUUAGGGUAUUUGAGGAAAAUCUAACCUGAUGGGUCUAUCUUGUUACCUAAAUAGUAAAAGCAAGGGAACUAAGUGUAUUUCUAAAACUUGAGAGGAGCUCUUUGCAACUGUCAGAUACUUCAGGGGAGGUUUGUGAAAUUAUCCCUAGUUUAAAUUUUUUUCACAAUUCAUGUAUUUAAUAAUUAUAAUACGUUUAUAAUGUCACACGUGAUUUAUUUUUCCUACCUUCCGUCCUUCUCACACCCUUCUUAUCUCCAACUAAAUGAACUAGAUGUAAUAUGUUCCAUGUGAAUUACGAUUGGCCUAAUGAUUGAAUCAACGACUCUUGACUCAAUAAAUUUUCGGAGUCAAUGCAUAGGUCGGGUUUCAAAACCAUGGCCCCAAGUGAACGUCAUGGAAGACUCGUUAUAAAUGACAAUUGAUUUUAAGAGUUAAGAAGAAAGAAAGUGACAAGAAUAUGGGGACCUAAUUUUUCUUUAAGCAAAUCAAAACUCUCUCUUAAAAUUGGCAGUAAGUGAUAACAAAGAGAGUAUAGCAGUCAGGUAAGACUAUCUACAAGCUACAAAUGAAUAUCCCACAGUAAAUUAUGCCAACUGUACACAAGUAGACAAAAAUCAACUGGGAAGUCCCCAUCGAAGAGCAAUGACCAAUUUUCUUUGUUCCUAGAACCUAAUUGUUAAUGUUUAUAUUUACGAUCUUCCAGUUAGAGUACUUCGGUCCACAAAAGCUAGUAUUAGACAAUGGAGCCAAAAGGAGACGAGCGACAUUUAAAUUUAUUAAACAAAGAAAAAAAAUGUAGUUGAUCAAUCCAAGCUUGUUAAAAUUAUGGAUCUUAUUCUAAAACCUUUCAAAAAAAAAAAAAAAAGAAUCGAAAUUUAUAAAUACUCCAUCUUUCAUUUAUGACAAAUGAACCAUGUUUGAUAGGUAGAAAACUGGAAAUUCUAAUUUAAGACGCAGAAAUUUAAGAAAGUAAUUAAUAGUAUCAAUCAAAAAUUAUAAAGAAUUAUAAAACUAUUUCAUUUUGACUAAGAAUAAGAUUGGUAAGCUCAUUGGUAACAUGGGGUUGAAGUAAUUGAGGCUGAGUUUAUGUCAUCUAUUAACUAUAGCUGCUGACUGCAGACGCCAAUGCGGAAAUCCCAGCAGGCUGUUCGAAACCGGUAUAUGUGCCCAGAGAUGAAGAAUUUGAGGAAUCAAAGAGCAGAUAUGUAUCUACAGGAAAGCUUAAGGCAGUAUUUGGUUACCUGAUGUUUUCUUUAGUUCCCAACCUCUACUCCGACGUUACCAAUCUCAAAAUCAAAUUACCCCAUUACCAAAACAAUUCUCCACCUGGUAAGUGAUGUUUAAUUUUGCUCAUUCACUUGCCUUCGUUUUUUUGAUCAUGAAAUCAUGUUAUAAUAAACCACGCUUUAAUUAGAAAUUUCAUUUUCUUGUGUCAAAAUUUUACUUGUUUGAUCGUUUACCUUUUCAUAUCAAUCUUCCUUUAAAUGUUUUUUUUCUUCAUCCUAGUGUACUUUUUAUGCUUCAGCUUAAAAAUCCAAAACAUAUUAUCUGAACUCAAAUUCUGCCAGCCAUUUAGUCCCUUUCGAGACGAAUAACCACGUAUAUAUGUGCAACAUUCCUGAAGGGGCAAAGGGAUUCUCGGAUCUGGGGGACGACGAAUUUGCUCUACGAGUUCUUGCAGGAAUAAAUCCCUUAAACAUAGAAAGGUUGACGGUGAGUCUUUGUAAACAUGGGUUUUUAAGUCCAGAAGUAGUCUUUAUUUACAAGUUACUCGUUAAGUUCUGUUAAUGCAAUCCGAUAUAUAUGGUGUCUGGAAAAACAAAAAUUUGCUGAUCAGACAGGAUUGUUUUUCUUGUUCAGAACUUCCCACCAAGGAGCAAACUCGAUCCGUCUAUCUACGGCCCCCUGGAAUCAGCUCUCAAAGAAGAACACAUCAUCAGCCAUCUAGAUGGAAUGUCAGUGCAACAGGUACGAGCUAUAUGGGUGUUGGAUCUUGUUUCCCAACCCUAGGUUCUACUGGGAAUUCCUAAGGUGCUAUCUGUACAGGAAAUAAAUUUUUCGAGGGCCAAAUGAAUUAUCAAUACUCAAGAAUAGUCUUUCGUUUUUACUGUUGUUAUGUGUACUUGGAAAAAUACUGUGCUUCUUGGUGUCUGCAAAAUUUUUUUUUUGAUCGACUAACUUUGACUAGUACUUUCAGGCAAUGGACAAAAAGAAGCUAUUCAUAUUGGAUUACCAUGAUCUCUAUCUUCCCAUUCUCAAUCAGAUAAAUGCUCUUGAUGAUCGCAAAUCCUAUGCGACACGGACAUUGUUCUUCUUAACAAGCGCAGGUACUCUGAAACCCGUUGCGAUCGAGCUGAGCCUUCCAAAAGGGGAGCUAACAGUUUCAUCUAAGCAAGUUCUCACCCCUCCUAUUGAUGACACAAGUAACUGGCUAUGGCAACUCGCCAAGGCUCAUGUUUGCACCAAUGAUAGUGGAGUUCAUCAACUUGUAAAUCACUGGUAAACAAUCGAGUCUUAGGAGCAAAAGUUUUUCAUAUUUGAUAGAUAUUUAAAAAAAGGGUGAAAAUUGACCUCAAAUAUUCCUUGCCUUGGGAAUAUUUAGAUAGUUCGUUGAUGAGCAGCAUUUUAAUUUAGAUAGUCAACCUUAUACAGGUUGCGGGUGCAUGCCUGCAUGGAACCAGUCAUAAUAGCUGCUCACCGUCAGUUAAGCAUAAUGCACCCCAUAUUCAAGCUCCUCAAACCUCAUUUGCGAUAUACAUUGAGGGUCAAUACAACUGCCCGUGAAACUCUCAUCAAUGCAGGUGGUACCAUUGAAUCCUUCUAUGCGCCAGGACAAUAUUGCAUGCAGCUUGCUUGUUCUGCCUACAGAGAUUUCUGGCGUUUCGAUCAGGAAGGCCUUCCAGCCGAUCUCAUCAGGAGGUUAGCUAGUUUUGAGUUUGAUUUUCUAAAUGUUAACUAACUCCAUGUAAGUGAAACUUCAUACAUCACUAAUUGUCAAUUGUUGUUCUUAUAGAGGAAUAGCAGUACCUGACCCUAAGGACGAACACGGGUUGAGACUUCUUAUCGAGGACUACCCAUAUGCAAAUGAUGGCCUCCUCUACUGGUCAGCAAUUGACAAAUUGGUGAAGACUUAUGUGAAUCAUUACUAUCCAAAUGCAGUUCUGAUACAAGAUGACAAGGAGCUACAAGCUUGGUACAGGGAGGUAAUUAAUGUAGGCCAUGCAGAUCAUCGCUUUGCUACUUGGUGGCCUAAUCUUGAAACUCCUGAUGAUCUCAUUAAAAUUCUUACGACUUUAAUAUGGAUUGCAUCUGGAGAACAUGCUGCAUUAAAUUUUGGACAAUAUGGUAGAUUUGACCCGAGCCAUCCCAAUUUGAUGCGAAAGCUAUUGCCACAAGAGAAUGAUCCCGAGUAUGCAAGUUUUCUUGAAAAUCCAAAAGAGUAUUUCCUAUCAUCUUUGCCCAGUUUGGACAACAGUGCUAAAUUUGCAUCUGUGCUAAGUGUGAUCUCUGCCCAUUCGAGUGAUGAAGAAUAUAUUGGGCAGAGGGACGACUUAUUGAGCUGGUCAGGAGGACCAGAAAUCUUGGAGGCGUUUUACAGAUUCUUUGUGGACAUCAAAAUGAUAGAACGAGAGAUUGAGGAAAGAAAUUCCGAUUCCAAUUUGAGAAAUAGAUGUGCUGUUGGAAUACCCCCAUAUGAACUGCUGAUUCCUAGUUCAGGAAAUGGUGCUACUUCUAGAGGAGUGCCAAAUAGCAUAACAGUGUGAAUUUGGUUUAAAAACUUGUGGAUUUUCUCCUUUCAAAAUAUUGCUGUUUUCCCAGGUUCAAUGUAUUGGAAGAGAGUCAGAGACGGAGAUUGUAAUUAACUCAAACUCUGUUUAGUCAGUCAAUUAAGCUGAAACUACUAUCUGGUUUCAUUGGGUGUAACAAUUUGAAGAGCCAUUGUUGUUUGCUACCACUUUAUGUUCUACAGCCUCAAACAUAUUGGUUGCUAUACCAAUUGUGACGCAACAUGUGAAUUUGAGAUCAGGAUUAAAUUGUAUUGUGCCAGCGUUAAUGAAAACAAGGCCAGAUACACAGCCAAAUGUUUCUUUCCAUUUUCGCCACCGAUCCACUAGAGUUCUACUUGAAAAAAUAGUGAGACAUGCAUUAGCACUGCACUUGGUAUGAGGAUUAGUGAUCAAGAUCAAAGAUUUUUCAUUUUUCUAGCUUAAUAUAUCACACUCAAAAGUUGUCGCUUAUAAAAUACUACUAUAUCUUUUCCAGCAAUCGGAUUAUCAUAUGCCAAAACAACAUAAAUACGAUCAUGAUCUUUAGUUCACAUAUUUGAUUAAAUAAAUGCAUGAACUUGAAAUUACCCUCUGCUAAAGAAGGAUCCUACUGAUCUUGUUCUAUCUCUGGAAUUAGGUAGGAUCCGAUGUAACCGAUAACUGCAAUUUCGUAAUGAAUUAUAAGAACUUCAUAAUAGGAAAAGAUUGAUUGUCACUUGGUCAACAGGCGGGGUGACCGGCCCGCAAUGAAGGAGUUCAUAUACCUCAGCUCGAAUGUCAAUUUGAUAGGUUAUCUUUGAAUUGUACAAGUGUAGCUCCUCCAUGCAGCAGAAUAUGAGCAUGUUAAUUGUUACCAAAAAAAAAAUAAUGUACUGGGAAACACAACAAAAAAAGGGGGGGGGGGGGAAACGUUGAAGGAAAAACCUGAUCAAAUUAAGUCUGCGACAAUGUUGGUGGUCUUCUUGCUUGGUUUCUUGUAGGUAAUUAAGAUGGAUUGAAGGAGGAUGGUUCCUUGAAGACAAGUUUCCAGGGAAUCCAAUUUUGGCCUUUGGUCAACUGAAUUCGUCAUCAAAAAUUUUGGGGCAGGGCAGUGCAAAAUUUGUGAUGAUUAUUCAACAUCUAUAGGUUCGAAAUGAGUGUUCAAUGGUCUAAGAUAGCAAGGAGAGAGAGGAAGAAGAAGGAUGGAGGGCGCCAUUUAGUUUAGUGGGGGGCUCAGGGAUCUCAAAUGUGGAGGGAGGAGCUGGGUAGAGAAAGAAAAGGGGCCAAAGAAAUUAAACUUGAUAUAAUUUCUGACUAUUCUUUUCGAAAUCUUCUUUUCCUUAAUCACAAAUUUUUAAAAAAAAAACAGUUUACCCGGUACUGAAUCAUUAAUUUGACCUUAUUUCGUUAACUAGAACUAAUCAUGAUCUUGAUCUGUACCUUAUUGGGAUUGCUGUCUGCAAAUUCAGGAUUAGCUUAGCUCAGCCCUGACACACCAACCGUUACCAUUUCUUUAUGGAUUUCAAUCUUAUUUUUUUUCCAGUAUAGCUAAUUUUACUACUCCCUCCGUCUCAUAUUUGCCGUCGCUUUUCGACAUUUUAAGGUCAAUUGAUUGAUUGCAGUGUGGAUGCUUUUGUUUUCAAAUAUUUUGCCCUUAAAAAUUUUAAAUUUAAAUUUGAUUAAUAACAUGACAUACAACUAAAAGUAGGAACAACACUGAAAGAAAAGUGAUAAAAAGUAAUCUUAAUUUCAGUAAGAUGACAAACGUUAAGAAACAUUUCAAAAUGGAAAAUAUGACAUCCAUUUUUCAAUGGGACGGAAGAAAUACUGAAUAUUCCCCUAAAUAAGAUGACUAGAAAAGAUAAACCAUGUCUCACCGGCAGCGUUUGUCAGUUUUGCUGCAGGAAAGAGGUUUCCUGGUCAUGACAAGCAACCGAUUAAAAUUCAUGUUGGUACAUCUAGCCCAAGACUCAACAGGGAUGCGGGAUCAAGUCUUUGAUUGCACGAUUUUUCAUCAGUUUAAAACAUUAACCAUUCUCUGAAGGCACCAUUAGUUGCUAUGUGAAGAAUCUUCUGAUAAAAAAUGGCAAUGGUAUGAGAAAGAUUCAUUUCCACCGCAUAAUCCUUGACAACGUAAAAUAUAUACAAUUAAAUAAUGGAAAUGUCUGACAUCUCAAAACCAAAACUUGUGAGGAAAGGGAGAUUGCUGUGUAGAAACACUACCAUGACACUCAUCUUACAUUUCCCAGCCCCAGCCCCGCAACCGUGAUUGAGGAAAUGGGGGAUGGAAAGAAUGAAUU
rnacentral:lncRNA from 1 species